AUAUAUUUAACUAGCAAAUGUAAUUAUUUUUAGCCGACCGUCCAAAUAUAUAAGAGUGAGUCAGGGUCGUUGGGUAUUUUAAAAGAUACAGGUGGGUUUAUUUAAUACAAAUAAUAUAUGUGGUAGUUUAAGAAAAUGCCACAUGGCGAAGUUAAAGUAAAAAAAUUGAUCAAAUUAGUUUUGUUAGAUAUAAGGGUAAGUUUGAGCUAAAAAAAUAAACGGUAGGGGUAUUUGCGGACCGAAAGGUUAACGAAGAAUAUUUUUGAGUCAUUUUCAAUACGUUAGGGGUAUUGUUGGCCCCUCUGUUAGAUAUAGGGGUAAGUUUGAGCCCCAAAACAAACGUUAAGGACAUUUGCGGACCAAAAGAUUAACGAAAGAUAUUUUUGAAUCGUUUUUAAUAUGUUAGGGGUAUUGUUGGCCCUUUUAUGAAUAAUAAAUACUUAAAACAAUUGCAUAUAAAAGAGUCGUAGCAAGUCAACUUAUCUAUAUUGAGAAAUCUUGACCAAUGUCUCAUAAGCAACAUAACAUAUAAUAAGUGGGAAACAGUGAAAAGGAGAACUUUAAGUGAAGGUCUGACCUGUUUCCCACUAACAAACCCCACACUGCAAAUAAAAGAAACUUCUUUUUGAGUCUUAAAUCCAUUUAAAUAUAUAUUUUCCUUUAGUGUUGCCCAUGUUAUUUAGGUUAAACUAUGGGGUAAUUAGAAUGUUGUGUGUCAUGUCACUAUAAUACAGAAGAGCACUUAUCACCGUCAUUAGUGACCACUAACCACGAAUAUUCUUUCAUUAGGUUAUGGUUUGCUUAUCAAUGAUUAAGAUGUUUAGGAAAGAAUUGAUCUCAUAUUAUUAAUGGAAAGAGACACAAACAUAUUUUAAUCGAUAGAUUAGUGUUGAACAGAAAUUAAAACCUCUUUGUUUCAACCUUAACUACGAGCCUGAGACCUCAUUAGCUACUUAUGAUAUCUUAAUUAAUUAAUUAUAUUUCGGUCUUAAGAGAUCAAUCUAACUUGAGAAAUGAAUUACUUUCAGUUUAUUUGAUAACAUUAUUAUUUGGGAAGACAAAAACAUUAGAAAGAUUUUUUUUAGGUAGCUUUUGGACAUGUAAAUUUUAUUUUUAUAAUUUGAAAAAUCUAUGAUUGAAUUUACGAUCUCGUACUCCGAACCUUGCCACAAAUAGAGGGAGUAACAAAACUUGACUUGUCUUUUAAAUGAUUUGUCUAGGUAUGUAUUUUAAAUCGAAUUUACAAUUCGUGAAAUAUUGCUGUUCAAACAAGAAAAGAAAGAAAGAAAAAGAUUGAGUGCUUUGGGAUUUUGCAAUCAUAGAUAAAUAAGUCCGGGUCAAAGCUUAAUGAUAUUUACAUUAAAUCAAUAAAUGUACGUGUAGUUGCACAUAAACCUCUCUUACUUAAUUAUAUGGUUUAAUCGAGACAUGUUAUCAGUUCAUUAAAUUACUUAAUUAUAAUGAGUUUAUACAAUUAGAUAUAUAUAAAUAUUAGGUGGUGAUAAAUAUUAUCAUAAAUCUCAUUUUGACAAAUACAAUGUAACAAAUUUUUUAUAUAAACCGAAUACUCCUUUAAGAGUUAAAUAUUCCUGCACAAAGCUAAAAGUAUAAACCGCAGAAUCAUUGAUGUCGAUAGUUGUUAAAUUAAAUAUGACAGAAAAACAAAAGAAGACAAGAAUAUCGCCUUUUCUAAUUGAAAGCAAGUAUUUAACAAUUAAAAGAAGAAAAAAAAGAGAGAAGAAAAUGGCAAUGCAUUUCUUUUCUUUUUAAUAAUACGCAGGAGAACGCUUUAAACUCAUAUCUUCAGUCUAAUAAGAUAAUUAACUGAAAUAAACAAAUUAUUUUACAUAAGUCACUUUCACUGUGUGGUGCCAAAUGACGGGGGCAGUGACCCAAGUGUGCAUUCCCAACAUUUGAAUAUAGCUUAAUUAGCGUGUGCUAAACUUGUGUUUUUCCCACUUCAUUAAAUUAAGAAAUAAAAUCGCAUUGCCAACAUUUGAAUAUAGCAAGCUUGUGGUAAACUUGUGUUUUUCCCACUUCAUUAAAUUAAGAAAUAAAAUCGCAUUGCCAACAUUUGAAUAUAGCAAGCUUGUGGUAAACUUGUGUUUUUCCCACUUCUUCAUUAACGUAAGAAAUAAAUUAAAAAAAGAAGUAUAGCAAAGUGAUUUUCCAUCAUAUUCAUAAUCCUACCAUUAUCCUUUUCCUGCCUUUUGCUAAUUUAGAAAAAAAAAAUAUUCACAUGUACGGACCAUAUUUGGGUUUGUCUAAGAUUGAACCACUUUACCUAAUAAAGCGCCACGCGAAAUUAAGAUUGUUGCUUCCACUAGGCUAUAUUUUAUUUUAUUUUUUGAGAAAAUGACCUAUGUAAUCUCUUAAAAUUUUAAUAGCCCAUAUUUUUUUUAUUGACACGAAAUAUCCUUCCGGCCAAACAUAUUACAUCUAAUAGCCCGAAAUGUCUAUUUUGUAUAUUUUUUUAAGUGACAGUCUAUUUUGUAUAUAUUUUGUAUAGUGAUAGUCUAUUUAGUAUAAUUUUUUGUACAGUGACAGCCUAUUGUAUAUAAAUUGUACAGUGACAAUCUAUUUUAUAUAGUGACAGUUUAUUUUGUAUAGUGACAGUCGAUUUUGUAUAUAUUUUGUAUAAUGACAGGUUAUUGUAUAUAAAUUGUAUAGUGACAGCCUAUUUAGUAUAACUUUGUAUAGUUACAGUCUAUUUUAUAUAUAUUUUGUAUAGUGACAGACUAUUUAGUAUAUUUUUUGUAUAGUGAGAGUAUAUUUUAUAUAUAUUUUGUAUAGUGACAUUCUAUUGUAUAUAAAUUGUACAAUGACAGUCUAUUUUGUAUAUAUUUUAUAUAAUGACAGUCUAUUUAGUAUAUUUUUUGUAUUGGACAGUCUAUUUUGUAUAUUAAAGAAUCACUAGCUAUGAGGAGAGAAGAUGGGUAAGGAACUUCAAGCAAAAUUGAAUAAGCUUGCAUGGAAAUCUCAAGCUCUGAUUCUAUGCUAUGUAGGACACAUAUAAAAAUGUAUAUGGAUAUUCUCUAUGCACAUGUAUGUCCGUACCUCUAUACAACCACAGAUAGGCUGAAAAAGGGCCCCUAAGCACCCCAUAUCAUAUCUAAAAUAGAGUGUUCAAGAAAGUUUACAGGCAAAAUUUGUCUAACUCUCUCCUUGCUCAAUUCUCAGUUACUCUUCUUCUUUAUCCUUGUCAUCUCAUGUUACCACAUUACUGUGUUACUUUUGUAAAAGCCCAAUGAGUCCACGUGACUUAGGCAUUUAGAGGCCCAAAACCGAAUUACGUGGCACCACAAAUAUCCACACCCCUUUUCUCUUCUCCCCUUCUUACCCUUACCCCAUGCACUAUAAAUGCAUGCUAAUACCAGUGCAAUUAUAUCAAUUGAAUUUUUCAACCUACAUUCCCAUGCUUACGUCCUCUAUCUUGAACAACUGCAAGUCAGGGAGCUUUGUUAGAUAUUUUAUUGAAUUGACACAGGCGGAGGGGAAGCGGGAAUUUUGUGCCUACCUUCAAGUUUUUGGCUAGCUAUUAUAAUUAGUUUUUGGCUUCAAAUUGCAUAAUAGAUUUGUGGGCUAGAGAUUGUCAAAAAUUUCAGCCGAGUGGCUAAAAGUAAAAUUGUCUCAUAUUUUUAAACCCUUACGGGUCGUUUGGUUAGUGAUAUAGGGAUAAUAAUUAUGAAAUUAAAUAUAAAACUAUUUUAUUUCGGGUUUGGUUGAAUUUUUGAAUUCGAGAUUUGCAAUUUCGGGAUUAAUUAAUCCCAUAAUUGUGUAUUAUUCUAUCAUACAUUGAGAGUGGGACGACAAUUUCGGAAUUAGUUAAUCCUACGAUAAACACUAAAAUGACAAAUAUGCCCUUCUCCAAGGCUCUUUCCCCCCAAAAUCUUUAAAAAAUUUCAAGGUUAAAAUUAAAAAUAAAAGUUUAUUCCAACUUAUCUAGUAUAUACCAAACACAUUUUUUAUUAUAUCCCGUAUAUCUCAUUUUUUAGUCCAAUGAGCCGAACAUCUACCAAUAAAUCUAAAAAUAAUCAUUAAAUAAUUCUGUUAUUAUUUAAUCUCCGUAUUAUAAUUCUAUCAGUAUAAUUUCGGAAUAACUUGUUCCCAACCAAACUACCCCUCGUUACUUUUCCUAUUGCACUUGCAUUAUAUAAUCCAAGUAGAAGAUGUGACAAUGUGACAUUAGUUUAAAAUUACCUUUUUAAAGGUGGUGAAUCGAUUUCUCCUUACAAGGACAUUCUACGCAACUUCAGCUAGAUUUUCCUCUCCACCUAUAUACUAAGUUUAAUGAUUUUUCUUUUUUAACAAAUAAAAAUGCAUAUGUAUGGUAGGUAUAAGGAGUACUGUGUUCGUACAAAUUUCAAACAUGUUCGCGUAAUGGGUAUAAGGAGUACUGUGUUCUUUUCGUACUGUGUUCUUUUCUAGCUAGAUGUAUGGUAACCAUUUUUUGAAUAUCAUUGGUGAAAACAUAAUUUGUCCAUCUAGCUAGAAAAGAAAAAGGAUAAGGAAUAACGCCGCGCAAUUGAUAUUCAAAAAAUGGUUGGAUAACUAUUAUUCAUUUGACAUAUAUUAUUAAAACGAUCACUGAAGCCUGACAAAAUUUGCUUCAAUAGAGGCAAAGAUGACCACAAUAUAUUCUUACGGAUAUUUUCUUCAUAUCAAUUUUCUUUAAUGAAUUUCUUCCAUUAAAAGUGAGAAGUCGAGGCCAUAGAAGUGGAUAUCAAUAAGAUAAGAUUAAUCCAUGAAAUAAAAGAUUAAUUAUUUUGAACCGGAGCAAGAGAGCAACAAGCUCUUGUAUGUAUGCUCAAGAACAGCUGGUAUUAUGAGAUAAUAAAGGUACCACAGGACAUAAAACUAACUACCUUAUUAAACAAAAAUGUCUCAAACAUGUCUAAAUAAAUGCUACAUUUUCCCAGUUCUGGGACCAGCAAGAACUCAAGGAGAGCACAGAGGGUAAGUUGGCGUAUAAAGUUAGUGGAAUGUUUACAACAUUGCUCAUCCCUCAUGGAAGGCGCAUAAUUAAGCUCGUGGUUUUGGGGGCAAAAAUAAUGUGAUUAUAAAUAUAUGUAGAUUGGUGUAACUUCCAUUGUCACAGACUGAGGAAUGAUCCAUAUUUGUCUACUUGGAUUAGUGAUAUCUAUCCAAGAACUUCUCUAUCAAAACUGAAAAUGUAGCAAAGCCAGCACAACCUGCACACGCAGCUUUUGGUCCACCUGAAACAAAAUGGGAUUGUAGUUCAAAUAAAAAGAGAUGCUUGAUAGAAAUAACAAGUCUUUGCAAACAGUCCAAUUACUUGCUUCAUCAGCCACAUAUAAGCCGUAAUAUAAGCAGACCAAAACAGACUUUAUUCUACAGCACUACCAUCAAAAGUGAAAAACUACAACACACACACACACAGAGAUCCAAUUAGGAAUCAGACGAAAUUGUCAACAAUCUUUCCCCCAUCUGGCUAGCAUACUGCAGCCUAUUCCCUGAACUAGCUUAGGAGAACGCAAUGAUCUGCAGUGAAUUCCUUAGUUUGGAAAUUCUAAUUAUGAUGGAGAUCAUGAGAGUUGAAAAAGGAAGUUAUGUGCUUCUCAGCUACAAGAUAGACUCAGAUAGGAUAAAACUGUCAACAAUCAUUCUCCCCAUCUGGCUUUGCAGCCUAAUACCUGAACUGGUGUAAUUUUCGAAGGGAGAAUAUAUAAACAGUAUACAAUAAUAAUCCCAGACUUAUGGUUUAGCAAUGUUAUCAAAAGAAAAAUGUCUAAAUGAAGGAGAGACCACAAUGUCAAUUUGGAAAAAAAUAAGUCAAAUAGCAAACAGCCGAAAUACAUGCUUCACCAGUCACAGAUAAGCAGUAAUACAGCCCAACAGAAAGGCUCAAUUCUUCAAGCAAACUCUGUAUUCACUACCAUAAAAGUCAAAAUCCAUUAGACCCUGAUAGGAUAAAUUUGACAACCAUCUUUGCCCCAUCUGGUUCACUAUAAUGCAGUCUACUAUCUAAAACCAAAUUAGGCGAAUGCGAUGGUCAGCAAUAAACUCCUCAAAAUUUGGAUUUUGCACAAAUUUUAAUAUUUUCUACUGUUGACAUACUUUAAUUUACAUUUUACAUGUAUUUCUUUUUUUCUUAAUCGGUAAAUGUAUGAAGCAGCACUAAGAUUGUAGCAAAAAGCAAAAGAAUGCAUUCCCUUGAUUCUGAAUGGAGCUAAUAAAUUCUAUGAUUCUAUCAGCAUCUUCACUAAACUCCUGUAUGCACCAAAAUGAAAGGAAAAGAAUACAGUUAACUUGAUCUUGCUAAUGAGCUCUUUCCUAUUCUCAAAAUAUCUUAAAGUCCUUUCUUUCCAAACAGUCCGACAUAUGCAAGCUGGUAUGGUUAGCCAUGCUUUCGUUAGUUUUUUAUCGAUGCCCUUGAUGUUCCAGCAGGUAAGCAGUUCAUUCAGUGUUUCAGGCAUAGACCAACUUAAGUCCAAAGAUAUCCGAAAACAUGUGCCAUGGUUGAAUCACCACAGGACAAUGUAGGAAUAUAUGACUAUAUCCUUCAUUUUCUUUUUCGAACAAAAAAACAUAUGUUACAGCUCUGGAGUCCCCAUUUCUGUUAGUUCCCCAUUGUAAGGCAUGUCGCAUAUCAAACUAUCAAAGUAAAACAUGCCGCUUUGUGUGGAGCCCUCACAUAUUAUUCUUAUUUUACAAAUAUUUUAAGUUAAAAAUUUGUGGGUCUUACGCCUGCCACAUGAUCAGUAGAACACCUCACCUUGCGCAUCUGCCUUCUAAAUGCAACUUAUGAUAAAGUAAUGCAGUCCAAUCAUUUAAAAAUCUAGAAUUUUUGAACGCACUCUAACUUUAAGUAGCUGAAACCUCUUUGUGGAAAAGUUUCCGUUAAACAUUUGAUUUCGUCUUUCUUUUUUGCAUGGUAUGAGUUACAUUCUGAUGACAAUGCCCCAGAAAUUCCUUCUUUUGCUUUCUUUUUGGUAUGAUACUACUCCCCUGGUUGUCUCUAUAUGAAUCUCACUAUCCAUAUCACUAUAUCAAGACCAAAAAUAUAUGAAUCGAGUAUGGAUGCAAGAUAUAAAAAUAUAUUUACUGAAGAUUAUUUUUGUAUAUGCUUUGCAUAGUCAAAGUAACAAAUCUUACCUCUAGCUGAUAAUGUGCCUCCUGUUACACACCCUGCAACUGCUGUAUUUGUCAUGUCAUGCUUUGCCCGUGCCUAUGAACAUAGUACAAGAGAAAAAUUACUUAUGACAUUUGAGUUUUAGAAUAAUUGAAAAGUAUCCGACUCUAUUUGCGAAAAUGACUUCCAAUUCGCUUCCUUGGUUCAAAAAAUUAAGAGGAUUUUGUAAAAUGAGAGCUGGAGAACUUCAUAUGGUUAUCCUCUCUAAGGAUCAAAGGUACCUUCUCAACGACACAUUCAGCAGCAGAGAAAACCAAACCCAUAACAGCAAAAGUCUUGCAGGAACUCCAACUCCUCCGACCCAUCUGCUUUGCUUGGUAUACAAGUUGUUGCCUCGUUGUCAUUUCCUCUUGCAUUAUUGGGUUAUCCAGUGCCCCUAGAAACAGACCCAUGAACAACCCAAGCCCCCCUCCUACGAAACAAAAACAAUGCGUCAAUAAAUGAACAGAAGAUAUAUUUUAAGAAAAUUACUAGAAAAAUAUUAUCUAAUUGGACACAAAUAGAGGAUCUAAAAACAGACUCUAUUCAAAAACAAUAUCAGUUGACAGAAGCUGUAAGCUAGCUAGAAUCAGGCUCUCUCAUUCUCUAUUCCAACUAAAGGAGUACAGGUGACUAUCAGCCAUAGCAACGGGACGGAGUUUAAAAUGUCUCUUGGAUUACCUCUUGAGUCUUGUAACAUAAUUAUGACAUCAAACAUAGAAUUAUAGUCAUCCAUUGUUUUCGAUAAGGGGUACUAUUGUCAUCCAUUAUACUAAGGUAUUGCAAGAAUGACAUUCUGAGCAUUCCAUCCAUUAAGAAAAAACACUCAACAAUAAGACACAAAAAAUAAUUCAACUAGGAGACAAAUCCACCAUGCCUUGUAUAAAAACAUACCCAUGACUCCGCUAACAACACUGCGAACUGCACAGUUGUUCCAAAUGUCUUGGCCCCUUAUUUCCUCCACAGUAGGCAUCCGAAUAGGCUCAAUCUGGGGCUUCUGAGCUUCUUGAGAGCUUGAAUGCGUGUCAUUUGAUUCACUUGCCGGAUCACUCAUAUCAGCUCUGAUAAAAAGAUGUGUAAUUAGUUUAUGAAAAACAAAUUGAGCCCCUCAUCGAAAAUUUCUCCUCCCAAGAGCUAAGAUUAGAACUCACUCAAGUUGCAACUUUCAUGGUAUUUAAAUAAAUAUCAUCAUCAGCUGAACAAAAGAAAGUUAUGAAUCUUACACUACUUUACCAGUUCAAAAAGAAAAAGUUACGAAUCUUUUUUUUAACUCAUAACUUAUCAAAAAAACGAUGAAUCUUUCAACCUUACAAGUUACAAUACAGUUGAAAGUUCCAGGUUUCCUAAGUUCAAACUACAAACAUAUCACGUAAGGUCAAAGUAUGCCUAACAAGGAGAACAAACAAUACAAAUGGUGGAAGUGGCUUAUAUCCAGAGUUCUUCCACAUCAUGAAGAACUUAAUUUUCCAGUUGAUAUCCUGUGUCCUUCAAUCGAACACUUAAUUCUUCACGUUUCAUGCAUAUAUGUGAAACAUCAGGCUCGAUGAAUGAUUGUGUUUUGUUCUUAAUCUCAAUCCAGCUACAUCCAAUUUCUUUUUUAACUGUUCCACAUCCAUUAGUUUCGUACUUUUGCUCUCUUCCCAGUUUACAGUUACUAGGACAUAUGUUGUUGAGUCAUGAGGCUGAAGGGAAAUGAGAUUCUUUGCUGCAAGUUUCCCAAACUCCACAUUGCUGUUAAGUAUGUCAUACAAUUGCACCAGCAGGAAACGGCAUCCAUUGAUGAGAGCCAUCGCUAAAUCCAGCAAACCAGCUCGCCUACACAAAUCUACCAUGAAAGAGUAUAUCUCCAUUGUUGGGGAAAUAUAAAAGUUGUUAGCCACCAUGUCAAAAUAUUGACCUUCAUUGCAGUCCUGCAUGGGUACAGGCAAAAUAACUCCAAUGAAUGUUGUAUUGUCCAUUUCUUUCUGCAAUUCCUCAAAUAUCAUUAGUGAUUUUCUGCCAUAAGCACGUUGUGCAUAUCCUGGUAGCAUUGAGUUCCAUGACACUAAGUCUCUUUCUUGUUGUCUCUUGAAAAUUCAUUUGCACUUUCUAUGUUCCCUCUUUUAGAGCAGAUAGUCACCAGGGUACUGCUCCAGCAUAAGGCAUUACUCAACCUGAUUUAUUGAGUUUGCAUGAUAUUGAUUUCCUUGCUCCACUGAUGCCAUGGAAGGUAAACUCGUUUGGCCUGAACCCACUUUUGGCUAGUUUUCGGAAAACGCUGACAGCACCUUGAGUGUAUCCUCUUUGCGCAUAACCAGGAUAACAUAGCAGACCAUGAAAUAAUGUCCUCAUCAAUCUCAUCAAAACUUUUGCAGCCUCACCAGUACUUCCUAUUUUCAUGUACGCGUCUGAUAAAGCAUUUCCUACUGUAGGUGAGCCCUGGUACUUGUUUUUAUGACUUCUUCAUGUACUUGGAACAACGAAAUAGAGGGAUGAGCAGCAAAAAUAGUUGAAUAAGUGAAACCACUUGGUCUAAUACCAUCCCUUUUUUCAUUUGGCAAAAUAGAUCGUUGCUCACUUAAGCCCAGAAUUUAUUCCGCAUAUUUUGAUAAUUGUGGUGUCCAGGUACGCUUUUGUGCACCUCGACUAUACUAGGUACCUGCUACCUUCCACCAUCAUAGGUAUCUAGUAACUUUGUCCACCAAAGCUUAGGAAGAUAGAAAGAAAUCACCUACUCCCUCUGUUUCAAAUUAGAUGAGCUACUUUCCUUUUUAGUUUGUUCCAAAAUAAAUGACGCAUUUCUAAAUUUGGAAAUAAUUCAACUUUAAACUCUUCAUUUUACCCAUGAUAAGAAACUUCUAUAACCACACAAAUGUCAUGAUCCCACAAAGCUUUUACCCUUUAAGUUUUUAAGACCACAAGUUUCAAAAGUCUUUUUUUUUUCUUAAACUCCAUGCCGAGUCAAACUAUUUCAUCUAAAUUGAAACGGAGGGAGUAGUAUUUUUUGUCUCGAGUAACUUUGUCCAUCCAAAAAACAACAUUGCUAAAUCUAUGCAUAGUUGAGACAAAUAAAAAAAUCUAUACAUAGUAUUGGCACGCAAUCUCGCUUUCUGUUGGUAGUAGGUUUUUAUGACUAACCGUUGUUUUCUUUCAUCGUUGAUCACCUUACUAUCUUGUUAUUUUUAUUCUACUUUUAUAUGGCUUUUUGGUACUGUCCCUUUUUGUCUAUAUUUUCAUUAAUGUGGUGCUUCUGCUUUCCUGAGCCGAGGGUCUAUUGAAAACAGCAUCUCUAUCCUCACAAGGUAGGGGUAAGAUCUGCGUACACACUACCCUCCCCAUACCCCAUGGUGUGAGAUAAUACUGGGUAUGUUGUUGUUGUAGUAAAGAACAACAUAAAGGCAUCAUCAAUUUCCCCACAUAAGUAACCAUGAGUGACAUUCUAAUAUUAUGGUCUAAAUAUUACCCAAUCUUUGUAACAUGACCUUAAAGCUACAAGUCUCAUCACGUGGAACAACUUAAGUACUUCAGCACAAAGCCCGUUAGUCACAAGACCAGCUAUCGCUUACCAGGCCAUUUUCAUUCCUAUUGCCAUACUUCCAAAUACAGUUGUGGCCUCUUUGACCAUCCCGAACUUCAAAUACAAUCUGAUCAAUAAUUCCCCAGGGAAUAGGGAUGUUAUACACCUCAAAAGCACAUCUGAUGACCACAGUAUGCACUUGAAUUCCUUAUUCAAAUACAAGUUUAUUGGCCAAACUCCAAGAAGUGUAGCGAAAGUAAACACGUUAGGCUUAACUCUUCCAACUAACAUCAUAUGGUUGUAAAGCUAAAUCAACUAGCUCAUUGCACGAAUAACCUGAAAGGAACGAAGUCCAAAGUCACAACUUUCUCAUGCUCCAUCUCAUCAAACACUCUCUGUCCAUCUCGGACGUUCACUAUUUUCAUGUACAUGUUUAGAAGUGAAGUCCCAACACUAACAUUGCCAAAAUAACCGGAUAUUAUACAAAGGGUAGGCACUUGUUUACCAAAAAAUAGAUCAGACAGACAAAGACCCUCAACAAUAUACAAGAAAGGAUAGCGCCUUCACUGAAAAGUCCAGUACAAUGAAUAACCACACAAAAAUUCAAACCACUUCAUUGAAACUGUUCCCAGAGUACUCUAAAAGUUAGCUUUUUCAGAGAAACCCGUUGGGAAUUCCAUCAAACAGGAUGCGUGAGUAGCGAUAAUAGGAAAUUUGAGAUGAUUCAGUUUGAGUUUCUUUUCCAACUAACACAUAGGCUCCUGUGGCUUCAACUACCCACUCCCUUCGCUAGCUAUUAGCUCAGCACUUACUUUGCAACAAAUAAACACAUACCAGAACCCCAUUUUUGUUAUCAUCAACACUAAUGUUUUUUUCCGUCGAAAAAUACAAAAGAAAUAUAGAUCAUAUAAUAUUCGAAAUUGAUUAAUAAAUUUAAAAGCAACGAAAAUAACUUACUUUUGGUGAGUUUAGUAAAGUUGCCGCCAAUGUUUCACUUUUCAAAUUUUACCUCCGCAUCUGCUGCUCAAAUUUAUGAACAGAUUUCACAUAUAACAGAAAAUGGGGAGAACGUGAAAGAAAGAGGUGGCUUGUAUGGGCGGCAACCGGCGGUUGUGUAGGUUUAGUUCUAUGGCGCGUUUAAACGGGUAGCUUCAAAUGGGUUAAUGGUUUGGACUUUGGAACUGCUGGAGGUUGACACCAAGUAGCCACUUGUAGCAUGCCUCUUUUUUUUCCGUCUCAGCACGCCUACAAAAUUUUAAACUAUUUAAAAUUUGGUCAGUUUUGACAAACUUCGGACUAGCAGGGUGUUUGGAUUGACUUUUAAAAAGUAGUUUAAAACCUAAAAGUCGAAAGCCAUAAGUUGGUAAUAUUAAAUUUUUGGCUUUUGGCUUAUUUUUAUAUUUUUUGUGUCUAAAAGUAAGUACUUUUAAGCAUUUUUUAUCAUUCCCAAACAUUUCAAAAACUAAAAAAGUACUUAAAAGCCAAUAAAUACUUAAAAUAAGUCAAUCCAAACACUCUCUAAGUAGGCUUUUGGACAUAAGAAAUAUAAUAUUUUUUUAAAAAAUAGUACAAAGAAUGAAGUUAAAAAUAAUAUUUAAAAUUUAAAAUUAUAUUUGGAUAUGCAUUUCACUUGAAAAAACGUUGUAAUUUUGUGAGUGGGGAAAAAAGUUUUUCCAAAAAAAAUUGAAAAAAUGGUCAAAAUUACUUUUUAGUUUUUGAAAAAGCUCAUUUUAGAAAAAUAUCAAAUAAUUUCAUGGACAAACAGAUUUUUAAAAAAAUUGAAAAAGAAAAAGAAAAACAAUUUAUGGACAAACGGGUCCUAAAUCUCAUAUUACUGCUUCUUUUUCUUCUUCAAACCUUCGUGUACGAAGGUGAGCUUUAUCAAUCAGUUUUGUUAAAUUUCAAAUUGAUAGUCUGUUUGGCCAAGCUUUUUGGGGGGCAAAAGUACUUUUUGUUUUUGCCAAAAGUGCUUUAGGCCAAAAUUUGAGGUGUUUGGCUAAACUUUUAGAAGGAAAAAAAAUACUUUUGAGUAGAAGCAAAAACAGAUUUUGAGAAGCAGAAAAAUGUAGCUCCUCUCCAAAAGCACUUUUCUGAGAAGCACUUUUGACAAAGAUACACUUAGAAGCAGUUUUCAAAAGCUUGACCAAACACUAAUUAAUGCUCAAAAGUAUUUUUUAAAUUAAUUAGCCAAAUACAAACCGAUUCUCACCAAAAGUACUUUUUUGAAAAGCACUUCUCAAAAUAAGCAGUUUUUAGAAAGUUGGUCAAACAUGCUAUAAAUCUCCUCUGCUCUUCCUCCUCCUCUUGCUUCUCCUUCUCCUGCUCCUGCUUCUCCUUCUCCUUCCCCUUCUUCUUCUAAACUUUGGUCUAAGUUGGGCUUUUGUCAAAACCUAAUGUCAUACCCAAAUAUUUUGGAAAAUUUACCUAGCUAUACUCUAAUAGAAACCUAUUUACCACCUUUAUUUAGGUUUCUUAUUUAUUAAUUUGUAUAUAUAUAUAUAUAUAUAUUUAAAAGUUAUAUACAAAAUCAUAAAAAAUAAGAAAAAUCAAGAUCCCUUAAAUUUAACCUAUCAGUUACACGACACUCACCCCCAUUUUCAAUAACCUCCUACAUUUAAGAUUAUGUUUCUUUUCCAAAUGAUUUCAAAAAUAUUUUAUCUCUUUCUUAAUAAUCACCCAAAAUCUCUCUCAAUACAGAUGAAAUUUGGGAUAUUGCUCUAAAAUCUUAUUCUUUCUUUAUUUUGUCUCUCUUCCAAGCUUUACUCUGCAUUAACAAUGGCUUCACUAAUAAUAAGAAUCAUAAUAUGACUUUUUUUUUAGAAAUUUUCCCAAACUGCUAUCUGUUCACUAAAAUUUUAUCGGUUUGAACUUCGAUUUGCAGUUGCUCUCUUCACUGAUAAGUAAAAUAUCUUAAUUAUAUGAUAAUUGUAUCAUAUUUAUUUUAGAAUUGUAUCACAACUGUAUCAAAAUUAUAUGUGACUUAUAUAUGAUACAUCAAUACCCAAAAUAAUACUCGAUACAAUACAAAUAUAAUUAUAAUAUGAUAAUAUUAGAUUUUUAGUGUAGAAUUGUGAUUGAAACUUGAAGAAGGUGAAGGUCAUAAUUGUAUCACAAUUUUUCAGAAAUGCAUCGCGAUUGUAUUAUAAUUAUAUAUGUAUCAUAAUUGUUGCAGGAAUUGUAUUACAAAUGUCUGAUAAUUGUAUAUUCAAUGUAUAUUGUUACGAGAAGUUGUGAGUUCGUGACCAAUUUCACAUUUUGUAUCACAAAUAUAUGAUAAUUGUAUAUUAAUUAAUUAGUAUUGUGUCAAAUAUUAUUUUAGAUAUUAAUAUACCAUAUACAAGUUAGAUACAAUUGUGAUACAAGUAUGAUACAAUUAUGUUUUAGGCAUUGAUGUAUCUGAUACAAUUCAAAUACAAUUAUAAAAUAAUUAUCAUAUAAUUCCUGCAACUUCUUCUUUUUGGAGUUUCAAUAUGAUUCACUUAAAAUCAACUUUAUACUUAACUAAUCUCUCUCAAAAUUGAGAUAUAAACUCCAAAGCAUAUUCUCAAUCAUUUGCAGGUAUAUCCAAUCUAAAUAAAUCAUAAAAUCUGAAAAUAUGAAUAUCGAAUUCAAAACUUUAAAGCUUUUUAAUGGAACGACAUUGGGAAUAAUUCUGGCUACAAUAUGAAUGUUUCUUCAUUUCAGUGUUGUCCAGUCUCCCAGCAAAAAAACGACGCAAUUGAUAAUUUUUUUAAUAAUAUAAAGCUGUCGGCAAUAGUGGGAAGAGAGAAGAUAAAGAUUAUACGUGUAGAUUAAGAGAUUUUGNNNNNNNNNNNNNNNNNNNNNNNNNACGCAAUUGAUAAGUUUUUUUAAUAAUAUAAAGCUGUCGGCAAUAGUGGGAAGAGAGAAGAUAAAGAUUAUAUGUGUAGAUUAAGAGAUUUUGAUGUAAAAAAAAAAAGAGAAGAGAAGAGAAGAGAAGAGGAGAGGUAAAAAGAGGGGAACUUUACAUAAAUGUCACAAUUUAAAAUAAAUAUAACAAAUUAGUAGCAUGAAAUCCAAUAUUACAGUCGUGGCAGGAAAAUAUUUAUAUUUGUAGCACAUAGUUCCCAUAAAAUAGGAAUAUUAAUUAUUAAUUUUUAAACAUAAGCAAUUUGAAUGGAAAGUCAAUAAUUCUUUGUACAAAAUUCAUGCUUUUUUUUCUCUUUAUCUAUUAGCUUUUCUUGUUUUUCUUCAUCUUCUUAAUUUUAUUAUCUGUCGAAGCCAAUUGUAAGCACGUAAUUUUUGAUCCGACACAUUUUUGAGCUAUUUUUAAGUGUUUAAAAUAUUUAUUUAAACUUAGCUUUAAUUUUUGUGAAGUUUUAGUCAAUUUUUACUUCAAAUUACAAUUUAAAAAUACAAAAAAUAUUUUUCAUCUUUAGUUUCAGUUCAAUUAGUAUAUUUAUAUUUAUAGUACUUUAAUUUUUGCCAUAACUUUAGCCUAUUUUCUUUACUUUUACUUUCUUAUAACAUUUAAAAAUACAAAAAAAAUAGUUUCACUUUUAAUAUUUAAUAUUAAUUUAGUAUUUUAUUAAGAGUGAUUUUUAUAUUUUUAUAAAUACAUUAUAUUAUUUUAGUCUUCUUACCCCAAAAUUAAAACCCAAUAAGACAUGAACCAACCCAAUAUCCUAAAUCCAAGCGCGCGCACACAGACAAAAAAAGACCUGGAGCUAAGGGAAGCAGGGGCUUCUCACCUUCUUCUCCUCAAGAACACCGCCGCACCACCUAGCUGCAAAAGAGAACGAAACAGACGGCGAAAGAAGAAACCGUCUAAUUCUGCAGCUUAGAGAAUGCCAGUGUCAUCUGUCUUUUCGAGAUUGAAAUUGUCCGCCUCGCAUUAGUAAAUUUGGUGUCUAAUUGCAAAGUUGGAACAGCACAUAAGACCAUGAAUACACUAUAUAUUUUUGGGUCUUUUUCCUACAUUGAGCACACAUGGAAAACACCUCGAUACACCCCUGAAACACUAGUAAAACUAGCCUAAACCAGCCUCCAAAAACCAGCUGUAAAACCAUCGAAACAGCCCAAACAGUCCUCAAAACUGUCACCAAAAUCAGUAUAAACGGGUUCCUCAACUGAAGUUAAAAGGAGCUUCGAGAGUCGAGUCUGAGUUCGCCGUCACUAGGUUCCGUUCGAGGUCCGCAUUUUGGUUCGUCGUUGAGUUUCAAAAGCUACGAAUUCACGUUCUUGCAUUGAAGGUCUGUUUUUCUGAUUUUGCUUUGUUACAGUAUUUGUUUUGGAAGACAUGAUCCUGGGUGUUUUGAGUUAUGAAUUCGAGUUUGAAUGAAAUUCUUUACUCGUUGAGAAAUAACACUGAUUAAUCUUGUUAUUCACGUGAUAUCAAAAGACAUGCCUAUCCUUUAUUUUUAGUGUCUUAUUUAUUUUGCUUCUUUCGUUUGUCCGUGGGGGAAACACUUUCUGUUUGAUUUUAGCUUACAUCAUUUCCAUGAUGGUGUCGUUUCUGGCGAGGCACUUUAGUGCCCUUUUGCUAAUUCGUCUUCUGAUUAGCGGGGAUUUGGAGGGCAUGGUAGUGUUUUGAACGAAAUAAGAUAAUGGUGCCUAUGAUAAUUUGGUUGGCAGAGGUGUUAAAAUUUGGGCAUAACUAAUGUACUGUUGGAUAUUGCUUUGCCCAUAUGUCAAUAAUGCCACAAAUUAGUCCACUUUUCCAAACUGAUUUGCUUCACUUUUUCGCAAUAAUUCCAUAUUCAUAAACUCUUGGCCUUACAAUAAUCUUAAAGUAGUUUAGGAAAAUAAUUUACAAACAUCGUAGUUUGUUUUAGACGCGUUUAAAUAGAUCAUCAUGGCUAUGGGUACGGUUCCUGUGGCAUGGUCACGAUAAGUAAAUCCAAAUUCGGGUGUGCAUUUCAUGUGACCCGAACGUAACUUCUCAUAGUAAUAAAAGUAAACAUAUCGUAAACCGUGGGGUGCAUUUCAUGUGGUGCGGUUUGUAAUAUGUACCAAAACGACAAGUGUAUGACAUCGUGACUUGUUCCAAAAAUAAUUUCAUAAAUAUUAAAUGCGGUUCAUAAGUAAAAAACACACAAUAGGUUUCAACACGUGCAAUAAAUCAGAUAAUUAGGCCAAUUAUNNNNNNNNNNNNNNNNUUAAGAUGGCAUAUAUAUAUAUACAAAAAACAUAUAUAUAAAAAAUAUAUCCUGAAUAAAAAUGGCACUUGACAUAUAAAAUAUAUUUAAAAUAUACAUUAAAAAUACAUCUUAAAAUAAGAUGGCACUUCACAAAUAAAUAUACAAAAAUUAUAUACAUAAUAUUAUAUUUUGAAUUAAAGUGAUACUUGAUAUACACAGUAUAAAAGACGUAUAAAUCUAUACAUUUUAAAUUUAGGUGGCAUUCACAUAUGCAUCAGAUUUUAAAAAAUGGAGUGAAGAAGAUGAAUAUUGGGUUUAAUUUUUGUAAUAUGCUAAUAAUGAAAAAUAAAGUGCUAUUUAUGGAAUAAAUAAUAAAUGAUGCUACUUUUUUAAAUAAUAGUUAAAAAAGGAUCAAGUGUGUAAAAAACUCUAAAAAGGGGAAAGGAUGUAAUUGAAUCCCUUAAUUGAAUGCACUAAUAAUAGGGUGAAAGCCUUUUAAAGAGCAAUGUAUACAAUUUGCAAGAAAAAACUAGAUACUUAUUAAAAACUAUAAAAACAUAAAAAAAAAAUAGAUAAAUAUAUUUCUAAUAUAAUAUAACUAGGUAAAAAUACAAACAUUUUAAGUUUGAAAGUCAAUGCUCAAAAUCAGACCUAUAGGUUUGAGGUCUUAAGUUAGGCUUUGGCAGAGCCCAACUUCAUAUUGGAAGAUUUAAAUCUAAAAAUUUCAGACUCUCAAUUCAACUCCAAGCCCACAUAUUGGAAAUUGAUUAUGAAAUGACUAAACUUUAAAUACUUUAUAAAUUUUUAUUAUUCUUUAAAUAGAGAUCCUAAAAAUUGUUUUUUGCGCGAUUCGACCUGCCUUGAGCCAUAACCCGAAAUGAGAUGGGCUCACUUACAGGUCUAGGAGAAAGUUAGUAUGUUAAAGCUUUCAGUACAAAGUGGAGUAACAGGUUUUUUCCCCCCAAAGAGUAAUAAGUUAAGUAUACAAAUGUUAGUACAAAAUUCAUAUUAAUAUACUAAGUCGGAAUACAAUUUUUUAAAAGUUUUCCAUGUUAGCAGUUGACCAAAAUAAUUAAGUGCGGUAAACGUCAUCUAUAAAUACGCUUUAUGUCCCAUAUUACGAGCCCGUUUGGAUUGACUGAAUUUAAGUAGCUUUUAAGCACUUAAGUAGCAUUUAAGGAGAUGGUUUUAUAAAUAAGCAGUUAGUGUUUGGAUAGAAGUGCUGGAGCUGAAAAAAAAAUUGUUGAGAUGUUUGGUAAAAAAGUAGGUGAAAAGGCAAUUUUUUCUAUUAAAAUGACUAAAAUAUCCUUAAAAUUGUUAGUUACUAUAGAGGAACUGAUUAUUCAAGAUUUCUAAUUCGAAUUUAUUCAUAUACAAAUAAAUUACUCUAUAUUCAAUUUACAUUCAGUUCUACGUUGAUUGCAAGAAUAUUAUUUUACCAAUAAAUAUAGAUUAUGUAUUUGAAGUGGCUAUGUUCUAGCUGUUAUUUGGUUUUAAAAAUCUAACUAAUUUAUAAAUAAAGUUGCUCAAACUAGUAUGUGCUCUCUGCUAUUAGUAUGCAUAUGGAUUAAUGCUAACCAGUAUUUCAUAUACACAACAGUGCACUAACUGGUGACUUUUCAAAAAGUUUCAUUUCCCACCAAGCCAACGUAAUGGAAACCUUUUAUAAAUGAAGAACAAAUGAGAGAAUCUAUAUUCAUUAGAAUUUUUUUUACUAAAGGUGGGUCAUCUAUUUAUCUACGGAGCUUAAUUAUGCAUACAAGCUUUUUCAGAAUACUCAUUUCGAUUUCUUGAAUUAAUCACCAACUCUGAAUACUUCACAUAAUUCAAAUCAUGAGAAGAAAGUAAUGCCACAAAAAUCUAAAAAAGAAAGACAGAGAAGUGAUGUAGAGAUUGCGGAAAAGAAGAGGAAAGAAGAGAGGAAACCAAAUAGUAGCAGAGAGGAGGAAAAGAAGACGGAUGAGUCUAGGGAUUUUGUUAGUGAGGGGUAUUGUUGGAAUUAAGAAAUAUUAUAAGGGAUAAAAAGGUAAAAUUAUUGGUCAAAGUAAAAUGGCUUUUAAGCCAAAAAAUAAUAAGUUAGAGUAGUCCAACUUAUUGCUUUUGGCUUGUUUUGGACCUUUUGGCUUAAAAGCCAAGUGCAUUUCAGCACUUUUUUUUACUUUAACAAACACCCAAAUAAGCUAAAAAGGAGCUUAAAAGCUAGUUUGAUCAGCCUUUAAGCCAAUCCAAACACACUCUACAUGUCUUUUAAGGUUUUUAAGCACUCAAUUUUUUUUUUAAUAGUCUUAAUCGCAAGAAUAUUUAUCUAAAUUAGCAUUUAUCUCUUUUUAUAUAUCUUACGUAAUAAAAUAUCCACUUAUUGGAACAGUAGAUCUAGAAAAAUGUCAUGAGUGACUUGUUAUUUUUCUAAAAGAUCAAAUAUUUUGAAACAAGUUUAAUUUCCAAAUGACUAUGUUACACAUUGCAUUGUCACAGACUCAGCCGGUGUAGACAUGACCAACAAAGUUGACAAUCAGUUCUUCCGCAAAAAGGAAAUUGUCGCUGGAAAAUGACUGGUUUGGCUUGACAAAAUAAUGCCACUAUCAAACCACCGAUCUACACUUAGAAAUGCAGAGUCCAAUUAAUUUUGAAGACUGCCAAAUUUUUUAAAAAUUGCAGCUUUCUAUAAGACAAAUGUCCAUAACUUUGAGCUGUCCAACUUUUUAUUUUUGGUAAAUCAUUUAGUGUUCCAAUUCACUUUUGGCCCGAUUAGUUUUAAUAUGCAUUGCAAAAAGUCUGUUAUAGAGGGUCUCGUGCUCUCUACUAAAAGGGACUUAGAGUUCGAAUUCGAAAUGUUUGAUUAAAAAUGAAAGAAUUUUUAUCGUUCUAUAACACCUGCGAUAGCGUCAAACAUCACUCUCUGUAAGCUAUAAUAUUAAUCUAUGACAAUAUUGUAUUUGUACAUAACAUCAACUUGCAAUCUCAAGUAGAAGUAAUAAUACUAAUAACAAUAAUACUAACAAAUCUUUGGAUGCCCUAAAUUCGCCCACAGAAGGCUCUUCCAAGGAGAUGACAAUUUAGUCUUCGCUACGUAGAACAAGAUAACGAAAAAAUAGUUUGGAGGAGGUGGUUGUUUGAGGUUAAUAUUUGCUGAAAACUUGUAGGUCUUCAAAUUGAAUAGAUACAGAAGGAGCCAGUUUGGCUUUAAUUUCUGCAACUUUAAUGGGUUUGACAAUACAAGGGAAAGAACAGUACAAAUUGGUGCAAACCUUACAUUUUUUAAUAAACUAGUCUUUGAACACGCACGUUGCGCGUGAAUUUUUGUCGAUGAAAAUAAAUUUUAAAAAGUCAAUGAAUAUUAUAUUUGACUUUCUAUAUUAUUUAAAUAAACAAAGAUUUAAAAGAAAUAUGUAGUAAGUUAUACUUUUAAUAAUCUUAAAUUUUUUAUAAAUAACAGUAGACUUAUUGCUACUUUCGAUGCAUAAAUUUGAGUAUCUUAUCUAUGCUUCACUUGUCUAAUAUUAUAAUCGGAUUUGUAAUUUAAUAUGGGCAUAUAUUACAAUAUGUAAACAAAAAAUCAAAGUAUAUUGUAGUAUUUAUUAUUACUAUAAAUCAUUAUUAUUUUUAAACGCAUGCAUAUCGUUUAUUUAAAGAUAUUUUCUUACCUGUCCUAAUGUGGUUAUAUGUGUAGUUCACGUUGUAUAGUAAACUUCAAUAUUUAAAGAUUUAAGAAAUAAAUUUAUAUAACCUAAAUAUUACUUAGGAGUUUUUAAAUAGUUCAAAUAAGGAAAGUUUUAAUUCACUAAAAAUAAAGGCAAUAGAACAUCAAUGAUCGCGCCCAACUAUGCCUCCUAAGAGGUCUAGCGGUCGUUGCAAAUAUAAUUCGGUUUACAAGUCCGGAGUCGAAUCUCACAGGGAAUUAACCUACUAAUCACAACCACUAAUUUCACAAGAAUUCAGGUAAUCAACCUACAGAAUAUUGAAUAAUGAGUUGAUUGUUUACUAACUAAAAGCAAGGUAAUUAAAAAGCUGUAAUUUUAAUACUAACAAAGCAAAUGUUGUAGACAAGAUUGGAAAGGUCUAGGGUUUUGAUUUCCCCUAUUGUCGGAAUCUUCCCCGCUAUAUUUCCUAUAAAUUCACCCCAAUAUUCUCUACCGAUCGUGAGUACUUUGAGUGUGUAGCUCUCUCUCGAGCAACUACCAUAAUUUACUAGACGUAUUCUCUCGAACUGCGUUAGCUGACACUAAUUCACCGCUCACUAUGAUCGCACCAAGAUUUCGUUAUCUCUAAUCCCGCCUUUAAACCCUCCGUAUUGAUCUCUCAAAUACGUUAGGAGUGGUGUUGUUCAACAACUACCUAAAUGCGUACUCUCUCUACGAGCAGUACUAUAUAUAUCGUAAGUAACUUCGUANNNNNNNNNNNNNNNNNNNNNNNNNNNNNNNNNNNNNNNNNNNNNNNNNNNNNNNNNNNNNNNNNNNNNNNNNNNNNNNNNNNNNNNNNNNNNNNNNNNNNNNNNNNNNNNNNNNNNNNNNNNNNNNNNNNNNNNNNNNNNNNNNNNNNNNNNNNNNNNNNNNNNNNNNNNNNNNNNNNNNNNNNNNNNNNNNNNNNNNNNNNNNNNNNNNNNNNNNNNNNNNNNNNNNNNNNNNNNNNNNNNNNNNNNNNNNNNNNNNNNNNNNNNNNNNNNNNNNNNNNNNNNNNNNNNNNNNNNNNNNNNNNNNNNNNNNNNNNNNNNNNNNNNNNNNNNNNNNNNNNNNNNNNNNNNNNNNNNNNNNNNNNNNNNNNNNNNNNNNNNNNNNNNNNNNNNNNNNNNNNNNNNNNNNNNNNNNNNNNNNNNNNNNNNNNNNNNNNNNNNNNNNNNNNNNNNNNNNNNNNNNNNNNNNNNNNNNNNNNNNNNNNNNNNNNNNNNNNNNNNNUAUAUAUAUAUAUAUAUAUAUAUAUAUAUAUAUAUAUAUAUGCAGUCAAUUGAGGGCCCUUCAACCAACAACAAUAAUAAUAUAGUUGAACAAAUAGAGAAAAGUAAAUGACAAAUUUCUAUUAAACGCAAAGGAAAAAUCAUCCUUCAAUUGGUUUCAUCAAACCCUAGGUGGGAUUUUAGCUACUCAUAAUUGUUUGCACAACUACAAUUCUAAAAUUCAUAACCAAUAAUGAAAAUAGAGGAAGAAAGAGGGAAAAAUAUGAAGUUGAAUCCUUCUCCUCUCUCCAAGUGUGUUCUUGCCUCCCAAAAGCCUUCUCUCUCUCCCAAAUAGUGGCUCUCUCUUAAAAGCACGUUUUAGGAUGUAUUUAUAGUGACUAAGGUUUGUAUGAGGCAGAUUUUCCUUCUCUUAAUUCGGAUUGGAAAAGCUGAUUUUUUCUGCUCCGGUCCCGGUCUGGCGAAGUGAACCUCGCUUCGCUGUCCGAGACUUUUCUGGUUUCUUCUGCUCCGGUACCGGUCUGGCAAAGUCAUCCUCGCUUCGCUGUCUGGAACUUUUCUCUUCAGCUCUUUAUCCCCUAAUUUUUCUCCUAUUUGAUCAUUUUCCACAUAAGUUUGUUCCUACACAUAAGAAAUACGUAACGAGCAUAUUUUCACUUCAAAAAUGGUGUGAACUCCCGCAACUCACACAAGAAAUAACACACACUCAAAACAUGCACUUUUCACCUUUUAUCACCACCCCACACUUAAACUUUUGUUCGUCCUCAAGCAACUUAAAAUUAAGCACAUACGCAAGAAACACCUUUCAAAACAUACUCAAGCAUCAAACCAAUGAUAAUGGUUUAUAUCAACGCUUAGAACCUAGCUUAUGCACUCUUCAUACCCUUCCUCAAGUUUUAAACUCAUGCCAAAUUUAUUUAAAAUAUUCAUGUGGCUCUUUCUAACAUCCUCGCCUCAAAACUCGACUCCCAUGCAUUCUACACUAUGACUCGCUUCUUGUGCCAACUCAAAAACCAAGGUCUAUACCAAUCAUUUGCAAAUUAUGUGCCCUCCCCAACAAACCACAGAGAAAGUAGUCCACACACUCAAUAUAAGUUCAAGUAUAUUUUAAGGACUCUCAAAUCGGAAGAAUUUUCUCACUCUCACAAAGAAACUCUUAUGCCACCCAAGUUCGUACCAUAGGCUUGCCCGUAGUGUAAGUCUCUACUAAUUUAAGCUCGCAAAGUCUAUGAUCAAGUAGGACUUUAUAGGUUGUAAUGUAGGCGAAGGGACAGGUAAGAUAUAUUUGAGAAAAUAGUGACUAACCCUCCUAAGCACUUUAAUACACUAUACUUUAUUUUUAAGCACAUUCUUGUCAUGACCAAUUCGAUUUCUUGCUAUGAAACCAUGAAUAUUUAAGCCCUUCUUCAUUAAGUACAUCAACAUAUAGAUAUUUACUAGCCUAGACAAAUAUGAGAGGUGUUAUUCUUUUUUUUGUGUGUGUUUUCUUCUUCUCCUUUUUUUUCACACUCUCCUUAAUUUGAUAUUUUCGGCUAGUAACUUUUUUUUUGUACACAAGUGUACCUUGUCGGCCUUUCUAUGGUUCCACGCAAAAGCUACCCAAUCUCUUUCUUUACUCUUCUAGCUACUUAAGUGCUUUCGGAGGUAAAGGUUUAACAAGAUUUGAUUAAGAACACAUGGGAUUCGCCUUGUAAUGUGGUUGCCAAAGAAAAGGUCUACAUGCUCAAAAGUAUUGACUACGGAUAAUAUUAGCACUGGUAGGCAAAUAGGCUAAAUGGUCAAUCAAAGAAAGCCUAGAUCACUUCCCAAACUUACAAAACUUAAUCAUUUCGCUUCGACUCACACAGGGAAAGUUUUAGACUAGCAAGGAUGACACAGAGUAAACCAAAAUCUCACCUCACACAAUGCACAUGACUCAUUCAAGAUGGCUCGGACCCGACUCUCGAGUUAAAGCAACUAAUAUAGUCAUCAUAAAAUUUAAGCACACGAAAAUUAAUCACAAGAGUCAAAAGAUGAGUCUGGGUGUAAAAAGAAAGCCACAUAUAUUUUCAAGACAUGUAAUUACAAAGAUUAUGAAGAAAGUACUUAGUUCAAAUGCUCCACCUCUAAGCCCCGAUAUAAAAUAUGUCAAAAAGCAUAGAUACUCAAGUUCUCCCCAUUCCAUUAUCAGUUCAAAAUGAAGAAAAAAAAUGAUUUUUGUUUUGUUUUCUUUGGACUUUAUACCCUCAAGAAAACUGUCUAGGAAGUCCAUCGUCGGAAAAAGUCCAAAACUUAUAAAAAUUCUACCUAAAAAAACUACUACCCGAUUCAAAGAGUCAUCCCUUGAAAAGGAACCGUAACCAUAAGAAAAACCAAGAGAGAUUAUUUCUACCUAAUUAUUUUUUGAUUUUUUUCAACACACACAAAAUAAUACAACUAAAAUAGCAUAGGAAAUCACUCAAAUAGUCUCUUCACCCCACACUUAAAAUUGUGCAUUGUCCCAAUGCACACCCAUAAAUACAAGAGGGUAAAAGAAACUCCCUGGUAGACUAUAGGCUGAAGCAUUAGCAGCUCAAGGGGUACUCAGACUUCUCCUAGAUUUGAUUCUUUGUGCAGACACCCCACACUUAGUUCUAACCAUCUUACUUACUUUUGCUUUCUUAGAAUGGCCUUGCUUCCCAUGCUCCUAUAGAAAUCAAAAACAACACUACAAGAAUACAAUAAUAAAUAAUAAUAAAAAAAAACAGUAAAGUCAGGUUGCCUCCCAAUAAGUGCCUGAUUUAAUGUCGCGGCACGACAUGAAUCACUUUCUGCCUCCACCUCGAGCUUAUAAAUUGGACCCCAAGUUUUGAUUAAAGCUUAUGAUUAUGCUCUUGGGACGGUACAAAUUUUUGCGAGCCAAAGUUUAAAUAAAUUUUCAUGCACUUUUUGGCUCUCGACCAAGGAGUGUCACCUUGCUUAGGCGGCCUUGGAAAUUUCAAAAUAUAAGGUUCAUCGACCUCUGCCCUUGACUCAUUUUUAUGCUCAUAAGGGUCAAUUCUCAUAUCACCAUCCAAACAUAAUGUAGAAGAGUGUUUAGAAUGAGGUCCAACACGCUCAGAUACCUGAACUUCAAGAUUUUCAACCUCUCCGAUAAAAUUUACACGAGAGUCAACUAAAUUUGUAUAAUCAAUGUCCUUGCCUGACUCUAGUAUCAUUUCUUCAACAUUGACAUCAUCAAAUUCUAGUUGGUUAGAGUGUUGGUGUUCUACUCUAGACCACUCCAUUAGCACCUCAAUUUCUGUCUCUAAUGCAUACUGCUCAUGUCUACUAUCCAUAAUAUUAACUUGUUGAGCAUUAAAAGCUUCACCUAGUUGACUCACUUGAGCCUCCAAGUUGCGAAUAGUAGCCUCUUGCCUUUGGAUGUGUAUUUGUUUCUAAUUAUUUUGUUCCAAAAGACACCUUAGCAUAUCCUUGAUUUCUUUCAGGUCAUCAUCCCUGGGUUCUUUAUUCCUAUUAACUUCACAAGAAAAAGUAGAACCAUCAUAGUAAGGGGUUGGGGGAGGAUAAAAAAUAUAAGCACAACCAUGAAAGUCACCAUCUUGACCACCACACAUAUCACAUACAUUCCACAUAUAAGAUUGAGUUGGUGCACAUAACUCGCUCUCGAAAAUAUUUUGAUAAUUUUGCCAUGGGUGGUUUUCUCCACAAUAUGCAUAAGGAGGAUCAAAAGUAGAAUUACCAACAUCAAAACUCUCAUAAUUCCAAGAUGCCAUGUCUCUCAAAUCAAAAAUAAAAACAAAAUAAAAAUAAAAGUUCAAACUUGACACUAAGCAAUAUUUACAGGUACAACUACACCAUUAGUUCUCCGGCAAUGGUGCUAAAGUUUGAUCACGCCCAACUCUAGUCCUAAAAGGAUAAGCGGUCGCUGCAAAUGUAAUCCGGUCUAAAAGCCCGGAGUCGAAUCCCACAGAGAACUAAGGCUUAGCUACAACUGUUCAAUAUUGCUAAGAAAUACAAAUUCAAAUAAUUUUCUAGUUAUAAAUAUUGUAAUUUUUUAUUUUAAACUAAUUAAUUAACAAAUACUAGAAAGCAGUAAAAUUAUCAACUAACGAGAAUAAAGGUGGAAACAAGAUAAAGGAGGCCUAGAGUUAUGAUUUCCUCAAUUUUCCGAAUCCUUCCCGCUAUGCCUCCUAUAAUUUCGCCUAAGCAUUCUUUACUGAUCGUGAGUACUUUGGUUGUCGUAAUUCUCUCUCGAGCAACUACUACAAUUUACUAGAUGUAUUCUCUCGAACUACACUAGUUGUCACUAAUUCACCGCUCACUACAAUCACACCAAGGUUUCGUUAUCUCUAAUCCAGUCUUUAAACACUCCGUAUUGAUCUCUCACAUACGUUAGGAGUGAUGUUGUUCAACAACUACCUAAAUGUGUACUCUCUCUCGAGUAGUACACACUAAAUAGGCACAGUCAAUUGAUGGCCAUUCAAUCAACAACAACAAACACGUAGUUGAAUAAGUAGAGAAAUCCAACAGCUCAAUUAUAUAAAAAUAUAACAAGAAUUCAUCCUACAUAAGGUUCCAUCAAAACCCUAGAUAACAAAUUAGCUAUUCAUAAUAGUAUGCAAAACUACAAUACUAGAAUUCAUAACCAAUAAUGAAAAUAGAGAAAGAAAGAGGGGAAAACAUAAAGUUGAAUCCUUCUCCUUGCUCCAAGUGUGUUCUUGCCUCCCUAAAGUUUUCUCUCUCUCACAAAUUGUGGCUCCCUCUUAAAAGCACGUUUUAGGAUGUAUUUAUAGUGACUAAGGUUUGUAUGUGGCGAAUUUUCCUUCUCCUAAUUCAGGUUGGAAAAGCUGAUUUUUUCUGCUCCGGUCCCGGUCUGGCGAAGUGAACCUCGUUUCGCUGUCUGAGACUUUUUUGAUUUCUUCUGCUCCGGUCCCGGUUUGGCGAAGUGAACAUCGCUUCGCUGUCCGGGACUUUUCUCUUCAGCUCUUUAUCCCCUAAUUUUUCUCCUAUUUGAUCCUUUUUCACAUAAGUUUGUUCCUACACAUAAGAAACACGUAAUGGGCAUAUUUUCACUUCAAAAAUGGUGUGAACUCUCGUAACUCACACAAGAAAUAACACACACUCAAAACAUGCACUUUUCACCCUUUAUCAAUCAACUACAAGAAAAAAAAGAGAAGUUAAUAUUGAUCCAUUAUAUUCAGAUGUGUCCAAAUGGAGACUAACAAUUCAAUGAUGUUCAACAAAGCGAAACAGUUGCGCCAUGUAAAUUUGAAAGUUACAGUUAUAAAAGUUUCAAACAUGGAAUUGCAGUGACGGAGAAACUCUAUUUUUUAGUUGAACUUUUAUUAUACUACCAAACGGAAAAGAGGAGCUCAAAUUUAAUUUUAAGGAAUUGUUCUAAAUAUAAGACAAUUCUGAAUUAUAAGUAUUACCAUUUUAUUUAAUAUAGGAUUAUAAUUUAAGGUCCUAAAUAUUAGGACUUUUUAUUCAGUAGUGAUGUUAGGCCAAAAUGUUAUACUUUUAGUACAUUACUCGCCCUAUAUUUUGUUGGUUUAGUGAUUAAUUGUACGACAUUUGAGCUAAAUUAUGUUGUUUUAUGUGUAGGAGUAUCGGAAGACAAAGACGAGUGAAGGUCGCACAAAAAAAAGAUGAAAAUACAAGAAAAGAGAACAAAAAUACCAAGUACCCAAACCGUGCUACAUACCAGGCUUUGCGAGGUCCAUAGCCAGGUUGACCGUGCUAUAGACCAGGUUUCGCGGGGUCUAUAGCCAGGUUGACCGCACUAUACACCAGGCUUCGCGAGGUCUAUAGCCAGGUUGACAGCGCUAUACACCAGGCUUCGCGAGGUCUAUAGCAGGUUGACCGCUCUAUAGACCAGGCUUCGUGAGGUCUAUAGCCAGGUUGACCGCGCUACAGACCAGACUUUGCGAGGUCUAUAACCCGGUAAUUAAAAGUCGCGGGUUAAAAGACUCCGACCUGGAUUUGGACUUCAACCCUAACCUAUAAAUACUCCCUAAACAUGUCUGAACGAGGGAGAGACGUUUUUAGGGGCAGACUCCACCAAGGAGGACGUUGUUUAGAGGGGAUUCAGCCUAAGGAGGCAAGAACACGUUAGGAGCAAGGCGGCGAAUUCUUCUAUGAGUUUUUCACUUCCUUAUUCCUACUUUCAUUAUUGGUUAUGAAUUCUAGUAUUGUAGUUUUGCAUACUAUUAUGAAUAGCUAGUUUGUUAUCUAGAGUUUUGAUAGAACCUUUUGUAGGAUAAAUUCUUGUUAGAACCUUUUGUAGGAUAAAUUCUUGAUACAAAGGCAAGAUGCUACUAUUCGCAACUUGGAGGCACAAGUGAGUCAACUAGUUGAAACAUUUAAUGCUCAACAAGCCAAUAUUGUGGAUAGUAACCAAGAAGAGCAUGAAUUAGAUACCAAAAUUGAGGUUCUAAUAGAGGAGGUCAGAGUAGAACACAAACAAUCAAUCAAACUAGAAAUUGAGGAUGCCGAUGUUGUAGAAAAGAUGCUAGAGUCAAACCAAGGAUAUUGAGGAUACACAUUUAGUUGACUCUAGUGUCAUUGGUGUUGAGGAUGUAGACAAUCCCAAUGUUCAUGUAGUUGAGCGCAUUGGUCCACACUCCAAGCAUUUUUCUGCAUUGUGUUUGGAUGAUGAUAUCUAAAUAGAGUCAUCCGAGCCACUUGAGGAGUCAUGGAAUGAGGAACAAGGUGACUACAUUCUAGAAUUCUUCUUGCCAGAAAGUCGGGAUUACACACCUCAUCUAAAGGCCAAGAAGUGCAGAAUACUACAUUAUUUUCUUGGGCCAGUUAGAUUCGUUCCACCACCCCAUGAGCACAAUCAUAAGCUUGAAACAAAACUUGGGGUCCAAUUCAUAAGUUCGAAGUGGAGGCAAAAAGUAAUUCACGACGUGCCGCUACGUUAAAUCAAGCGCUUGUUGGGAGGCAACCCAACUUUACUGCUUUCUUUUAUUUAUUUUUUAUUUUUAUUUUUUUGAUUGUAUUUUUUUUGUAGUUUUGGUUUUUGAUUUUCUAGGAGCAUGGAAAGUAAAGCUAUUAGAAGGAUGCAACAACAAACCAGAUGGUUAGAACUAAGUGCGAGGUACCCGCACGAAGGACGAGGCAUGGGUAAAGUUUGAGUACCCCAUGAGCUGCUAGUGCUUUGGCCUUUGGCCUAUCAGAGAGUUUCUUUUACACUCUUAUAUUUAUGGUGUGCAUCGGGGACAAUGCACAAUUUUAAGUGUGGGGUGAGAAGAUUCUCUGGGUAACUUUCUAUGCUAUUUUAGUUAUGUUAGUUUAAUUGAAUAAUGCUUUUUUAGAAAAAUAGAAAAUGAUUGAACUUUUCGUGACGAUGGAUAUCCUAGAUAAUUUUCUUGAGGGUUUAAAGCCUGACCAAAAAGAAAAUCCAUAAAUAUUUCUUUUUAUUUUUUAGGUAGUAAUAAUCCCCAGUGAUUUUUUUUUGUGCCUCGAUUUUUUUUAUGGGAUGUAGUUUGAACCGGGUCAUAGUUUCUUAUUUUUAGAGUAGAAUAUAAUUUAGGGAAUAAAAGGAUGUGAAAAAUGAGAUUUGCUAGGCGCCUUUGACUAAUUUGAUAGUAGCAUAUUUAGGCUCUAGCAUGUGUAGUACUUUCCCUAUGGUUUGAAAAUACUUAUGAUGCCUUGUUGAGUAGAUAACAUGUUUAUUGAUGCCUAUAGCUCAUUUUCUUGGCUUGUGUCACUUUGUGCUUGAUGCUUAAUAUUUUGUGGCUCCGUGAAUACUUACAAUUGUUUGAGAAUCGGAAUGGAAUCUUCCUUAGUGAGUCAUGUGCCAUGUGUGGUGAAAAAGUGUAUAGUCCAUGUCAUUGUAUUAGAGUCUAGAACUUGCCCGACAUGUGAGUUGAAGCGAAAUUUUAGGUUUUGCUCGGUUUGAAAAAAUGAUUUUAGGCUUUCUUUGAUUUGUUUGAGCUUAAUUCUUACCACAAUAAAAAUUAUUCCUAGUCAACCCUUUUGUGCCUAUAAACUUUUAUUUGACAACCACAUUACAAGCCUAUACCCCUUUGUGCUUAAUUAUUAUUGUUUUGAUCCUUUUACCUCUUAAAUCACUUUAAUUAUAAAAUGAGUGCUAAAAGAAGUAAGGAUAGAACUUGGGUGGCUUUUGAGUGGAAAGAAUGAAAGAAAGAAAGGUGCACUUGUAUUGUAAGGAAUACACCACUAGCAGGAAGGGUAGAAGAGAAAGAAAAAAAGAGUAUUGUUGAUAAGAAAAAAAUAUGUAGCAAAGGAAAAUAAGCAUAUCUUAUCCUUGCCAGUGUAUGAAUUAAUAUAAUGCUUAAAGAAAGAGGAAAUAUUUUUGGGGGUGAUAAUGUUAUGAAAUUGAAGUGGAUUGAAGAAUUUGCGCUUGAAGUUUAUUAUGUGAUGUGUUAAACUGCUUGGGAGGAUGAACCACUAAUCCAAAAUAUAUCUUACCCUUCCCUUACCCCACAUUACAACCAUGAAAUUUUUUUAUUGAUUUUAGAUCGAGCAAGCCUACAUUAGUGGGGGUUUACAUAAUGGGCAAGCCUAUGGUACUUUGUGCAUGCAUGUGACGUCUUUGUGAGAGUGAGGAAUUUCUUUGAUAUAUGUGAGUCCUUAAAAUAUAUUUGAGAAUUUGAUUCGAAUGUGUGGAUUUAACUUACUCUCAUGUUCUUGUGGUGAGGGCACAUAAUUUUGCAAGGGAUAAGUGAUGUUGUUAAAUGUCUCUAUGAUGUUAAGUGUUCAAGCCACGAAUGCAUUAUGAUAUUGAGUCGGUUUGUGAGGUUAGGAUUGUUAUAAGCAUGUUGUCUUGUUGUUAAAUAAAUAAUUUUUUGAAGUAUGGCAUAGAGUAAAGGAAAGUGUGUUUUGAAGGCAUAUGCUAAAUUUUAAUUGUUGCUAUCAACCAUAGUCAUAUGUAUGGUGUGCUUCAGAUAUGCUAAAAGAAAAUAAAGUGCUCAAGGUUAGUAUGAAUUGGUGGUUGACUCGAGGACGAGCAACGUUUAAGUGUGGGGCGGUGAUGUUAGGCCAAAUUGUUAUACUUUUAGUACAUUACUUGCCCUAUAUUUUGUUGGUUUAGUGAUUAAUUGUACGACAUUUGAGCUAAAUUGUGUUGUUUUAUGUGUAGGAGUAUCAGAAGACAAAGACGAGUGAAGGUCGCACAAAAAGAAGACGAAAAUGCAAGAAAAGAGAACAAAAAUGCCAAGUACCCAAACCGUGCUACAUACCAGGCUUUGCGAGGUCUAUAGCCAGUUUGAUUGUGCUAUAGACCACGCUUCGCGGGGUCUAUAGCCAGGUUGACCGCACUAUACACCAGGCUUCGCGAGGUCUAUAGCCAGGUUGGCCGCGCUAUACACCAAGCUUCGCGAGGUUUAUAGCCAGGUUGACCGCGCUAUAGACCGGGCUUCGCGAGGUCUAUAGCCAGGUUGACCGCGCUACAGACCAGGCUUCGCGAGGUCUAUAGCCAGGUUGACCGCGCUACAGACCAGGCUUCGCGAGGUAUAUAGCCAGGUUGACCGCGCUACAGACUAGGUUUCGCGAGGUCUAUAGCCCGGUAAUUAAAAGUCGUGGGUUAAAAGACUCCGACCUGGAUUUGGACUUCAACCCUAGCCUAUAAAUACUCCCUAAACAUGUCUGAACGAGGGAGAGCCGUUUUUGAGGGGCAGACUCCACCAAGGAGGACGUUUUUGAGAGGGGAUUCGGCCUAAGGAGGCAAGAACACGCUAGGAGUAAGGCGGCGAAUUUUUUUAUGAGUUUUUCACUUCCUUAUUCCUAUUUUCAUUAUUGGUUAUGAAUUCUAGUAUUAUAAUUUUGCAUACUAUUAUGAAUAGCUAAUUUGUUAUCUAAAGUUUUGAUAGAACCUUUUGUAGGAUAAAUUCUUGUUAUGUUUUUAUAUAAUCGAGUCGUUGAAUUCCUCUACUUGUUCAACUACGUGUUUAUUGUUGUUGAUUGAAUAUCCAUCAAUUAACUGUGCCUAUUUAGUGUGUAUAUUGCCCGAGAGAGAGUACACAUUUAGGUAGUUGUUGAACAACAUCACUCCUAACGUAUGUGAGAGAUCAAUACAGAGGGUUUAAAGGUGGGAUUAGAGAUAACGAAAUCUUGGUGCGAUCUUAGUGAGCGGUGAAGUAGUGUGCCAGCUAGCGUAAUUCGGAAGAAUAUGUCUAGUAAAUUGUGGUAGUUGAAGUACUCACGAUCGGUAGAGAAUACUUAGGCGAAAUUACAGAAGACGUAGCGGGAAGGAUUCCGACAAUUGGGGAAAUCAUAACUCUAGACUUCCUUAGGCUUGUCUCCAAUUUCAUUCUUGUUAGUUGACAAUUUUACUGCUUUAUAAUAUUUGUUAGUUAACUAGUAGAAAUAAAAAAUCAAAUCUUUAUAACUAGGAAAUUGUUUGGACUUGUGUUUCUUAGCAAUACUGAACAACUAUAGCUAAGUUUUAGUUCUCUGUGAGAUUCGACUCCGGACUUGUAAACCAGAUUAAGUAGUCAAUAAGGAAAGAUUUAAAAAAUAAAAAAUUUAUUUGAUUUUAAAAUUCUAAAUAUUAGAAAAAUAAUUAAAAUUACAAAUUUGUCCAUUGUGAAAUUUAUUUUAUAGGGUAAAAAAGGUGAACGACAUUUCGUGAAAAAGUUUUGUGCUUUUAAUAUAGUAUAGAUAAAUAUAUAUAAAUACAGACGAUGACCUUCCAAGAGAGUAGGACAUCUCCCUUAAUUGACAUUGCCUCUAUUUUUAUUUUGUAACGUACUUGUCGAGACAAAGAAUUUAAGAUAAAAAAUUGACUUACAUAUUAUAUUACCGGUCCUGGAAAAGAACCUUAAAUUUUAUUUAAACUACUAGUUUGGUUAAAUAACAUCACAUCAUAAAUUCAAAUUGAAGUUCAGAAUUUUACAUAAAAGCUUUUAUUAGAAUUAUCAAUCAUUUUUAAAGGAUCUAAAAUAAUAAAAGUAUAGUAAAAAUUGGGAUGUGCAAAUAGGCUCUUACAAAAUUACAAAUAAGAUUGGUUUACAAUAAAUUCGAUAAGAUCUAAAUAUGAUAACCCAGCACGCUGAGUGAGACUUAGUGGUAGUUUGGUUUGAUGACAAAUUAUAUUGGGAUUAGUUAUCCGAGAUUAGUUAUUUUGAUAUUAUUUUUUAUUAAUUAUUUGGCAUAUUGUAUUAAUCAUGUGAUUGUCUAUUUUACUCUUUAUCCUGUGAUAACUUAUCAUAAGAUUAGUAUUCCACCCUCCGACAAGUAUAAAUUAUUCCGGUACUAUUUUAAAUCAUGAGAUAAGUUAUUCCAGAAGUAGCCAAACAAGAGAUAAGGCAAUACUAAUUUUUUAUCCCAUAAUUAUUUCCGCUUAUGUGCGCUAAAUUGCUUUUAUGUGAUACAAAUUUGGAUAGGUUGAUUGUUAGAUCUUCGGAAUAUUCAUGUCAAUGGGUAGAUGUACCAAGACCUUUUGAUUAAGCGACAAGGUAUCUAAAAAGUACCUAAAAUAUUUGCUUAUGAAUUAUUCCUUCCACUACUGUCCUAAGAUGCGAUUAUUGUAUAGUAAAAAAUAGAAAAUAUAGACGUCGAUGCCAUUAUUGUGUAAUAAAAGAAAUGAAAGGACACUAUGUUAGAGGAAUCGUGAAACAACAAGCAACUUCCUGGUCAGACAACAAAGACAACAUACAGUUGUACAGAGUCCUAGAAUUUCAGGAAACUACAACUUAAAAAAUUUGACUUACUUGCAACUUACUAGAGCAAGCAAGCAAACAAAUAUAAUAUAUUAUAAUAUAAUAAAAGCAAAAAUAGUUGUAAUUAUAAUGGGGUACAGUUUAGGAUGUAAAUGAAGUUUACUAGUUGCCACUAUUAUGUCGUUCUCAUGUGUGAAAACGUGUCACACUAUUUCCAGGUGAUUUCUGUGCUGUGAAAAUUAAUAAAUAGCUCGAUUGAUAGUGAGAUUAGAAAUAACACUGAUCUACUCCUUCUUUUCCUCUAUAUAUAUAGCAAGUAAACUUUCGUUUCUGAUAUAAUUAACCCCAUUACAUUGAAACAAUAAGCAAGAAAAUCAAAGGAGGAGGGGGGAAAAAGCUUUUAAUUUAUAGAGAAUUCAAGAAAUGGCGCCAGUAAAGAAUAAAGAAAAUGCUGGAAUGUUGAAAGUGAAGGGAGUAGUGAAGAAACCAGUUUCUAAGGUGUAUUCUUUUGGUAGCGAUAUGAAGAAAAUAGCAGAAGAUGAUCCAAGGAAAAUUGUUCAUUCAAUUAAAGUUGGAUUGACCAUUGCCUUAGUUUCAUUGUUCUACUACUUUGAACCUUUCUUUCAUUACGAGGGAUUUGGUGUUUCUGCAAUGUGGGCAGUUUUGACUGUUGUCGUCGUUUUCGAGUUCUCUGUUGGUAAGUUUCCUAUUAAAUCGCACGUUAAUUUCACAUAUAAUCAUCGCACCAAAAUCAUUAAACUAUUUUUUCAGUCGUCAAUGGUUAUUAAUUGAUCGCACGAAAUAUUUGUUUUUCGUAGGAGCAACACUUGGGAAAAGCGUAAAUAGAGGAAUUGCAACGUUUCUAGCCGGUUCAUUAGGUGUUGGAGCUCAUAAACUUGUUAACUUAUCAGGGUCAGAUAAAUUGCAACCAGUUGUACUUGGAUUAUCUGUUUUCUUGAUAGGUAAAUUGAUAUUCUAACAUUUCCUUAGAGAUCUACUUUCUUUUACUAGUAUAUAGUAUUUGUUUUAUUAUUGUGAAUGUCUAAUAAGUUUCAUGUGAUUUUGAAAACAGCUGCAAUAGCGACGUUUAUGAGAUUUGUACCAAAACUGAAGGCGAGAUAUGACUAUGGCAUUCUCAUUUUUAUUUUGACAUUCUCUUUGAUCUCUGUUUCUGGGUAUCGAGACGAUGAGGUGCUCGAUAUGGCGAUUACUCGGGUGACGACGAUCCUCAUCGGCGGCGCGGCGGCGGUUCUGUUUAACGUGGUCAUAUGCCCUGUUUGGGCUGGUGAAGAUCUUCACAAUCUAGUUGCCACAAAUAUUGAAAAGCUUGGAAUUUCCCUUGAAGGUACGUCUUUCCUCACUUUGAUAGAACGAGUGGUUUGCUCCGGUGGUGAGCAUUCCACUUCAACCUAGAAGUUGUGAGUUCGAGUCACCCCAAGAGCAAGGUGGAGAGUUCUUGGAGGGAGGGAGCCGAGGGUCUAUCGGAAACAGCCUCUCUAUCCUAGGGUAGGGGUAAGGUCUGCGUACAAACUACCCUCCUCAAACCCACUAGUGAGAUUAUAUUGGGUUGUUGUUGUUUUUUUGACACAUGUAUUAAAAAAAAAUGUGUAGACAUAUAUAUCCUCAAUGUAAGAAAUUUCACACACCUUCAAAACAUAUCUACAUGUAAGUAUUAUUAAAACAUGAAAAUCUUGAAAAUAAGAUAGAUAACCUGCUACAAUAGCUAGCUAGGAGUGACUUGAUGAUAUGAGAAAUUUCUUAUACUAACAAUGUAUAUAAAUUAAAUUCUUAAAAAAAUUAUUUAAUAUCAUUAAUUAUUAGAGUUGUUUGACUAAAUCACCCAUAUUUUUUCCUUAAAUGAAAAUUAAUGGUUUGUGCUUUCUUGGAAAAUAAUGGUAGAAUUAAGAAAAAAAAAAUUAAUGUAUCCUUUGUUUUUAAAGUGACGAAUAUUUUGGACCAUAAUUUUUUUUUGUGUGGCUAAAAUAACAGAUAAAAAGAAUAUUAGAGCGAGAGUAUUUUGAUAAGGUAACAUUGAGUGGAGUUUAUUUAAUACAUUAUAGAAAAAAUGAUAUUGUAUAGUCGCUCUUAAAAAUAAUAUACCGAAAAAUANNNNNNNNNNNNNNNNNNNUUGGUGUAUGAGUCAAUGUAACAUAACUAAUAUUGUAUGAUUUUAUAUUAUAUAUAGUGACGUGAUUCGAACGUUUAGUCAAAAUUUUCUGCGUAUUAAAUUUUGUUACCUAAAUUUACAGGAUACGGAAAUCAAUACUUCAAGAAACUUGAUGUCAAGUUGGAAGAACUAGACAGAACAUUUCUUGGGGAAUACAAAUGUAUCAUCCACUCAAAAACUAAUGAAGUAAAUCUGGUUAGUCCGAAACCAACCUGAAACAAAAAUCACAAUUGAUUCAAUACAAUAUUGUAAAUUUGUAAUUCUAACAUUGCAAUUUCUCUCUGUAUUAGGUCAAUUUAGCAAAAUGGGAGCCCCGACAUGGCAAAUUCAGGUACAGACAUCCAUGGGAACAAUACUUGAAAAUCGGAGAUCUUGUUCGUGAUUGUGCCAUUAACAUCGACGCUUUAAACACAUGUCUUAGCUCCUGCAUUAUGGUAAGUUAGUAACUAAAGUGAUAACCUGUUAUAGUAAGUGAUUUGGUAACCUGAAAAAUAAAGUAAUAACAUGUUAUAGCAAGUUAUGUUAAAUAUACAUAUUAAAUAGCAAAUUGUAAGUAUAAUUUUACAUUUUUCAGACACCAGAAGGAAAGAAAAUAAUUCAAGAAACAUGCACAAAAAUGAGCGUAGAGUGUGGAUGUGCAUUGAAGGAAUUAGCAUUGUCAAUGAAGACAAUGAUCAUUUAUCCAACAACUGAUUCUCAUAUUCUAAAGGCUAAAGCAGCAGCUGAAAAACUAAGGUCCAUAAUUAGAAGUGGUAACUUGGCUGAAGAAGCAGAGUUGCGGCAGCUGCUUCCGACGACAAGAGUAGCUUCACUGAUGCUAGAUUUUGUCUCCAGCUCUGUGGAAAUCUUGGACUCUGUUAAUCAUCUUGCUGUUCUUAUGAAAUUCAAGAUUUUGGCAUCGAAACCAAAGCGAUUGGGGAGCAAGAACAGAAUCCCGAGUGGCAAUAUUGGAGAAGCACAUAUUGCAAUUAAUGUUGAGUGAUACCUAGGUUAACACGCAAUCUUCAUUGUAAAAAGAGUUCGUUUUCAUAACGGAUAAAUCUGGAGGAUCAGUGGUACAUAGUCCGAAUCUCGCUAGAUAAUGAGUCCACGUGUUUACUCUUUUUUCACUUCGAAACUCGUUGAAUAUGGGCCCGUCCCUUUACCAUUGUUCACUUGUUUAAAUAUAAGCUUUUUGGAUGAGUUUGAACUCGUGACAUUUGUUUAACCCACACAUCAUGGGUUGUACUUUCACCGCUAGACCAAAGCCAUGGCUUUUUAUUGUAAAAAAGAGUAAGAUUUUAUGGAAUAAAAUGCAAAUUGUCUUGUAAGAUAAAAAAAAUUAUGCAGUGGUUCUUUUCUUACUUUUUUUUGUUCUUCAAAGAAUAAGGUUGGAUUAGUGGCAUCAUUUGGCUAUUAAUUCAAGAAAGGGAGUGAAGUAAUUUUUCUUUUUCCGAAUCUUUACACAAAUAGUUGGCCAGAUUCAAGUGACAUUCUCCCAUCUUCAAAAUUGGUCAUAUAAUUACGUUAAUUAUGUAACUUAAAUUAAAAUCACCAGUUGGUGAAUUAUUAGUCUUUCACAUAUAAUUUAGCCUACUCUGGAAUUUCACCAACCAAAGUCUUAGUUCUGUGCUGAAAUUGCAGAAUCUGUUAGAUGCAUACUUGUAUUUUGGACCUUCUUCUGCCUCCAUUGUUUUUAAUGACAACAAGUUUUACCCAUAAAAUCUUUGUCCAUAUGGUGCUAGAAUUCUCUUCAAGUUUUUGCAGGAAGCAACGAUGCAGAUACAGUAUCGGUAAUAAAUUCUGUUUGUUAUUACUGGGAUGUGUUUGUGUGGGGCGCGACCUGGCUGUAUUAUGCUAUAGGAAAUUCUUCAUAUCUUCAGCUUGCUACAGCUCCUCCUGGUACCACCAAACGUGUGUAUUUGCUUUGAUACAUAGCGUGGCAGAUGAUGUAGUCGACAACAUCCACGAUACUUGGAACAGAAAAGAUGAUAAUGUGCUGAAAGCGAGAAUGACUGUCAGUAUGACACUUGGUUGCUCAAAUUUGCAAAACUCUCUCCAGCUAAUGGAAAGAGUAGGGAUUUUUCAUUUUUGUUAGUAGAUACAAUUUAUUUUCACAAAUGGCGGCCAUGAGGUGGUUACUACUUUAGGCCUCAAAGCCCUGAAGGAUGUAGCCUAGAGUUCAUUCAAUUAAGAUGUGCCAUUGCCAAUGGCACUAACUUAAGUCAAAAAGCUUGUUGAUGUUAGUCAAUAAACGGAGGCUACUGCAGAUUACCAAAUUAUCAGAUAGGACAAAUGAGAUUGAAUUUACUACUGCUGAAAUUCAUGCUAUGAUUUUUUUUGCAAACAAUUAAGGUGUCUUUGGGGUUGUAUGGAGACCUUAGAGAAAUGGCAACAAGAGUUUAUGAUAGCCAUUUGUGACAACUCGAUAGGCCUUUUUUGAGUACUAGCCCUUAAUUCCAAGUUUUGAGACCUCCAUUAGCUUCGUUUGAUGUUUCUUGAUUUGCGUGCGUGGUCAGUGUCGCUUUUAGAAAAGCUUUUAUGUAAAAAUUUGAAGAAAAUAUAAUUUUUGGCUUUAAAAAUAACUUGAGUUGACUACGGUCAACAUUUUGUGAAAAUAUCCCCAGAUCAUUUUGACAAUUUUGGUAGGUCCAUAUUGUGAUUUUGGACUUGGACGUAUGUCCUGAAUUGAAAUCGGAGGUCCCUAGGGUGAUUUGACUUAUCUUGCCGAAAGCUAGUAAUUUGAAAGUUUGAAAAUUUCCUAGGUUUGACCGUAGGUUGGCUUCAUGGCUAUCAGGUUUGAAUUUUGAUUUUGGGACUUAGUAUAUGCAGGUAUGAAGUGAGUUCCAUACCAUGAAAAAAAUUUCAAUGAGACCGUUUUUUAUUUGAAACGUGUCUGCAAAAUUUGGUGCAAUUCAGAAUUGGUUUGAUAUGAUUCAGACGCUUAGUUGUGAUUCUAGUUGUUCUUGCGGUUCCCUUUAAAAUUUCAUUCGUUUUGAUGUUCAAUUUGUAGUCUUAGAUGUUAUUUUGGUAUUUUGACCAUGUGAGCGAGUUCGUAUGAUAUUAUUACACUUGUGUACAUGUUUGGUUUGGAGCCCGAGGGGCUCUGGUGAGUUUCGGAUGCAUUUCGGAUGAGUUUGGAAAGUUUGAGGACUGCUGAUGUAGAGUUAACUUCUGGCGUCUGAUGCAGAUCUCACAAUUGCGAGGUGUGGUUCGCAUUUGCAAACAAAAGUUCGCAUUUGCGAGCGGGGCCCGGGAUUUGGUGACCUCGCAUUUGCGAGGAAAUGGUUCGUAUAUGCGAACUGGCUAGGGCUCCUUUUGGGAGAAAUUUGGUCGCAUUUGCGACUACUAGAAAUAUAGGACAACUUCGCAUUUGCGAAGAAAUUGGCCACAUUUGCGAAUGCUGGGCUUUUUGCAUUUGUGAUCAAAUCAUCGCAAUUGCGACAUUUGGACUUCUGAUACAAGGUUCGUAUUUGCGACCUUUGUUUCGCAUUUGCGAUGCUCGUAAUUGCGAACAAGACAUCGCAAUUGCGACAUUUGUAGCUAGGUAAAAGAGGAAAAAAAUGGGACUUAACUCAUUUUACACCAUAUCUCAAUCCUAAACACUCUAGUGGCGAUUUUCCAAGGAUUUCUUCUUCCCAAAAUCAUUGGUAAGCAAAUUUAAUCCACUUUCUUUCAAUUCUCCAUUACUUUUCAUGAUAUUUCAACAUCAAAUUUAGGAUUUGCAUGGUAGAAAUUAGGAAUUUGGGUAGAAAUUGAGAAUUUUACAAAAUUGAGAUUUAGACCUCAAAUUGAGGUCGGAUUUCGAAACAAAUCACAUAACCGGGCUCGGGGAUGAAUGGGUAAUCGGGGUUUGAUUCGAAUCUCGAGUUUUGACCAAGCGGGCCUGUGGGUAACUUUUGUUGACUUUUUCAAAAAAUGAUCAAAAUUGAACCUCUUUCAUUAAUGGGUGGUUUCUAGAGCUUGUUUUGAAUCGUUUGAUCGAUAAUUGCUAGAUUUGGUUGGUUUGGAGACUUGUUCAAAAGGCAAGGUCAUGGUUGAUUGAUUGCUUUGUUCGUGAAGUGAUGUAAAUGUUAUGUCUAACAUUGACUUGAGGGAAUUAGAAUUUCUUGAACUAUUUAUUAUGUGAAUUAUGUGGUGAAAACGGCGUAUAUGCGCCGUCAUGGGAUUUAGCAUGCGAGAUUGGGAUAUGUAUUUUCAUGUUUUCAUUUAUUUCACGAUAUCUCUUGUUAUAUGCUUAAUGUUAUAUGUUUUUACUUGACUUCUAUGGCAUAUUUGUUACUUGUUAUCUAAUUGUUACUUGCCUUAAUUUGUUUAUUCCUCACAUGAUUUCUGCUUAUUUGCUAUAUGUUUCUACUUGUAUUAAUUGUAUAUUUUAAUUGUCAUAUGUUUUACCUGCUUUUAUUGCUCUUAUACUAUUUGAUGCACUCUAUAAUGUUAUUUCACUUAUGUGAGUUGUUUAACUGUUCUGUACUAAUGAAUUGGUAGAGUUUGAGAUUUGAAGAUGUUAGCUAUUCUCCGAUUAUUCUGUGGUUCUUUACUGUCUUGUACAUUUACCUUCUUACAUUAAUAUUUUGUGAAUAUUGUUGUUGAAUUAUUUAUGAUGAUGAUUUAAAAUUGGUUGGGGAUCGGGUUGCACGCUGCAAUGGUAUUGAUUGGUAUUGAAAUGAUAUGAAGGAAUAAGGACGAAUUAUGAUAUGAACAGAUGAUGAUAUGGUGGGAUCGGGUUGCGCGCAACGGAUUUGGAUAUGUUGUAAUUGUUGAGGUAUCCUCGAUGUUGUGAUAUAAGACUUGAGACUUUGUUAUUCUGGACUCUCUGGUAGUUGACCUUCGGGUUCAUUUAUAUGAGUUUAUUGCUUUAUUUUUGUUCCUGUUUUCUUGUUAUUAUUAUUUCGUACAGGUUAUUUAUGAGUGACUUGCCAUAGCAUCAUCACUACUUUGUCGAGGUUACGCUCGGCACUUACAUGGUACAUGAUAUCAUUGCACUUAUACUAUACUUAUGUAAUUCUUAUGUAGAUACCAGAGUUGAUCCCAAUGGCGCGUAACGAGACUGCUCGGAAUAUAGUUAUAGCAUAGCUAGCUCUAUAUACACUUACAUAUUUUUCUGAAUUAGAAGUAUGCGCAAGAUUAAAUUGGAAAACAUAGUAGCAAUAGGCAAGAACAAAUAAUACUUAUCGAAGCAUUCCUCUGAAUUCCCGGGGAACUUUUAUAGUCAAUGAAAUAUAUAAAAUUGUGAUCAGUCAAAUAUUGCAAAGUCAACUCGUCUGUGUGGGGGAAUAAUAAGUUAGAGAAUUGAUCAUUUCGCUUAGGAAGGAAAAAAGUAUCUUAAACAAGGUCUUCACUCAGCUUUCAACAGGGAAUAACUCCAUCAGACAUAUAAGAAAAGAGUGUAGGAUGGGUAAGCUUUACCGAGCACUGAAUAAAAGUACCGCAGAACCACCUAAUGUUUGCCUCUAGAUGAUGCACUUAAUAAUGAGUUCAAAUACUUUCUUUUCUCCAUACCUGGACUCUGUUAAUCAACUUGAUGUUCUUAUGAAAUUCAAGAUUUUGGCAUCGAAACCAAAGUGAUUGGGGAGAAGGAACAGAAUCUCAAGUGGCAAUAUUAGAGAAGCACAUAUUGCAGUUAAUGUUGAGUAAUACCUAGGUUAACACACAAUGAUUUUCAUUGUAAAAAGAGUUCAUUUUUAUAAUGGAUAAAUCCCGAGGAUCAGUGGCGCAUAGUCUAGAACUCGCUGGAUAAUGAGUCCGCUCAUGUACUCUUUUUUCACUUCGAAACUCGUUGAACUAUGGGCACAUCCCUUUAUCCUUGUUCACUUAAAAUAAAUAUAGGCUUUUGGAUGAGUUUGAACUCGUGGCAUUUGUUUAACCUAUGCAUCACGGGUUGUACUUUCACCACUAGACCAAAUCCCUCCCUAGUCAUUGUAAAAAGAGUAAGAUUGUAUGGAAUGAAGUACAAACUUUCCUGCAAGAUAAAAAAGUUCUUGAGUGGUUAUUUUCUUACUUUUUUAUUCUUCAAAAUAUAAGAAAGGACGAACGUCAUUAUUUGGCUAUUAAUUCAACAAAGAGAAUUUUGCAUGAAGUAAUUAUUCUUUUUCCGAAUCUAUACACAAAUAGUUGGCCAGAUUCAAGUGACGUUGUCCACCUUCAAAAUUGGUCAUAUAAUUAUGUUAAUUAUGUGAUAUAUUUAAAAUCAUCGAUUGGUGAAUUAUUAGGUUGCCAUAUCUAGUUUAGCGUACUCUAGAUUUUCACCAACAAAAAUGAUUUUCAUCAACCAAAGUCUUAAUUCUGUGCCGAAAUUGUAGAAUCUGUUAUAUGUAUACUUGUAUUUUGGACCUCCUUCUGCCUCUAUUAUUUUUAAGGACAACAAGUUUUACCCAUGAAAUCUUUGUCCAUAUGGUGCUAGAAUGCUCUGCAAGUUUUCCAGGGAGCAACGAGGAAGAUACAAUAUCGGUAAUAAAUUCUGUUUGUCAUUACUGGGAUGUGUUUGUGUGGGGCGCGAACUAGCUGUAUUAUGCUAUAGAAAAUUUUACAUAUAUUUAGGUUGCUACAGCUCCUCCUGGUAUCACCAAAUAUAUGUAUGAUGUUUUAUACUUCAAUGCCACAUAAGAGGGGUUGAUUUAUGUGGUGUCCAAUUUUUUACGUGCACAAAUUAUAGAAGGACCUAGUUCUUAUCCGAGUUCCUUACACUUCAGUUGCGGAAUAAUAAAUGUUGAAAGAAAGAACACAAGUAUUUUUACGUGAAAAACACCCGACUCAAAAGGUAAAAAAAUCACGACCUACUUCCCAGUAAGAUUUUUCUCAACACUUCACUAAAUCACUGAGCCAGACAAUGACGUUUACAAAACUCUUGUAAACCUAAGAAUUACCUCUAACCCUUGUAGCAACCAGACACAGGCGGUUAUGAUAGCUUCAGUUUAACUCUAACUUGAACAAUACAACUCAAAGUACAAAUGCUUUUAAAGAAAGCUGAAAGGUACAACUCAAAAGCCCUAAUACAACUGAACUAGAAUAAAGGAAAACCACUUUUAUCUGGUUCAUGUAACUUCAGGUUCGCACACUUGAAACACACAAGAAUUGGUUGCAAAAUGCAUUACUAUUUUGCUCUCAAUUCUUGCUUAACUUCAGCAUUUGUGCAUCACCUGUAAAAGAGAACCCAACUAAAUGUAUAGAGUUAGUAGAAUAAGGAGUAACUAAUGUUCUAAUGCUUUACUCUUCCAUGAUGGAGUAGUUUUAGUUAUCUUCAACUUCUAACUCCUCCCUUGUCUAGGAUAUAGUUCUAUUCAAGUAAGGAGUCUUGUUCCUUAUCAAUUAUGCAACCUUUUUUUUAGGGGAUAUCUAAUAUAACCAUUUAUGUUUAUCCCCUUCACGUGCAUGCCUUGUGUUUUAAUCUGCCCAUGCCCUGUGUACACCAUGUAUGGACCUGAUUUAUGCAUGUGUUCCUUUGUCAAUCAUCAAAACAAAACUUACUCAGACCAACAAAUUUCCCCUUUUGAUGAUGACAAAGUUUGUGCUUUUUAUAAGCAUGAAACCUAUUUCAACUCAGCUCAACAUCAACACAAUGUUAGAACACUUUCCAUUUUAAAGUGACAGAUCAUCAAGGACUAGGUUCAUUAGGUUAUAAAUAUCACAGUCCAAAGCAAAAACACAACCUAUCUUCCCCUUUUUCAUUAUCGAAAAGUUGCAUAAUUAAGUUAUAUAACCAGAUUUUAGCAGAUCUUACUCAUGGCCAUUUAGGUUACUUCAAAUGCAAUCACGGAUUCAAGUUUCUCUUAUCAAUCAAAAGAUAUUAGCCAUCUAAGAAAUAUCAACAAACAAUUUGAGCAAAAAUAGCUAUUAUCAUUGAUAAGAUUCAUCCACAAAGCAUAAGAGAAAUAAAAGUACCGAACCAUGAGCAAAAAGACAAAAAAGAAAAAUCCCACUCGGGUCACUAGUUACAAACUAGGCUAGGAAGGGUUUAAAACUGGGAAGGAUCAGGUUCUUGGUGUCUGGCCUGAAGCAGCUUCAACAUGUCUUGAAGAAUGCCUUCAUUCUUCUCUUUCUCCUUUGCAAGCUCAGACUUAAGAGCAUCCCUUUCAGUUUCUACUUCAGCCUCUCAAUCUCAGUAUCCUUAAUCCCACUCUCCUGCUCCAAAUCUCUCACUUUGAUGGGCACUCUCUUGAAUGAACCAGGUUCUUUGGGAGCAGUAAGGACUUCAUAAUCACAUUCAAUUAAAGUGCUGGCCCCAAAGUAAUCUUUACUUGUGCUUAUAUCAUAUUGCUUUUGGGGAACCUUAAAUUGAGCAAGCACAACAGUGAGUAUGAACCCAUAGGGUAUGGCAUGAGUUUUAGUGCCAGAACCACCCUAUUAAGGAGUUGGAUUAUAAAUCCCGGCCAGUUGAUCUGCCUUCCACUAUCCAAGCACUCCAUAAGGACCAGGUCCACAAAAGUAGCAAUUUGCCUUCUCUCCUGCCUGGGCAGAACUACUUUGUUGACAAAUUCAAUGAGUACUUUGUGGGCAGGAGUCAUAUCACUCUUAUAGACAUCCCCGAGUCGUAGUUCUAAAUCCAUAUCAGUAAAUUUCUUGGUGAUGGCAAGUGAGGUAGGUAGAUUCUCUAAACUUGGCUACUUUAACUUUUUAUAGUCAUUGUAGCCCUCAGCAGGUAUCCUUAGAAUCUUCCCAGCUUUUUAUCAUCAAAGAUCACCUUCACUCCUUUCACCACACUAUUUACCCUUCCAUUCUCUAUCUCACAAUUUACAAGGAAUUUCACUAUUUCAUCUUGGGCUAACCUUCCUUCCAUCCCUAAAUUUCCAACUUCUCCAACAACAACACGAUUCCUUUGUCUUCCAAAUCUUUGAGGAGCCUCUCCUUCAGAAUUGUUCUUUUUCCAAACUUAACCAUCUUGUCAUUUUCUUCACCAGUCUUUUCUUCUUCUUCACUCUCUUCUUCCACUAUUUGCAUUUUUCUUGAUUUCCUGGCAAAGUUGGUUCUUUUUGCCAAGGCAGAGCUUUUUGUAUCAAUAGACUUUGCAUGGGACUCCUUCUUAGAAGUCUUUAUUUUCUUAGCACUUGGAGUCAUAACCUCCACUUCCUCUGCCUCAUCCUCAUCAUGAAGGACCAGGUCCAUCUCUUCAAUCUCAAUUGUUUCACUUGAUUCACCCACUUUCUUCUUCUCUUUAGCAGCAACUUUCUUUUUACUCUCAGCUAAGGUCCUUUCUAGGUCAUCCUCACUCUGCUUCCUUUGACUCCUUGUAGUUCUUCCUUUUGUGGGAGGAGUCUCUACAAGGAUAGAAGAGACAACCUCUAUUUUUUUUGCCUCUCAUAGCAGUUCUAGGGAUUUUAACUCCUGAACUUUUCUUCUUCAUUGGAUUGUAGUUGUCAUACACCCUUUUCAAUAGGUCAUUUAGGGGUUAUUUCCUAGAUGGAACAGAUUCUUGGAACCUCUUUCUCAGCCUAACCAGCCCCUCCACUGCACUAGCAUCUCGACCUACUCCCCCCUUCUUCUCUUAAACUUUCUUCUUCCUCAACAACCUUCUCACUCCAUAUCAUCAUAGCCCCUGUUUCUUCAGUCAAACCAACAGGAUUGGGUGAAGAUUCAACCAUUCAUUCUUCUCCCUUUACCCUCACAUCUCAUAUUACACCCUCACUGACUUUUACUUUUUCUCUUUUAUUUUUACCACCUAUUUUAGUUGACCCAGACUCUACACCAACUAUAGUACCAACUAGAACAAACCUUUUCUCAAGGUUUUCAGCCACUUCUGAAAUAACAUUAGACGAAAUUUUUAGCCCAAAAGUUACCUAUUCUGUUUCAAAUAAAACAAGUUCUUCCCCCUCAGUUGCAGACUUGAAGGACUCAUAUGAUUUUUAGGGUUCCUCUGUUUGACUGGCUUUUAACUUCUCGUUUAUUCUCUUAGUUUGUUCACUACCAAUAACUAUUUUAUGAGAAAGCAUCUUAACACGUCCCUUCUUGGGAGUUUGGAUGGUUGAAGGUAUGGGUGAUAGUUGUUUGGGUGGUGAAGAAAGGUUCUCGAUAAUUUUGGGAUUUUCAGAUGGGUUUGCCAUAAGAUGAGUGUAGAAUAGAUGAGAGAAGCUUGAGAAAAUUUGGAGUCUUGAUUUUUCAAAGAUCAGAAGUGAAGAAAGAGGUAAGGUCCCAUCAAUUUAAAGAGGGAAGAGUUGGAGUGUGUAACUGCUGCUUUUUGGAGUUUAAAGUCUAAUCAUCCUGGGAAUGUCAGUUUGAAUAGACGUUAGAUUCUUCCCAAAAUUUAGGCAAUUAUGGCGCGUUUUGUUUUGGUGAAACUAGUUCUUUGGUAAUGGAUUGGUUCAAAAAGAGGUUGGGAUUGAGUGGGACUUCUUUCAGAUCAUGAUCCAAAUACAAUUAUUCCAAAAUAUGCAGAGUGGAGAAUACGUACCUUAUAAUUUUGAUAAACCAGGUUCUUCACUGAAAGUUCUCUUGUGUAAGACUGAUUUUUCCAAGAAAAUAAGGGUAAUAUCAUUAGAGAUUAGUGAGACAUUUUAGCACAUGACACAAGAGUAAACUAAUAAAAUUAUGAGACUGAGCAGUAUUUAAUCUAAUUAUUUAUAAAAUUCACAAAUUGUCUAACCAAUUAUUGAGUUAGAACUGGUUCCUUUUAGGUGGUCUUAAUCAUCCCUAAUUCUAAUAUGUUUCUUUCAAAGUGACUUCUACUUAGAUAUUUUGUGAAGAUGUCAGCUAUUUGCUUGUCAGUAGCACAAAAUUCUACAGUGAUCAAACCCUUCUCAUAGUAGUCCCUCAAAAAGUGAUGCCUUACAUCUCUGUGCUUAGUUCUUUUAUGAUGAACCGAGUUCUUGUUCAUACUAAUUGCACUAGUGUUGUCACAAAAGAUAGGGAUACAACCUACAUAGAUUUCAAAGUCCAUUAAUUAUUGUUUGAUCUACAACAAUUGAGCACAACAUGAGGCAACAACCACAUACUCAGCUUCAGUAGUAGACAAAGCCAUAGAAUUUUACUUUUUGGUGGCCCAAGACUGCAAGACACAAGACAUAAGCCAAGAAAGCGUGCCAUAUCUAAAGUGCUCUUUCUAUCCAUAAUAAAACUUGCAUAAUCAGCAUCAACAUAUCCCACUAAAUCAAAAUUACUACCUUUAGGAUACUAUAUGCAAAGAUGAAUGGUGCCUUUUAGGUAUCUCAAAAUCUUCUUGACAGCCUUCAAGUGAGACUCCUUUGGAUUUGCCCGAAAUCUAGCACAAAGGCCUACACCAAAAAUAACGUCAGGUCUACUAGUAGUGAGAUAUAAAAAAGAGCCAAUCAUUCCUCUAUAAACCUUCUGAUCAACAGAUGAACCAGGUUUAUCCAAAUCCAAUUUUGUGGCUAUUGCUAUAGGAGUGUCAAUUUCUUUGGAAUUAUCUAUUUUAGACCUUUUAAGCAACUCUUUCACAUACUUUUGUUGAUGGAUCAUAGUUCCAUUUGAAUUUUAUUUAAUUUGUAAGCCUAAAAAGAAAUUAAGCUCACCCAUCAUACUCAUUUCAAAUUCACUCCCUAUUAGCUUAGCAAAUUCUUUACUUAACCUAUAUGUAGUUGCUCCAAAGUUUAUAUCAUUAACAUAUAUCUGAACUACCAAGAGAUCUUUACCUUUAUCUUUCAAGAAUAAAGUAUUGUCAAUUUUACUUCUCUUGUAGCCAUGCCCAAGCAAGAAUUAGAUAAUAUUUUAUACCACGCUCUUGGAGCUUGCUUGAGGCCAUAAAGUGCCUUGUCAAGCUUGUACACAUGAUUAGGACAUUCCUUGCUUUCAAAGCCAGGAGGUUGCUUGACAAAUACUUCUUCUUUUAGAUAGCCAUCGAGAAAGGUACUCUUGACAUCCAUCUGAUGGAGAGUGAAUUCCAUGAAAGCAGCAAAGGCUAUAAGGAGUCUAAUUGCUUUCAAUCUUGCAACUGGAGCAAAAGUCUCAUCAUAGUUUAUGCCCCCCUCUUGACUAUAUCUUUGAACCACCAAUCUUGCCUUAUUCCUUGUAAUCGUUCUAUCUUCAUCAAGUAUGUUUCUGAAGACCCAUUUUGUGCCAAUAACUGUUCUAUCCUUGGGUCUUGGUACCAGAUGCCAAACUUGACUUCUCUCAAAUUGGUUGAGUUCAUCCUGUAUUGCAUUCACCCAAUCUGCAUCCUGCAAAGCCUUAGAGAUAUUUUUAUGUUCAAUAAGAGAUAAAAAGGCAUCAAAAGCACAGAGGUUCUUUAAAGAGGAUCUGGUUUUGAUUUCAGAGGUUCAAUCGGUGAUUAUGUUUCCAUUGGGAUGAGAACUUUGAUAAUUGUAAGGCUUCACAACCAACUGGUUUCCCCUAGAUGUUCCUUCAAUAUUUUGUUGUUGAGGAACAGGUUCACUCGAGGUUUGAGAAUCAGUUCCUUUUUGUUUAGUUCCCCCUGUCAGGUUGGUCUGGGUGGAAGGACCUGUUCCAUCACCUGUUCCUUCCUCUAGUGCAGCUUCAGGCUGGACUAUUGCUUUCUUUAAGUUUCUUACCAACCCAAUUUCUUUAUCAUCUGGUUCCUGCCUCUAAAAAAGAAUGUUAGUUUCAUAAAAAAUAAUAUUUACACUUUCUUCUACACACAUAGUUCUUUUGUUAUAAAUCUUAUAAGUUUUACUAUGUGAAGAAUAUCCCAAGAAUACUCCCUCAUCACUUAUGGGAUAAAACUUACCUAGGGAGUUUUUUCCAUUAUUAUACACAAAGCACUUGCAUCCAAAUGCCCUAAGGUGGGAUAUAUUUAGCUUUCUCCCUUUAAAUAACUCAUAGGGAGUCUUUUCAAUAAGAGGUAUAGUCAUUAUCCUAUUUAUGAUGUAGCAUGUAGUGUUCACAGCUUCUGCCUAGAAGCUAUGAGGCAAUUUACUAGCAAGUAGCAUAGUCCUAGCCAUUUCCUCCAAUAUCCUAUUCUUUCUUUCAACUACUCUAUUUUGUUGUGGAGUUCUAGGAGCAAAAUAAUUAUGAUCUAUGCCAUGCACAUCUAAAAAUUCAAAAAACUUAGCAUUCUCAAAUUCAGUACCAUUAUCAGACCUAAUUGAAGCAAGUUGAUUUCUUAGUUGUUUCUGAGUUUUUCUACCAAAUGAAGUGAAUAUGUCAAAUGCUCUAUCUUUAGAUGUUAAAAAUAAUGUCCAAGUAAACCUAGAGUAAUCAUCAACAAGCACCAUAACAUAUAUAUCUCUUACCACCUCUACUCAUUGUCCUCAUUGGUCCACACAGAUCCAUAUGAACCAGUUCCAUCGACCUGACAGUACUUACCAUUUUCUUGCUUUUAAAAGAGGAUCUUACCUACUUCCCCCUUGCACAAGCCUUACAAACUUUGUCUUCCUUGAACUUAAUGUUAGGCAGCCCUAUCACUAAGUCCUUGGAGACUGGUUUGUUAAGUUGGCUUAGACUUGUAUGUCCAAGUCUCUUGUGCCAAAGGAGAGGAUCAUUGUCCAACACACUUAAGCAAGUGAGUUCAUUAUCUGAAAGUGUGGACAUAUCCACUACAUAUAUGUUAUUCACUCUUUUUCCCUGCAAAACUAUCUUGUCAGGUGUAAGAUUUAUUACAAAGCAUUUUGUUGAGGUAAAAGCUAUCAUGUUACCUCCAUCACACAAUUGUGAUACACUUAUUAGAUUGUACUCCAGUCCAUCUAUCAAGCAGACAUUCUCAAUAUAGUGAGAAUCAGACUUACCUACCUUUCCAACCCCAAUGAUCUCACCUUUCUUUUUAUUUCCAUAGGAGACAUUACCUCCUUUAAGGUCCUCAAGUGAAAGGAACCGGUUCUUGCUUCCUGUUAUGUGCUUUGAACAACCACAAUUCAUGUACCAUGUUUGGCUUCUCCCCUUCACUUGAUCUUACAAAAAGAAAUCAAGGGUUAGUCUUAGGAACCCAAACUAGUUUGGGUCCCUUUCUUUAGGCAAAAGGAUAAAUCAAAUUCUUUUUAGCCCAAUUUGGCAACUUGUUUUUCCUAGAACAAAAUUUUUGUUCUUUUGACUUGCCUUCCCUUUUGCAGUGCAUUCACUCUUAUAAUGAUUAGUGUUACCAAAAUGUGUGCAAAUCUUGUUCUCAGGGAGUAUGAGGUACUUUCUUUUGGGAUCCCAGUUAGGUGCAGAGUUCCCAAAGCCAAGUCCUCUUCUGUUGCUACUAUGAUGUUCUUGUAGCCAUGAAAGUACAUCAGAGGACCUGUUCCAUUUACAAGUUCUGUCUAGCUCAUGCUUAACCUUAUUCAGGUCCUCCUUUAAGACUCUUACAUAUUCAUCUCUUUUAUACAACUCAUCUUUCAUUUUACCUAAAUUCUCUUCUAGAGUGAAUAGUUUGUCACCAACUAUCUUUUUACCUAUUCCUAACUUUAAUUUUAGAUUUUUAGAUCUAAGUUCUAAGACAGUUGUAUCAAGUGCACGAACUUGGUUCUUUAACACAAUAUUUUCACUUUCAGUUUCACAAGCCCUAAGUUUCAGGUUUUUGCACUUAGCCUUCAAAAUGAUACAUUCUUUUGACAACUGUUCCUUUUUAUUAUUCACAUCUUCAGACUCAUCAAUCAGCUCUAGUAAUUCAUGUAAUCUUUCUUUAGAUAAAAAUUUAAUCUUGUAUUUGAGAUGAAGGACACUUAUCUCGAUUUUUUCAUCUGAUUCUCCAAUAGCCAUUAGUGCUCGUUCAUCAUCAUCAUCAUCAUCAUCAUCAUCAUCAUCAUCAUCAUCACCAUCAGAGCUUUCUCCCCAAACAACAACCAUAGCCUUAGUUGAUCCUUUAUUGUUGUUUUUAUUAGGAUGAACUUGUUCCUUCUUCCUGUUCCUUCUUUCAGCUCUUUCCUUUUUCAAUUCAAUCUCCCACAAAGGACAGUUCUUGAUCAUGUGAUCAGUCUUUCCACACUUAUAGCAUCCAUCAUUAGUCUGCUUCUUUGGAGCUCUUGCCUUGCUGUAGUUUUCACUUCUUGAAGAAUCCUUUCCUCUCCUUAGUUACUUCUUGAAGUCUUUGUAAUCAUUGUCAUUUCAUCAUCUUUCAAGUCAGAACCUUCAGUAAUUUUGAGUGCCAAACUCCUUUCCUUAUUAGGCACAUCCAUUUCCAUGGAUUGUCUCCUAAGUUCAUAAGCAGUGAGAUUUCCACUAAAUUCAUCCAUAGGGAGUGUGGCCAUAUUCUUUUAUUCCUGAACAGCAGUGAUCUUGCUUUCCAAAGUAAUUUGCAAGACCCUAGUAAAUUUUCAACCCCUCUCAUCUUCAAGGAUAAUCCUGCCAAGAGAUUUUAGUUUAUUUGUCAAUAUAGUGAACCUUGUGUACAUAUCUUGAAUGGUUUCUCCAUCUUUCAUAGAAAAAUUUUCAUACUGACAGUACAAUAGUGUUCAUCUUGAUCUCUCACCUGAGUUGUUCCUUCAUGGGCCACUUGCAGUGGGUCCAAAAUUUGCUUGGCAAUGGAACAACCUUGGAUUAUGUUGUACUCAUCUGGACCAAGUCCAAAAACAAGCCAUUUCUUGGCUUUGACAUUCUUUUUCCACUUUUUCAAAUCCUCAGCAUUGCAAUCAGCUCUUGUUUUUGGAACAUCUACUUCUUCAACAUUUUUCUUCAAGGUGGAUAGUAGGCCAUCAGUAAUUAUGUCCCAUAGCUCGUAGCCCUCAGCUUGUACAUGAUCUUUCAUACUAGUCUUCCACCAAGAGUAGUACUGGCCAUUGAAGAGUAGUGGCGUAGACGUGGAUUAUCCUUCCCAAUUUCCAAGUGAUGCACUCAUCUUGAUCUUCUCCUAAGGUGUUAAUGCCUCUUAAAGGAUAAUCUGCUCUGAUUCCAAUUGAUGUUUUAUACUUUAAUGCCACACAAGAGGGAGGGUGAUUUGUAUGGUGUCUAAUUUUUUGCGUGCACAGAUUAUAGAAGGACCUGGUUCUUCUACGAAUUCGUUACACUACAGUUGCAGAAUAAUAAAUGCUGAAAGUAAAGAACACAAGUAUUUUUACGUGAAAAACACACGAUUCAAAAGGUAAAAAAAUCACGACUGACUUCCAGUAGAACUUUUCUCAACGCUUUACUAAAUCACUGAGCCAAACAACAACAUUUAUAAAACUCUUGUAAACCUAAAGAUUACCUCUAACCCUUGUAGCAACAAGCCACAGGCUGCUGCGACAGCUUCAAGUUAACUCUAACUUGAAUAAUACAACUCAAAGUACCUAGUACAAAUUCUUCUAACAAAGCUAAAAGGUACAACUCAAAAGCUCUACUAUAAUUGAACUAGACUAAAAGACAGCCACUUGGAACUGGUUCUUCUAUCUGGUUCAUGUAGCUUCAGGUUCCCACACUUGAAACACACAAGAAUUGCUUGCAAAAUGCCUUGUUAUUUUGCUCUCAAUUCUUGCUUAACUUCAGCGUUUGUGCAUCGCCUGUAAAAGAGAACACUACUAAAUAUAUAGAGUUAGUAAAAUAACGAUUAACUAGAGUUUUAAUAUUUUACUCUUCCAUGGUGGAAGAGUUCUAGUUAUCUUCAACUUCUAACUCCUCCCCUAUUUAGGAUAGAGUUCUCUUCAAGUAAGGAGUCAUGCUCCUUAUUAAUUAUGCAACCUUUUCAUUAAGGGGAUAUCCGAUAUAACCACUUAUGCUUAUCCCCUUCAUGUGCAUGCCUUAUGCUUGAAUCUGCCCGUGCCUUGUGUAUACUGUGUAUGGACCUGGUUCAUGCAUGUGUUCCUCAGAAAAAUAAUGUAUUUACUUUAAUACGCAGCGUGGAGGAUGUUGUAGACGGCAACAUCCACGAUACUUGGAACAGAAAAGAUGAUAAUGUGUUGAAAGCUGUAUUGGUAAAAAUAAAUAUUACACGUUGAAUUAAAUAUGUGACUGAUAUGGCAAGGCAUGUGGAUCACUAAAAAAAUGACAGCUGGAGAGAUGCAUUAAAAGAGACACGAGUCAUAACAGAUACGAGCAAAUCACCCACGAGAUGAAAGGAUACGGUCACUCGAGUCUAAGUAGUUAAAUGAAGAGGCACCGGCAGAAUGAAUCAAGACAGUAAAGAGGGAAGAUUCAUGAAUCGUCAAUUAAUGAGCGUGAAUGAUCACAAACGUUACAGAAUCUUCAUGAACAAUUACGAUUACCAAUUAUAACGUCUCAUUAAUAUCAUUAGUUCUCAUAAUGAUUCAGUCAUAAAAGGGAAAAGACGUUAUACUUAUAGACUCCUAUAUAAGGGAAUGAGAUGUCACUUGUACAGACACACUCUGAUUAUUAUUGGAAUAUAAUUACUUUCUUGUGCUUUCUAUUGAUUAUUUUGUCAUUUCUUAUUCUAAUUUUCUUUCUUAUUUCUGAUAGAAUAUUGAAUUUCUUGAUUAUCAGUAACUCGAGUACUUCUAAAAAUAGGCUUUGACUGAGAAUCUAAUUCUUUCGUUAAAAAAAUUGGUUCUGUUACCGGGAAUUUGAAAAUCUUCUCUUACUUUCCAAAUCACUCUUUCUCAACUGAAUCAUAUCGAAUGUCAAUGACAACAACCAACAGGUGGAAGGAACUCCAGUUCCGUCACCUCAAGGAACCUCACGCAAUUCAAGAGAAGCAUCACCAGAAAGAUCCACUACGUAUAACAAUGAACAAGCUGUCGAGUAGGAUGCUGUGAAGCAGUUAAUUGCUGAGUACGUGAAUGAUGCUCUCCAGGCUUUCGUGAGGGUACUACCAGCUGUGCCACCCACACUUCCACCAAACAAUACUGCAACUGUGGAAAUUCCACGAUCAGGGUUGGUUAAUUCUGGAAGCGGAGGAACUCCCAACGAGUCACGCGAUGGGAGACCGGGUACGCCUAAUAAUUCUGAUUUACAAACUUUAAUACUAACCUUGCAGAAACAGAUGAAAGAACAAAAUGACCGUAUUGAGUAAAUACCCGGCGUACCACCUGUGAUCAAAUGAGUUAAUUUCGACAAAUAUUCACAACAACCAUGGAAACCAAGCGCAACUCCAUUACCAAUUCCCAAAAAGUUCAAAAUGUCUGACAUCCCGAAAUACGAUGGAACGACCGAUCCACGUGACAACGUUACUGCAUUCACCACGAAAGUAAAAGGCAAUGAUUUAACCAAGCAGAGAUUGAAUCUGUGCUGGUCAGAAAGUUUGGGGAAACACUUACUAAAGGAGCGUUAACAUGGUACUCUCUUUUACCUGAAAAUUCUACUGACUCUUUUGUUGAGCUUGCAGAUCUAUUUAUAAAAGCACACUCGGGUGCACAAAAAGUUGAAAAGAGAAUGGAGGAUAUAUUCAAAGUAAAGCAAGGAGAUACAGAAUUGCUUCGAGAAUUCGUAGACAGAUUCCAACGUGAAAGAAUGUUGCUACCAAGAGUACCUGAUAAUUGGGCAGCCAUGGCAUUCACAAGCAAUUUAAACGAGAAAAGUUCAGAAGCUAUGAGGGGGCUUAAAGAGAGCCUACGAGAAUUCCUUGCAAUGACAUGGAAUAAUGUCUAUAAUAGGUACAGUACCAAAUUACGGAUCGAAGAAGAUAUCGUAGCUCAGUCAAAGGUUGAAGAAAAAACAGGUUUGAGGCGGUCAGAAUCUGAGAAGAGGUCCGAUAAGAAUAGGUACAAGCCUUAUUUGGGACCUUCAGGGCGAGAAGCUCGUUCCAAAUUUGAAAACGUGUGGGCUGAUCAUAGGUUCGCAAAUAGAGAUUCAGGUUCGUCAUCGUCGAGAUUCAGAAAAGAUCGAGUUGAACGUAACAGAGAUGCUAAUACAAACGCAAGGAUUGGGGACUACAAUUUUAACGUGAGCACCUCCAAGUUGGUCGCUGUUUUAAGAAGCAUGGGGGAUAAGGUACGAUGGCCUAAAGAGAUGAGAUCAAGUCUAAAUAGAAAAAACCCAAACUUUUGGUGCAAGUUCCAUAAUGACCACGACUAUAGAACAUCAGACUGCAGUUUAUUACAAGGUGAGGUGGAACAUUUAUUGAAGCAGGGCUAUCUGACAAAAUUGUUCAGCGAGAAAGGCAAACAAGCGUACAUGAAAAAUAGGCAAGAGCCCCCAAAACCUCCAUCUCCAAAGAGAACAGUAAAUGUGAUAAAUGGCAGAGAAGAAGUCAACGGCGUAACCUAUACAGCUGCGAGAAAAACAACAAAGUUCACAAUAACUCACGUGAAGCGAACUCGCCAAACUUUGGAAGACGACAAUAUAACCUUUGAUGAUGCAGAUGCCAAUGGAUUAAUGAUUCCUCACAACGAUGCACUAGUAAUAUCUUUACUUAUACAUGAUACUAAUGUAAAACAAGUUUUGAUUGACCCAGGUAGCUUUGUGAAUAUCAUUCUAUUACGAGUGGUGAAUGAAAUGCUGAUGGGCGAUCGUGUAGUUCCAAAAGCACAUUCCUUAUCUGGGUUUGAUAACUCAACCGUUAUUACAAAAGGCGAGAUUGAACUAAGAACAUACGCAUAAGGGGUCAUUAAAGAAACAAAAUUUCAAGUGAUAGACACGGAUAUGGACUAUAAUGUGCUUCUUGGGAGGCCGUGGAUUCAUGAUAUGGAUGUUGUGCCAUCCACAUUACAUCAAGUUAUCAAAUUCCCUUCAAAAUGGGGAGUUCAACAUAUUCGAGGAGAUCAACAAACUUCAAAGAGCAUCAAUUCGGUGAUACAACCAAGUCAAAAAGAUACGAAUGCAAGUAAAAAAGAUACGAGUGCAAGUUAAAAAGAUGCGGGUGCAAGUGAGAAAGAUGCGGUAAAUCAAAUUUCAACGGAAAUUGUAUCAAAACAAACAGAAGUAGACUCCAGACUAGAUGUAAUUCAAGAGCCAGAGGAGAACGAAAACAUUAAAACAACGAUUGAGGAGCUUGAAGUUGUUCCACUAUUCGAACAAUGGCCAGAUCAAAGAAUUCAUAUCGGAGCAAGGUUAAACCCAGAUAUGAGAGGUAAGUUAAUUGAAUAUUUAAAAGCUAACGCAGAUUGUUUUGUAUGGUCCCAUUCAGAUAUGACAGGUAUACCUCCAGAGGUGAUGACUCAUAAAUUAAAUGAAGAUCCAUCAUUCAUACCUGUCAAACAAAAGAAGAGGAAGCAAGGAUCAUUCAAAAAUCAAGUGAUCGAUGAAGAGGUACAGAAACUCUUAAAGAUCGAUUCAAUACGCGAUGUAAAAUAUCCUAAUUGGUUAGCUAAUACUGUGGUAGUUCCGAAAAAGAACGGUAAAUGGAGAGUUUGUGUGGAUUAUACUGACUUAAAUAAAGCAUGCCCGAAUGAUUCAUUCCCUUUACCGCAUAUAGAUCAAUUGAUUGAUGCUACCACAAGCCAUGAAUUAUUAAGCUUUCUAGAUGCGUAUUCUGGUUAUAAUCAAAUAAAAAUGGACCCCUUAGACGAAGAAAAAACUUUAUUUAUUACAAACAGGGGGACUUAUUGUUUCAAAGUCAUGCCUUUUGGCUUGAAAAAUAUUGGAGCUACGUAUCAGGGGUUGGUGACCAAGAUGUUGCAAGAACACCUGGGGAAGACGAUGGAAAUGUACAUUGAUGAUAUGUUGGUUAAAUCUACACAAGCGGAAGAUCAUUUUUAACAUCUUUCAACUACCUUCGAGAUCCUCUGCAGAUAUAAUAUGAAACUGAACCCAGAAAAGUGCGCUUUUCGCGUAGCUUCAGGUAAGUUUCUAGGCUUUCUCGUAUCUAAUAGAGGAAUUAAAGUAAAUCCUGCACAGAUUAAAGCUAUUUAAGAAAUAACUGAUAUACUCACAAGUAAAAAAGAGGUACAAAGAUUGACAGGUAGGAUUACAGCUUUGGGAAGAUUCAUUUCAAGAUCUUCAGAGAAAAGCGUUAAAUUNNNNNNNNNNNNNNNNNNNNNNNNNNNNNNNCUGAAACUAGAUAUCCUCAUCUAGAGAAACUAGCUUUAGCAUUAGUUAUGGCAGCUAGGAAAUUGAGAUCAUAUUUUCAAUGCCAUCCUAUCUCCGUAAUAACUGCAUAUCCAUUAAGGAAUCUUUUGCAUAAACAAGAAUUGUCAGGCAGACUAGCCAAGUAGGAAAUAGAACUAAGUGAAUAUGACAUUAUUUAUCAACCUAGAACAACAAUAAAGUCUCAAGUUUUAGCAGAUUUCGUCGCAGAUUUUAAUACAAAAAUAAUUCCUGAAGUAGAAAAGGUUAAAAUUUUUUACUGGAGCUAAUCUAGAUACGUGAACUUUAUUUACUGAUGGCUCUUCAAAUGUCAAAGGAGCCGGUUUAGGUAUUGUCUUAAUUCCACCCUCAGGUGAAAGUAUAAGACAAACAAUUAAAUGUUACCCUAUUACUAACAAUGAAGCAGAGUAUGAAGCUGUAAUUGCAGGUUUGGAACUAGCACGAGAACUCUCCAUAAAAUAAAUCAUGAUUAAAAGUGACUCUCAACUGGUAGUCAAUUAGAUGUAGGGGACUUACACUGCUAGAGAGGCACGAAUACAGCAAUACUUGGAAAAGGCACGAGAACUGGUCAGGCAAUUCCAAUCAUGGAAGAUCGUGCAAAUACCCAGGAAAGAAAAUGUAGAAGCAGACGCGUUGGCUAACCUUGCUUCAGUUGCAGAAGUAACGAGUGAAGAAAAUACUAUUGUAAUACAUUUAUUUCAUUCAGCACUUGACCGGGAUAAACAUGAGGUAAGCUUUAAUAAUUUAACUUGGGAUUGGAGAAACGAGAUUGUUAAUUUUUUGCAGUACGGGAUCGUACCUGAAGGCAAGAAAGAAUCUCAAGUGCUUCGACGAAAAGCUGCUCGUUACUACCAAAUUCGAGAUAAUUUAUAUCGAAUUAUAUUUGGCGGUCCUUUAGCAAGGUGCCUUGGACCCAAUCAAACAGAGUUCGUGAUGAGGGAAGUACAUGAAGGACAUUGCGGAAAUCAUGCAGGUGGAAGAUCUUUAGUUAAAACACUAAUCAGGGCAAGAUACUACUAGCCUAAAAUGGAAGAAGAUGCGGAAAACCUUGUAGCCAAAUGUGAUAAGUGUCAACGAUAUGCCAACAAUAUGCAUCGACCUGCAGAGUUAUUACAUACGAUUAUUUCCCCGUGGUCAUUUAUGAAAUGGGGAAUGGAUAUCGUAGGGCCUUUACCACAAGCUAAAGGAAAGGUAUAGUUCUUAUUACUGUUAACAAAUUACUUUUCAAAAUGGGUAGAGGCAGGAGCUUUCAAACAGGUACGAGAAAAGGAGGUGAAAGACUUCAUUUGGCGAAACAUUAUAUGUCGGUUUGGAGUUCCAAAAGAAAUCGUAUGUGAUAAUGGCCCACAAUUUAUAGGCUCGAAAAUCACGGAGUUCUUUCAAAGUUAGCAAAUCAAACGAAUAACCUCUUCACCUUACCAUCCCGUGGAAAAUGGAUAAGAUGAGUCAACAAAUAAGAUUAUCAUCAAUAAUUUGAAGAAGAGACUAGAAAAAUCAAAAGAGAAUUGUCCUGAAGAAUUACCAGGAGUAUUAUGGGCUUAUAGAACCACAACAAAAACAACCACAGGAGAAACUCCAUUUUUGCUUGUGUACGGUUCAGAAGCUUUAAUCCUAGUUGAAAUAGGAGAACCAAGCACGAGAUUCACAUUGGCAACGGAAGAGUCGAACGAUGAGGAAGUAAGAACAAACUUGGACUUACUCGAACAAAGAAGAGAAGAAGCUUUAAUACGGAUGGCAACACAAAAGCAAAUCAUAGAACGAUACUAUAACAGAAAGGCUCACCUCAGGUACUUCAAAAUUGGGGACUUCGUUCUUAAAAAGGGGUUUCAAUCAAUGAAAACAACCGGAGCAGAAAAGUUAAGUCCAAAUUGGGAAGAACCCUAUAAAGUUCGAGGUAUCACUGGAAAAGGUGCCUACGAGUUAGAAACCAUGGAUGGCAAGGUUUUACCCUUGAGUUGGAAUGCUGUUCAUUUAAAGAAAUACUAUUUCUGAGCAAAAGAAAUACCCACGGUCAGGUAUCGUUCAAUUACGAAUUUUGUUUUGUACAGUUAAAAUUAUACUAAUAAUUUUAGAUGAUAGGCAAAACCCUAGCCCACACCAAAUGAUGAUAUUGGACCUGAAAGACAUGCGGAAGCAACAUUAUUCCCGGUCUAGGGUUGCAGCCUUUCUGAUGGAAAUAUAAAGGGCUAAGCAGUCAUCAUCUAAAUUAUAUAUACCUCUGAGUCCCGUAUGUUUUUCUUUUUCAGGAAAUGGACCACAUGGAAGGAAUAAUCAAGUGCUCGAGAUUUCAUACUUCAAAGCUCUAACACUUGUGGGACUAAUAUAUAUAUAUGAAAGGCAAAGAAGACUGGAAAAGUCAGAAUUCGAGUCAAGCCUGAGGCAAUCUACCCAACAAAUCGAAAGUUAAGAGCAAAAACACAAGCCUGAUAAACACAAGCAUGUGAUGAGGAAUACACUCGUGGAUGUAAAUUACAAAAUCUUAUGAAUAUAUAGGUUAAAGGCAAUAUUUAGUCAUGGGUUGUAAGAUAUACCCUUGAAUUUUGUUAAAUCUAUUAUAAGAAAAACAGUUACGAAAGAGUUGUAGAUGAUACUUGAAUACGUGUAAAGUAUUAUAUAGUUUGGAAGUUCAAACAAUGCAAAACUUCCUCAAAUUAUUUAAAGAAACAUGUAUGUUCCUAUUCCUUCUUUCGUAUGUUUACACCAAUAUGAAGUUGAGACAUCUUCUUCAUUAAGUGUCGUUUAUAAAAGGGCCCUCUUUUAUAAUUCGUGCCUGUUCAAAAAGUCACGGAGUAUUGAAGCAUUUUUAAAUGCAUAAUAAGAGAGUGUUACAGAAACUCAAAAUAAGAUAUUAUAAGAGUUGAACAAAAACUCGGAAAGUAAUAUUAUAAUAACUUGGUUAAAACUAAGUAUAAACUUAGUUCCAACCGAAUUGUUUUAUACAAAACCACAAAACACACCAGGGGUAAAACUUUCCAAAUCAUUACCAAACCCCAAAACGGACCAGGGGUAAACUUCUACCAAUAAAACAAGAAAAACAAAACAACACUUCAAACUUUUCAAUCAAACUUUCACUGUGGGGAAGGAUCUGAACAAGUAUUAUCAGAAGGAUUCAAGUUGGCAUCAUCAGCAGCAGAGGGAACGACUUGAGCAGAGGAGGGUUGAACAAUAGCUUCACCAGGAGUAAGUUCAUCGCCCUCGGGAAUACCGACCUCAGGUGAAGAAAAGCUUUGACUCUGCUGAGUUUUCUCAAUAGUUUCUUUAGUUUUUGCAAUUUCAGCAGCUAAGUCAAAGCCUUCCCGGCUUGCCUCCAUUAAAGUUUUGAGGUGCGUGUUCAAGAAAGCCCAACUAACAUCAACAAUAGCCUUGUCUUCAAGGGCUUUAUAAUCCCUCUCCCAUUGCUCAAUCUCAGUUCUUAGCUCCUCAUUCUCAUUCAAAACAGCAUUAUAAGAAGCCUGUAAGGGGGCAAGAGACUUCUCUAAGAACUGAACUUGGUUAGAAGACGCACAGAGAUCUUCUUGAGUUUGGGUGAGCAUUUGAACAAGCUCCCUGGCGUAAACUUCUUUUUGGUUCAGCAGUUCCUUCAAACCCCUAAUUUCUUCAGUGGCUUUGGAAAAUUGCUCAGCAAAUGAAGACUCGAGAAGGUCUUUAUCUUUUCCCGCUUGACUGGAUGAGGCUUUCUCAACUGCCAACUCUGCUGCCAUUACCUUCACCUGCUGCUCCAAGGUACAUUUUUCUUCCUCUAAGACUUCUUUCUCAAGUUGAAGACCUUCGAAUUGUUCCUUCCAGUUGUCCGCUUCGGUGCGAUAGUCGUUCAUUAACUGCUCAGUAUGGACGAUCCUCUUCAUCAUCUUCGUUCCAAUUAGGUUGAUCUACACAAUGAAAAGGAAAAUGUGAUUAUCAAAUAUAGAUGAAAAGGAAAUCACAUGCAAAAUAAAAAGCUAAAGCUUAUACCUUAAAAGAUGAAUGUACAAUAUCAUUCAUCCGAAAUUAAAGAACCGUGGCUUUCCAAUUUGGACUUCUCAACUGGGCCAAUCAAUGGUUUCAUCCAUACAUCAGCUUGGCCAGAUUUCUUCAGAAGAUUACCAUCCUCAGGAACCUCGAUGGUAAAUCUUUUCAUUACCCUACUGUUACUGGAAGAACCAACUUCAACAUGAGAAGUUGUAACAGUAGGGGCAGUUGAGGGAGUCAAAAUAGCCACGGGCAAAGCAGUGGUAGCAGCAACAGGUGCGGAGAACUGAGGAUCAACUACAACAAAUACAGAAAAAGAGGCAAGAUGCGUUUCCUCAUAAACAAAGCCGAAGUUUUCAUUAUCAAACCCACGAAAAAGAGAUGUUCUGUAGAGUCACGGGGUGCGGCAGGCAUCUCUUCAUCAGAGCUCACUAAGGUAGCGCCUUCGGGCUCAUGCAUGGGAACAAAACUGGGAGGAGGUGUAGCUUCGUCAUCCGGAAUGUCACGUCUUCUAGCUCGAGGCUUACGAACUAACGAGCCUUUAUCCCGUUCCUCUUCACCCUCGGAACUGUGUGCUCUAUCAACUUUUCUUUUUGAUGAGGAGCUCAAGAUCAUCUCUUGAGCCAUCGACAUAGAGUGUCUCGAAGCAGCAAUAGAUGCGACACUCACACCUCGAAUGGAAAAUCCUAGUAAAGAGAGGAGUUAGUAAAUUUGUAAGCAUGGAAGUAAGGUAGAAAGUAGAAGAGAAAGAUACCAUGAAUCUUCACUUUCCAACCAAACCUAUUAGAAAGGUACUUCCAGGACCUUUCUUCCAUAGGAGCAACAGUUAACAAUAUUUCUACCCAACCAUGGAAGUUUGAAAUCUCCUCAACAACUUCCAUGGUUGCUAAAAAAAAAAAAACAGUCACGAGAUUGCAGGUUCUUCACAAAAAAAAGAAGAGAAGGAAAAAAUCUGAAAAUAAACUUACGUGCAAAGUUCCACUUUUCUGGAAAGGGCAUAUUCUCUUCACCCACUAACCCACUUGUGGGAGCAGCAAUGAAUCGGGCAUAUCAACCAUGAUCCUUGUCAUCUUCAGGGCCCACUAAAAUCCUCUUACUCCUGGCCACGAGAGUAAAAACCCUAAAACGAAAUAACUUGGGGGAAUAAAGAUGGAUCAAAUGAUAGAAGGUAAAUGGUAAAGAGGCCAAGUUUGACAAGUAUCUCAAGCAUGCCACAACUCUCCAUACAAUAGAGCCAAUCUGUCCUAAGCAAACGUUGAAAAAAUGACAAAAUUCUAUGAUGACUGGGUCAAUAGGUGGCUUGAAGCCUAAUAUAAAGGGAUAUGUAUAAACAAACGAAUAACCAACUUUGUAUGAAGUGAUCCUUUGAUUUGCAUUAGGGACUAAAAUUAGGAAAUCGAAUUUCCAAUGACAUUCUCUUCGCACAAGAGAAAUCAAGCCCUCAGUAAUCUGGGAAGGGUAAACAUCAGAACGAUCAUGAGAAGUCAUGGAAGUAACUUGAUUUCUAAUCGAUUCUCUAUCAGUAAAGAAGGAAAGUUCAGCGGGAAUAAUCUUAUCAAUAGUGGAUUCACGAAGCAGUUCACUAGAAUCUCUAUUUCUAGCAGAAGAUCUAUGAGAAGAAGAAGUCCUAGUUCUAGAAGACGAAGGGGUAGUAAUACUAGGUUGAGAAGAAGAACCACGGAUAGAUACAGACCCUAAACUACGUAACCUGCCACCUCAUCUACUUCUGAUUGGAGCAGAUGAAGGGGGAAGUUCAUCUACUAUAACUACUUUACGAGGAUCAGGAUUUAGAGAAGACAUAGUUGUAUAAAAAGGUAAUAUGCAAUGAUGAACAAGAACUAUUAUGAACGAAGAACACUGUAGAAAUUCUAAAAACAAAGGCAAAUGAUGUAUUUAUACGAAGAAGCAACCGUCAUGUAAAGGGGUCCAUGAUGGAAACGUCAUAAUGAAACAGUCACUUCGUGACUGAUGCAACUGCAAAAAAGCCCUAAAACCCACUGAAGAGUUGCAGAGCCAAUCAAUGAAUGCCACGUGUCGCAUGCAUUAAAUGGAAGUGACAUACGAUGCGUUGGUUCUGAAGAAGACACAAUAAUACAUGAGAAAUGGCGGCAAAAAUUCCCACCAUAAAUGUGAUCCACUUCCCAAAUAUUCAAUUGCUGAAUAAUUGGUAAGUGGGGGGACUAUCUGUAUUGGUAAAAAUAAAUAUUACACGUGAAAUUAAAUAUGUGGCUGAUAUGGCAAGGCACGUGGAUCACUAAAAAAAUGACAGUUGGAGAGAUGCAUUAAAAGAGACACGAGUCAUAACAGAUACGAGCAAAUCACCCACGAGAUGAAAGGAUACGGUCGCUCGAGUCUAAGUAGUUAAAUGAAGAGGCACCGGCGGAAUGAAUCAAGACUGUAAAGAGGGAAUCGUCAAUUAAUGAGCGUGAAUGAUCACAAACAUUACGGAAUCUUCAUGAACAGUUACGAUUACCAAUUAUAACAUCUCAUUAAUAUCAUUAAUGCUCAUAAUGAUUCGGUCAUAAAAUAAAAAAGACGUUGUACUUAUAGACUCCUAUAUAAGGGAAGGAGAUGUCACUUGUACAAACACGCUCUGAUUAUUAUUGGAAUAUAAUUACUUUCUUGUGCUUUCUAUUGAUUAUUUUGUCUAUUUCUUAUUCUUAAUUUUCUUUCUUAUUUCUGAGAGAAUAUUNNNNNNNNNNNNNNNNNNNNNNNNNAGGGAUUUUUCAUUUUUGUUAGUAAAUAUAGUUUAUUGUCACAAAUGGCGGCCGAUGGGGUGGUUACUAGUUUAGGUGCCAAAGCCCUGAAGGAUGUAGCCUAGAGUUCGUUCAAUGAAGACGUGCCAUUGCCAACGACACUAGCCGUGGUCAAAAAGCUUGUUAAUGUUGGUCAAUAUGCGGAGGCUACUGUAAAUUGUCAAAUUAUCAGAUAGGCCAAAUGAGAUUAAACUUACUACUACUGACAUCCAUGCUGGUGAUUUGUUUUUUUUGCAAACAAUUAAGAAGUCGUUGGGGUUGUAUUGAGACCUUAGAGAAAUGGCAACAAGAUUUUAUGCUGGCCAUAUUUCUGUUUACUUGAUAGAUGUUGAAGAAAAUUUAUGGGUUAGCGAAUCUGGAUACGUGACAAUGACUAGGGAGAUGAUAUGUUUGCUAUACUGUUGUUUGCUUUUUUGCUCUGCCAUUGUUGUCCCUGGUAUUAUCUAUUCGGAUUAAGCUUUUGAAGGCUAGUGUUUGGUUUCCUUCUUGUUGCUUAAUUGUAUUGUUGAGUGAGAUGUGUUGUGCUUUGGAAGAUCCAUUUUUGAGAAUGCAACUUGCCAAUCAUUUUGUGGUUUAUUAAGGCUAUCUAAGUGUAGUAACGGGCAAGAAUUUUUAUUAAGAGGUGUCAAAAUAUUAAAAAUUGAUUACAUGAAGGGUUUCAACGUAUGAUAUGUAUAAUUUUAUCUAGGUACAAAGUGUAACUGUCCGAGUAUACAUUCUCUGUCUUCAUUGCUUCUAUUAUGGAUGUAGGAAUAUGUGCACGUUAUACAAAGCAGGGGCAGAGGUAGAAAUCCGACUAUGAUUUCGGAUGGAUUCAGUAGUUUUUGCUCAAGUAAUGUAUUUGUAUUGAAAAAUCUAUUAAAUAUGAACAAAUUUUAAAUUUAAUUCCUAGUUAUUAAUACUUGAAAUCGUUUUUUUCAAAAAUUUAUAACCCAUAACGUUGAAAUCUUGGUUGUGUCUACGAAGCGGUGACACCUAACACUGUUUAUACGUUAUCUAAAAUAAUCUGUUGUCUAGUGGUCAAGUGCAUGUUUGCUUGCAAAAAAUUCUGCAUACGUGAUACGCUCACUGUAUGGAUGGGGUAGUUUGCUCUGUAGAAGCUAUAAAAUUAAAUUGUAUACCUCAGUUUCUAUAUGCUUUGUGCUUGAAUAAAAUUGGUCUUCAGGCUAUGAAAGAUUCCUAUGAUUUGAUGUGUUAGUAAGUGAAGGUUUAUUACUGUAUGGGGAGCAAAAUAUCUGAAGAUCAAUUUCUUUAGCUCUUGGACUCAAGCUGCAUAUCAAACCCAAAGGUCAACAGGGACACCCUCAACAUGCUUAGUAAUGUUUCCAACGCCGAGUUAGCAAUGGCUUCUAAUAUUUCCUGGGGUUGCUUGGUACUGGAAUGACCAAUGACAGACUAGUUGAUACUCUACCCGAACUUUGAGGACAAGGUUCUUAUUGAGUACAAGCGUAUGUUAUGAAUAUAAAUGGGCGAGAGGCUAAGCUGGACAUGAUAUUUAAAAAAUUAGGAAAUAGAGUCUUCAUAACCAAGCGUAAACGUGAACCUAUCCAAUUUCAGUGUCAUAUGAGUCAAGAGCUAGAGCAAUAAAGUAGGGAUUUUAUAAAAGCGAAUUAUCUCCUCGGAAUCUUUCGCAUAAACCCUUUGUUAAGUAAGGUGAUGUUGCUUCCGCAACACCGCAUUACUAACUAGACAUGCGACAACCCAUCCUUGAUUUCUUUUGAAACAUACCAAAUCCCCCCAUAAUAAUAAAAUUUUCUUUUAUUUUUUUAUUUGGAUCGAGUUUAUGUUAGCUUCGUUGGGAGCAUCGCAUAAUUUACUACGUCAGCUCCAAAAGGAUAAGUUACUUGAAAUUGAUAAAAUUUCACAUAAUUGCAUAAAAGGAGUCAAAGUAGUGGUUGCGGGGCGUCGAAGCUUAUAUGUGGAACUUGGGCUAGGCUGAUUGGAGCUGAGCAAUGAAAGUACAUUUGUAUUGGAGUAGCUUUCAUCUAAACAAUAGUAGUAAUGUAAUUUGGUAAAAUCAGGUGAUGAUUUUUACAUGUUUUUGGUUGACUUUUUGGUUACCUUCCCAUUCAAAAGUGAGGCGAUAUCGUUUACAUAUCCUAAAAGGUUUGGGGGGGGGGGGGAGGGGAUAGGGUUAAAUUUAUUCUUUAAAAAAUCGAAAGAUUCUUAUGACUACAAAACAUACCAAGGUAACUAAUAAUAACUCCUGCAUAAUACCAAUAAAAUUAAUAAUUUGUUAGCAUAAUAAUUAGUAACUCUUGGCAUACUACUAUUUAUUUCCUUUUAAAUUGGAAAAGAGAGUCCUAAAUUAAUUGGAAUUCGAAUUGUCUCAAUAGUCUUUUUUUAAUCGUCUCAAUAGUCUAUUUUGUCCUCUCAUUCUAAUUAUAAAGAGUAUUACCCUAGCCUCCAUAAUUAGGAUUUGAAUUUUGGGGUUUAGCCAAUUCUGAGAAGACAGUGAGAAAUGAAGAGUGGCAGAUCAAGUGAUCAAGGCACAACCGAAACGACAAACGUGGUUGAGCUGUGUACACUCUCAUCCUCUUCAAUAUAUUGUUUAAGUUACUAACAUAUUUAAACAUGUGAUCAUAAUUCCUAUUAAUGAAAUCUCUAUUCUUUUCGAAUUUUCUGCCUUAAAAUACCAUUUUUUGUGAACCUAGCACAAUUUAAAAAGUAGUUUUCGGCGUGUUCUUUGCUUAAUUCUUAACUUAAAAGUUUUCCGGGAAUUCUGUUACUUUAAUAUAUUUCUCUAGAACGUUAUUUACAUGUUAUAUUAUUGGAUAACAAGAACUCAGUAUAGUAUAGUUUUGUAUUAGUUAUGUAGCUGAGGCCCAAAAUAUAAUUAUUUGUAGUAUUGUAGUUAAACCAAUUUUUUAUAAGUAUUGUUUUCUUUGUAAGUAUUAUUUCUUUAGUUGAGACCCGUCCCCUGACACUUUGUAUAUAAACAUAGGAGCCCCAUCCAGAACUUUCGGAUGGUCAUUUUUCUCUAUACAAAAAUAUCUUUCGAUGUUGUUUCUCUUUCUCAUCUGUUGUACUCAUUUUACACUUCCUUCCGCAAAUUCGACUUUUCAAUAAAUUUAACAUGGUAUCAGAGCAGCUUAUCCGGGUAGAUAGGAGUGUGCUCUUCAAUCUGAUAUUUUUUUUGUCCAUUUUUUUCGGUGGGGAAAAGUUUGAGGUUUUCCGUUCAUCGAACUUUCACCGGAAUUUCAUCUUUUGCUGUUGAUUUUUUCUUUUUUCUUGUUCAUUUACACUAUAAUUCCUUUUCUCUGCCCUAUUUCAUGGGAUUUAUGUUUUUGUGGUCCUAGCGUAGCUAUAAUAAAAAAACUUAAUUUUUUACUUCGUGAUGGAUUCUAUUCCUUCUGAUAAAUCACCUGCUAGCUCAUCUGCUAAUUAUGAUCGUGAUAUAUUGCCCAACAAGACAAUGAUCACAACUACCUCUUUACAUUCAUCCCUCGGAUAAUUUUGGGCUUUCACUAGUAGGGACUAUUUCAAUAGGACGAGGUAUAGUAAUUGGAGAAGGAACAUGCUUAUUGCUCUUUCUGUAAAAAGCAAGUUAUAUUUCAUUCAACCUGAUUGUGAGAGGCCACCGUUGAACUCACCUGUUUUUAGUCAGUGAGAUAAGUGUAAUAACAUGGUAAUCUCUUGGAUUCAAAAUCUUCUUUCUCCAGCAAUUUGUAAAGUGUUCUUUACUGUCAACUUGCUAAAGAUGUAUAGAUGGAGCUGGAAGAUAGAUAUGGGCAACCUAGUGAGAUUAGAAUUUAUCAAGUUAAGAAAGAACUUGCCUCCAUUUCUCAGGGUUCUAUGAGCAUCCUUGAAUAUUAUGUCAAAAUAAAGAGUGUUUGGGAUGAACAAAGUACUCUGAUAGUUCACUUUGAAAGUCAUUGUACAUGUGGGGGUAGUAAAAAGGAUAUCCAUAAGCUUGAGGAAAAUCAGAGGAUGUACCAAUUUCUAAUGGGUCUGAAUAAGAGCUAUGCAAAUGCUAGGGGCAAUCUGCUAAUGAUAAACCCCUUUCCUUCCAUCAAUAGGGCCUAUUCUCUUUUGGUAACUGAUGUCCCUCAAUUUCCAUCAAAGUCAGCAUCUUUUUCGGUGGGGUCUCAGAAGUCAUUUCCUCCCAAAAUCAUGUUUGAUCCUAAGAGAAACAAUGUGGUUUGCAGUUAUUACAACAAACUUGGGCAUACAGUGGAUAAAUGCUACAAAAAGCAUGGGUUCCCUCCAAAUUUUAAGUUCACUAAGACUUAAGAAGAUUGCUACUAUUGUCCAGACUGAAAUAGAUGUUCCCAAGCAAUUCAACCAGCAUGAGCCCAAGUAGUUCACUCAACCUGCAACUUCAACCCCAAAUGCUCCAGCCAUUCCAGGAUUGACACAAGACUAGUGCAACCAGCUGAUGUCUCUUCUUCAACAAUAUUAUAUGUUUGAUCAGGACUCUUCCAUAACCCCUACUCUUAUAGCUUCUGCAAAUUUUACAGGUAUUCUUAGUUGCUUUUCAUGUGAUAGGCCUAAAUGUUCAAUUAGUACUUGUUUAUUUUGUAAUGUUGACAAAAUAUCCCGAAUUUUGGAUUCUGGGGCUACUGACCAUAUGACCUCCCAUAGUAGCCUAUUACAAAAUGUUAAACAUGUACCUACUCCUUACUUGGUAACCUUACCUAAUGGUUAUAAAGUAAAAAUAACAUGUGUUGGAGAUUUACCUUUGUCCAAUAAUACUAUUUAGAAACAUGUCCUUCUAGUUCCUAGUUUUCAGCACAACCUAAUCUCUAUGUACAAGUUGGUAUCACAACUAAAAUGUUUACUAAUUUUCAGUCCCUAUUCCUGCUCUAUCUUAUAGGCCUUUUCAUGAAGAGGCCUUUGGAAUUUAGUAAAAUACAACAUGGACUCUACAUUCUACACAUGCCUUCUUCAGUACUAUCUACUUCACUUAUUGUUGCCAUCAAUUCAUCUACUUUUACUUAUUCAAAUGCAUCUACUUUUCAUAUUUCCAAUAGACAUAAUGUGGAGUGUUCUGUUGCUUUCAUUCUUCUGUUCCAUCUGUAAAUACCAAUCAUAUGAAUAAAAUAAACAUUCUUUGGCAUAGUAGAUUGAGACAUAUUCCAUUCAGUCAUUUGAAAUCUAUUUCUUCUAUUGCUUCUGUGCUUUCUGGUAAACAAGAUUUUAUUUUCAAUAUUUGUUCAAUGGCAAGGCAAACCAGGUUAUCCUUUCCAAAUAGUGAAAUUCACACAAACUUUCCUUUUCAACUAAUACACAUUGACACUUGGGGCCUCUAUCAUAUCUCUACAUAUGAUGGAUGUAAAUACUUUCUAAUAAUAGUUGAUGAUUUUACAAGAACCACUUGGACUCAUAUGCUGAAAAUCAAAUCAAAUGCAUUUUCAAUACAAAAAACUUUUAUUGGUGUGGUCCAAACUCAGUUUCAUACCAAAGUUUUAACUGUAAGGUCUGACAAUGCUUUAGAGUUGGGCUCCAACUCUUCUGCUUCUUCUUCUUCGUAGAAAAAAGGUAUUUUCCGUCAUACUUCCUGUCCAUGCACCCCUCAACAAAAUAGGGUGGUGGAAAGGAAGUAGGGAUGUACAAACCGAACCGAAAAAUCGCACCAAACCGAAAAGUCAAAUCAAACCGAUUAAAAAAUUCGACUAGGUUUGGUUUGAUUUGGUUUGGUAUUGAGUAAAAAAAUUCGAACCAAACCGACAUAUAAAUAUAUAAUUUUAAGACGUUUUAUAGAAUUUUAUUUAAAAGAUGUAUAGAAAUAUUUGAGAUCCUCUCAUAGGAUAUAAUACUUAAUAGAACUAUAAAGUGCAUUUAUUUUUAUUUACUUUAAAUAAUAGAUUGUAUCAAUUUCUUAUUAUGUGUUAUUGAAGUCAAUCAUCUCUUUGUUCUUUCAUAUUCAUAUGUCAAGAUUUAUUAUAUGUUUUUCGAAUUUGAAGUGGUAUUUCGAUAAUCUAAAAUUACAUAGAACAUAUCAUUAUUUAGGUAUCAUAUUGAUUUUUAUGUUUAAUUAUUAAAUUUGGUUAACCCUGAAAGCGUACAUCAACCAAAAAUUAUUGGCAAACAACUAAGAAAAUAAACUAUUAUGUGUUACUAAAGAAAAUUCUCACAUAAGAUCACUUUAAUAGAUCAUAUGUUUGUUAUUUUUUUUUAUUAUUAAUAAACAUAUAUUCAUUUAUCAAAAUUUUAUCUAUAACUUUAAUAAUGCAAGAUUGAAAUAAUAUUCAUGUAACCAAAAAAAACCCAAAAAACCCAAAAAAUCGGACAAAAUCGAACUAAUCCAAACCGAUAUAAUUGGUUUGAUUUGGUUUUGAUAAAAUCCAAAUUAACCCGGUCCGUGUACACCCCUAAAAGGAAGCAUAGAUAUCUUCUUGAAACAUCCAGAGCUCUUCGUUUUCAUUCCAAAGUACCCAUAAAAUACUGGGGGAAUGUUUUCUCACAACCACUUACUUGAUAAACAUAUUUCCUUCUAGGCUCCUUCAAAAUAAAUCUCCCUAUGAAUUUCUUUUUGGUACAACUCCUUAUUCUCAUCUUUAAUUAUUUGGUUGUCUUUGCUAUGCAUCUAAACCUCCUUCCCACAGAGAUAAGUUUACCAGUAGGUCUGUCCCUGCAGUUUUUAUGGGAUACCCCUUUGGCAAAAAGGGUUACAAAUUCCUUAGCUUAGAAACUAAUUUUUGUUUUUGUUUCUAGAAAUGUAGUGUUUCAUAAAUACAUUUUUCCUUUUGUUAUGAAAGCCUUUUCAUCCUCUUCUGAUGUUUCCUUUCCUCCUAAAGUCUUUUGUGACUUCAUUUUCCUUCCUUCUUUCAUUUCUCUUGUUCCUCCUUCCCCUCCUUCUAUUUAUGUCCCAUCUUCUUCUUCUUCUUCUUCUUCUUCUUCUUCUUCUUCUUCUUCUUCUUCUUCUUCUUCUUCUUCUUCUUCUCAUCAUCCUACAAUUUCUCCUACUUCUUCAGAUUCAUUCUCUCUUCCAUCUGGUUCUACAUCUAUCCCUUUACCUGUUAAUGAACCUGAUUUCUCACCUAUUCCUUCUGGAUCUAGUUUUAGUUUUCCCCCCAUGUAAUGCACCUGUUUUCUCCUCUAUUCUUGAAUCUGCCCAUCCCACUGCAGUCCCUCCAAGGAAAUCCAUUAAGACACAUGUUACACAUUCAUACCUCAAUGAUUAUAUUUGACCAUCAAUCACUACCUCUUUUCCCCAAUGCCCUAAGUCCAGGUCUUUGGAUGCACAACAUUCAUCACAUGUAGUAUUAUCUGAACCUCAUACCUACUUGUAGUGAUCCAACUGGUCGUUUUGAGUAUUUUAGACUUGUUUCCCUAUUUAUUUUUUUCUUUAUGAUAUAUUUUGAUUAUUUGACUUGCUAAGGUGGUUGGUUUGGUUUCCGGUGAGGUUCGGAGUGAAAUCAGAUACUUAGUCCUAAAGUUGAAAGUUUAAGUUGAAAGAGUUGAUCGGAGUUUGACUUUUGGGUAGACGAUUCCGGAAUAGAGUUUUAAUGGUUUCGAUAGCUUCAUAUAGUAAUUUUGGACUUAGAAGCGUGUUCGGAUAUUUAUUUGGAGGUCCGUAGGUCGUUUUGCCUUGAAUUGGCAAAAAUCAUAAAGUUGAAGGUUUGAUAGGUUAAGAAGUUUGACCAAAAGUUGACUUUAUUGAUAUCGGGGUCGGAAUUCGAUUCCGAAAGUUGGAAUAGGUCCAUUCCGCAGAAUCAGGCUCGCAGAAGCAGAACCGCAGUAGCGGGUGGUGACCGCAGAAGCAGAAAGUUCUAGCUUAAUGAGAAGCCGCACCUGCGAUGGAUUUUCUGCAGGUGCGAAGCCGCAAAAGAGGUUCUUGGUCUGCAGAUGCGGAAUUGCUGGGCUAAAAAAGGGCAGAUCGGGUGUUUGAUCCCAUUCUUCAUCUUUUGAGUUAUAGACCUCGAUUUUAGGCUAUUUUGGAAGAGAUUUUCAAGGAGUUGAUCGGGGUAAGUGAUUUUGACUCGGAUUUAAUUGUUAUACAUGAAUCUAUCAUUAUUUUUACCAUUUAAUUUGUGUUUUGAGUUGAAAGAAUUGGGAAAAUUCGUGAAAACUUCCUAAGCUAUAUUUUUGAGGAUUUGAAGGUUGUUUUGAGGUCGGAAUUGAAUAAUUUUAGUAUGAUUGGACUCGUUGUUGAAUGAGUGUUCAGAUUUUAUAAGUUUAGUCGGGUUCCGAGAUGCAAGCAAGGGUUGAAUUUUUGAGUUAACUUUUUGAUUUUCUUUAAAGAUUGUAACUUUAUUAUUCAGAAUAGUUUUUUAUGGUUUGUAUUUAUGGUAUAAAGUUAUUUUGGCUAGAUUCAGACCGUUCGUAGUUGGAUAUUCUCGGGAAAGGCUUACUAGUAGAUUGAGUUAGCUUGUUUGAGGUAAGUAUCUUGCCUAACUUUGUGUGAAAAAAUUACCCCUUAGGAUUGGAGUUAUUUUGUGUUAAUUGUGGUACGUGAAAGCCAUGUACGCAAGGUGACGAGUGGGUACAUAUGCUAUAUGUGGUAAUUGUUCGGUUUAGGCUAUUUAGAUUCUUUUCAUGCUUUAAUCGUAUUGUCAUAACAUGUUAUAUCUUUCAUCGUUAAUUUAUCCUUACAUGCUUUAUUUAAAAUUAUUAAAUAUUUGCCCCAUCUUUUACGUGUUAAUUGCUCUUACAUGCUUAGUUGAAGUUAUUAUUUCCUUAUUGCCUUGUUAAUUAAUUGACGGUUGAGCUACCUUACUCGAAGUUAUUAUCUCUUGGAAUAUCUUCAUGUUGAACUUUGGUGUUGAAGUUGUAAAAUUUGUUAUCAUAUUGAGGCAAAGUUGUUAAUUAUUGAAAUACCAUUCUUGUUGAGCUAUUAAAUUUUAGUUUGCUAUUAUUGAGACUCUUGUAUACAUUGUGGUUGAGCCAUGGGCUGUUUGUCGUGAAAAUAUUGAUAUUGUUGAUUCUUUUGGCAAGUUAUGGUAUUUGGGCACUUGAGGAGCGAGUUGUGAUAUGUUGUGAUAUUAAUAUGCAUGAGGUGGUAUAAGGAUAUGGGUUGAUACAUAUGCGGUGAGAUAAUAUGGGCUUGAUACGCGUGUUGCUAGUAGGAGAACUACUCGAAACCACAUGAUGUGAUAAGGUGGACUAAAAUGCGGGUAGCUAUUUCGGAAAAAACAAUAAUUUUCAAAACUAAAUGUAACGCUCCCGCACUGACAAAAGGAAAAGAUUGUGAUUGUGAUUGUGAAAUGAGACUACGAAGCGAUAACUCGGCCGUGAAUAUUAUUCUUAUCUCUCAUUUAUCUCACUUGUAUUUGUCCAUAGUUUCCUUGAUGUUCCUAUUACGCAUUCCUUCCUUGUUGUAUUUAUUGCUUUAAAUAUCAGUUGCAGUCUAUCUUGUUAUAUUUUCUUAUUGUCUCAUUUUCCUCAUUUACAUUCUUAGACUGUAUUGUACUUGCUCAAUUUCUUAUUCUUAUCCUAGUAGGUGUCUUGACCUGACCUCGUGACUACUCAACCUAGGUUAGGCUCGAUACUUACUAGGUACCGUUGUGGUAUACUCAUACUACGCUUCUACAUAUCUUUUUGUGCAGAUCCAAGUACCGCAUACCAGGCUAGGGACUAGUGAGUAGAUCUCCCAGAUCAGAGAAUUCAAGGUAUACCUGCCAGCGUUCGCAGGCCUCAGAAUCAUCCUCUGUCCUUGUUUUCUAUUGCAUACUCUUUAUUUAGAUGGUGAUGUACUAGGGAUAUUCAGUAUACUCAUGUAGACCUUAUAACUCGGUCUCACCAGAUUUUGGGAGUUAUUGUCACUUGUAUUACUGAGUUUUUUUAUGAUAGCUGGUUAGUUUAAAUUUGAAAAUUCUAUUAUUAUUUUUGUUAUUUCUUCAUGUAUGUUAGGCUUAUAUAGUCUUAUAGACUAGGUGCCAUCACGACAUCCUACUGUGGGAGAUUGGGGCCGUGACACUACUCCCAAGCAGUUUUAGUGCCUGAAUGGCAAGAAGCAAUGAGAAAGGAGUUUGAGGCCCUUGAGGCUAACAAUACAUGGUCUGUUGUUCCCUUGCCUAGUGAGAAGAAGGCCAUUGGGUGCAAAUGGGUGUACAAAGUGAAGUUUAAAGCAAAUGGAUCAAUAGAAAGGAUAAGGCUAGGUUGGUAGUGAGAGGUGACACACAAACUGCUGGUGUAGAUUAUUCCAACUUGAUGUUAAUAAUGCCUUCCUCCACGGGGACUUGGAUAAGGAAGUACACAUGAAAUUUUUCCAAGGUUUCUUUAUUGAAUCUUCUCCUGCGUCUACCCAUCCAUAUGUCUACAAGCUCCAAAAAUCUCUCUAUGGCCUUAAACAGGCUUCACGACAAUGGUAUGCAAAGCUUUCUAGUAUUUUAUAUUCAAAAGGGUUUGGUCAUUCUUUCAAUGAUUACAGUUUAUUUACAAAAAGGACUAGCGGUUCUAUGGUUUUGUUGGUUGUUUAUGUAGAUGAUAUCAUAGUUACUAGGGAUGAUCUUUUAAAAAUUUCAGCUUUGAAAUCUUACCUUGAUGACCAAUUUAGAAUCAAACAUUUCGGAUAGUUAAACUCCUUUCUGGGUAUUGAGGUUAUUUCCACUCCUUCUGGUCUUUUACUAAAUCAAAGGAAAUUUAUAGUGGAUCUCUUAUCUGAACACAAUUGCACUGGUGUGUCUCCUGCCAUUGAGUUGAAUUUGAAAUUAAAAGCUAAUGAUGGGGCAUUGCUUUCUAAUCCAGUGAAGUAUAGAAGCCUUGUUGGAAAGUUUAAUUUUAUUACUCAUACUAGACCUGACUUGAGCUUUAUUGUACAACAUUUAAGUUAGUUCCUUGAGGCUCCUCAUUUAAUUAGCUGCAUCAUUACAUUUACUGCGUAUCUUAAGGGUACAAUUGAUUAUGGUAUUCUUCUCAACAAUUCUUCUGAUUUUACCUUGCAAAGGUACUGUGACAGUGACUGGGCUGCUUGCCCAGAUUCACAUAAGUCUGUUAAAGGUUCUUUGUUUUUCUUGGUAGUAGUCCUAUAUCUUAGAAGUCUAAAAAGCAACCAGUGGUCUCCCUUAGUAGUGCUGAAACUUAGUAUCGUGCUCUAAGUAAAUUGGUGGUAGAACUGACUUGGUUGACUCGCUUAUUAGCCCGUUGAAAGGGUGGCUCAUGUGUCUGUUUUCUGUGAUAAUCACUAUGCGUUACACAUUGCUCGUAAUCCUGUCUUCCACGAACGCACCAAACACAUCGAAAUUGAAUGUCAUUUUGGUACGAGGGAAGUUAUCUCAAGGCUUGAUUGAUUUGCAUUCUGUUAGCAGCUCCAACCAACUGGCAGACAUUUUAACUAAGCCUCUGACUGGGAUAGUUUACCAUGGUUUUCUCUCCAAGUUGAAGGUGCUUCCCCCCUCCAACUUGAGGGGGAGGGGGGGGGGGGGGGGGGAGGGGGGGUGGAUAACAAGAACUUAGUAUAGUAUAGUUUUAUAUUAGUUAUGUAGCUGAGGCCCAAAAUAUAAUUAUUUGUAGUGCUGUAGUUAGGCCCAAUUUUUUGUAAGUAUUGUUUUCUUUGUAAGUAUUAUUUCUUUAGUUGAGACCCGACCCAUGACACUUUGUAUAUAAAUAUAGGAGUCCCAUCCAGAACCUUCGGAUGGUCAUUUUUCUCUAUACAGAAAUAUCUUUCGAUGUUGUUUCUCUCUUUCAUAUACUGUACUCAUUUUACACUUCCUUUCGCAAAUUCGGCCUUCCAAUGAACUUAACAUAUACGUUAGCAUUUAAAAAAGAAAAGAUCAUUCAAUUAUCGGAUGUUGUAUCAUUUAAUUUGGUAGAAUCUUAAUACUAUUUUUUUAUUAUUGUCAAAGAUCUAUGAUCAGUGAGUCGAAGAAUGCGGAUUAUUAUUCAAGAUGACAAGUGCGCAGACAUGAAUAAUUGGCGUUCAUUACCAGAAUCGUUUUUACCCAAGGAUGUACUUGAGGCCAGUCUAGAUGGUGUCAAGGAUAGUGGUAAUAAUUCAGAAUCAAAAGCUUUUCUCCCAAUGGUUAACCAGAUGACACACACUACAUACAAAAUAAAUACAAACAACAUAUAAAAUACAUAUAACAAUAUAAUUAUAUGCAAAUUGUAUGUGAAUAGUAUCUUUUUUACAAAACUGUAUACAACAAUAUACUUGUAUGUAAGUUGUAUGGUUUUACCGGAUUGUAAACAUUUUUUAAAAAACUCUUGCUAUAAUUUUUGAAAACCAUGGUCUUCCGGUAAACCGGGUAAUUAAUCUCCUAAUUUUACAUCUCUAGGUAGAAGUCCCAUUUUUCUUAAAAUAUUAGUAGCCAAUUCUAAUUCAAGAUUUUAAAUCAUAAGUCAACCACACAAAAAUUAAACUAGUAAUAAGGAUAAAGAUAGUCGUAAAUGGUUGAAACUGUAAAUGUUCAUAACUUUGUGCUCAUUUAUCUGAUUUAUAUGAUUUUUCAUAUAGUUUUUCAAGAUCGAGAUGGACAAAUCGCCAGUUUGGCCAAGCCAAUUGCGAGAAAACAACUAUAUUUUUUUUAUAUUAAUUUUACAUUUUCUUCCUAAUUGGUACAAAAUUUUAAUUUUUCGAUAUAUAAAUCUUAUGCAAAAAAAUAGAUUUGAACAUGAAAAUGCCUGCCUAUUGCUGAUGUGAAUGUCAAUUUCAGGGAGAAUUGAUUUUAUAGUCCUUUACAACUUAUUUUUCGUUCUAUAUCUUUUUUAAAGAGAUCUUUAUUUUUAUACAUAAGAGAUCUGAAAAUAACAACAAGAGAUCUGAAUGAACAUUUUCUUCUACUCAAAUUGUAAGUGGUCACAAGAGAUCAUUUCCUCGUCAAUUUUAGUAGUGAAAAAAAAUAUAAAAUAAUUUUUUUUAAAAAUAAUAUGGUCUGGCACCGCUAGGCAUACCUAAAUUCCUUCGGGGUAUUAUCACUUUUAGCACAUGCCACAAACUAUUUACAUUCGAUAACCAAAAAAAUAUAUAAAAUUUAUAUAUAACAUACAAAAUUUAUGUGUAUAUAUAUAUAUAUAUAUAUAUAAAAUAUAUAUUUUUCGACUAUUAUUUUGAGAGCGGCUAUACAAUGUCAGUUUUUCAAUUCCUUCCUUAGCAAGUAGGGGCUAUGGCCGACAUUAUUUUCUCUAAGAAAGACCAGACCCAAACCGGCCCAUUAAGGGGGAUAGGGAUCAGCAAGGCUACUCAGCGCAUUUAUUUUUCAUCGGCAAUUUGCCAUGACCAUUCCAGAAUACAUUGAUAAGUUGUUCCUAAAUACACUUCUUUAGACUGAAAAUAUGCUAUUCUUAUACUCUCUCCGUUCACUUUUACUUGGCAUGUAUACUAAAAAUAAAUUUUUAUUUUUACUUAUCACUUUACGCAUAUCAAGAGAAGAUAAUUUUUUUUUUCCUGUUAUGCCCACAUUAUUUAUUACUCAUUUCAAAUCAUUUUCUCAAAUCUAAUAAAAUAUGCAUCAAUUAAUAUGGGUAUCGUGGUAAAUUAUGCACUUCAUUUAUUAUUUCUUAAGGGACGUGAAAAGUAAAAACGUACCAAGUAAAAGUAAACGGAGGGAGUAAUUAGGAAUUGGUAUAGGCUACGUUAAUGUAGGUUUGACCAUUAGGAAUACGUGAACUUUAUUUUAUUGGACAAUGAGUAGAAAACUUUGAGCAGUUCAAGAGGCAUUUCGUAAAUCUUUGGGAUUGUCAAUCGUCUCAAUAAUUAUUGCUCUCUCUAUAAGUAACUUUUGAAGUUUAGGCAUUUCUAACAUAGUAGAGGUAUAAGGAAGAGAGGCAGAUCAACACAUCGAGGGAUCAAAUAACGUCCCAAUGGAUGCAAGAAGGGGUAUAUAUGCUCUAAUUUUCUUUUCUUUUUUUUUUUAAAAACUUUUGAGCUAUUUCUAGUAGAUUAAACGUGUGAUCAUAUGAGUGAAAUAUCUGCUUUUUGAAAGUAUAGUUCUACCUUUGAUCUUUACUUUUUUUUUUUUUUUUAUGUUUCAUGAGAUCUUUAACCUGUCACAAUGAAAGAAGUAUAAUUGUUAUGAAUUUCCACUCAUAUUUCGUAGUCAUUGGUUGCAGAUUAGGUUUCUGCAUGUUGUUUUGUUCAUUUUUUUGUUUGUAAAGUUAUCGGUUAAUUGUUUUACUCUCUAGUAAUUCUUGUUCUCUAAACGAAUUUUGCACUUCAAAGCAUAUAUAGUUCAAUUGGAAGCUUACGCUGUGCUUUAUUAAUUGUCAUAGAUCCAUGAUCACUGAGACGUACAAUGUUAAUCAUUAUUCAAGAUGACACCUAUAGAGACGUGAUUAAUUGGCGUUUAUUGCCAAAAUCUUUUUUACCCAAUAAUUUUGGACUCGAGGACAGUAUAAAUGGUAGCGAAAAGUUAGAAGCAAAAAGUUUUAGGUUAAUGGUUCAACUUGGGAAUUCAGUAUGACAGUGUAGUUUCUUUGGUCUUAUAUUUGUGCGGUUGUUGAUUGUUGAAGUAUCCGAGGAUAGGUUUCUGUUUUUCUAAUUGAUUUUUAGUAACUUUUUCUCGAUGUUUUUCGUAUUGUCGUUCAACAAGCUGCAGCAGGCUGAGCAUUUUUAUUUUAAUCUGCAUAUCAUGUAGCUUAUCCGGAUUCUGGUCUUUUUAAUUAAAUUAAAGAAGAAGUUAAAUAUUUUUUCGUUUUUCCAACUAAUUUAUAUAUAUAUUCUUUUCGCUUAACUAGACAGUCUUUAUAAUGCAAUUGGCUUAAUUAUGGUUUAACCUACAAUUUGUCAGUCUCUUUGUCCGCUUACGUAAAUCGGUUUUGAUAUAUUAUUUGAAAUAAAAUGUACUAUUACGUUCUAUACAUAUAAUAUAGAUUUUGGUUGUCGUUGUUAAGCUUUGUAUUAAUCUGACUACAUUACAAAGCAAAUAGAUCGGAUGUACAGUUUUAAUGAGCAUACAACAAGCACUUGUUCUAAUUUCACAGCAUUUCAUAAUUAUCACAAAAAUUCUAUUAUUAUUUUGUCGUAUUUUUGUUUGUGGCUAGUUUCUUUUAUUACUUGUUCAUGAACUAAACAUUUUCUUAAGUGAUAGUCAACAUGAGCUUGCUUAUAAAUCAUUAAAGUGCAAAGAAUUACUUUUUCUAUAAGGUAACUGUUGGCUUUAAAAUUUAAAAUGGAUUCGAUACAACUCAACAAACUCUAAGGAAUUUUGAAUUGGUCAACCAGAAAUUUUUAUGUUUGCUAUUCUUCAUCCACCGAUAGAAAGAAAAGUAUUCCAAAUUUUCAUUCUCGCACGAGCCUGAAAAGUGGAUUGGCAAUAAGUCGGAACGACAUGAUUCUUUAUGUUCAAGCAUAAGCCAGUCACUCGUAGCUUUAUUUAGUCUACAUCAACUUGAACUUUUUUUUUUAAAAAUCCAAUCGAGUCACGAUUUUAUUGCCACAACAAAAGAGGACAGUUGAUGAAGGAGGACUAUACCUUGCCUUCUGAUACAUGAUGAGAACUUGGCCAGCUAAGCUCUGCACUAAUAUGAGGCUUUGUUUUUUUUUUUUGUUGUUUAAAGAUCAAGUUCUCACUUGAGCCGAGAUUUUAUUUCAUUGAAAAACUUGGUACACUAGGGAGGGCAAAGACCAUUCCUCUAAAUGCAUUACAAAGAAUAAGACCAUAUGGCUUUGUUAGAAGAAAGAGAAGGGCUCUACAUAAUUGAGCAAGAAGAAAGAGAAGGGCUCUACAUAAUUGAGCAAGAAAGAGAAGGGCUCCUCCACAUAUUGGAGCUUCAAAGAAACUAAGCCAGCCAGCAUCAAAAUUGCCCUCUCUAAAAUUGCUCUAAAUUGUCCUUUAUCAACUGUAUAUCAUCCCCCACAUUCGUCUUUCUCUUUCAAUAUCAAUAAAUCUAUUCUCUGUGUAACCGUGGAUUAGGUAAAAAUUACCGAACCACGUAUAUCUUAUCUUGUCUUGUCUUGUGCAAUUUAUUGCUUUUCUCUUUUAAAUAUUUUCCUCCCUUCAAUUAGCAUGACACAUUUUCUAACAACUGAUAUCAGAGCACAGACAGUGUAAUUAUGGUAGAAAAGUACGGUAUUGAUGUAGUAUAUUAUUUACAAGAAUAGUGCGACACUAUUGCUCAUUAAUACUAGCACUAUUCACAAUAGUGCAACACUAUUUAUUAAUAGUGAAAGUAUUGUUCAUCAAUAGUGAGUGUUGUCUAUCUUACACGGUUGAGAUAUUUUCCCUACACAGAGUACUAUUCACAAUUGCUAUUUAUAGGGAUUAUUCGCAUAAAAAAAUAAUUUUUUUUUUGUGAAGAAAUGGUAUCAGAAGAAGGGAAGGUUAAGAUUGAAAAGUUCAAUGGCAAAGAUUUUGAAUUCUGAAAAAUGCAGAUAAAGAAUUAUUUGUACCAAAAAAAUUACACUUACCUCUAAUCAGGGUAAAACCAGAGAAUAUGGCCAAAGCGGAUUGGGAUCUAUUAAAUCACAAGCUCUUGGUGAUUCGUUUGACGCUGACACAAAAUGUAGAGUUCAACAUCAUUAAUGAGAAGACUAUUGUAGGCUUGAUGAGGGCGUUAUCAAAUAUGUACGAGAAGUCAUCUGUUUCAAAUAAAGUCCAUAUGAUGUGUUGAUUGCUCAACUUAAAAAUGACAGGAGGUGGAUCUGUUACGGAGCAUAUCAAUGAGUUUAAUGUAAUAUUAACUCAGUUGAGUUCCGUUAACAUAAAAUUUGAUGACGAAGUCAGGGCACUGAUUCUACUAUCAUCUCUACCGAAAAGUUGGUCUGCAACAGUAACUACAGUUAGCAGUUCAUCAGGAAGUACCAAGCUCAAAUUAGAUGAUAUUAGAGACUUGGUUCUAAGCGAAGAUUUUCGCCGGAGAGAAUCAAGUGAUUCCCCAGGAUCUGCUUUUAAUAACGAAUGUAGGUGGAGAAGCAGCCAAAGAGGAAAAGGCCAUGGUCAUGGCAUAUCAAAGUCAAGGAGAAGAGGCAAUCCAAGAAUCGCAAAGACAUUUACUUAUUGGAAUUGCGAUAAAAAGGGUCACUACAGUAGUCAGUGUAGAGAGCCAAAGAAGAAGAAGAACGGCCAAUACAAGGAUAAUAAUUCAGAAAAUGCAAUUGUUGAACAAGUCGGUGAUGCACUAAUUUAUUAUGCAGACAGUCCAGUCGAAUCUUGGAUUUUGGACUCAGGUGCAUCAUUUCACUCUACCUCAUGCUUAGAAUUAUUGCAUAAUUAUAUUGCUGAAAAAUUCGGAAAGAUUUAUCUAGCAGAUGGUGAACCUUUGGAUAUUGUCGGAAAAGGUGAAGUUUAUAUAAAGACUUAACAAGGGACGCUAUGAAAAUUACAAAAUGUCCGACUUGUUCCUGGCCUAAAAAAAAAUUUGAUAUCCAUGGGUUAGAUUGACAGUGAAGUAUACACAACAGUAUUCGAUAAUAGAUCGUGAAAGAUUACCAAAGAAAAUUUAGUUGUAGCACGAGGCUUCAAGAAAGAAACAUUGUAUGCAACCGCAAUACAGAGAGAUACUAUAGCAGUAGUGACCAUAGUCGUGACACAACAUUAUGGCACUGGAAGCUCAAACAUACGAGUGAGAAGGGAAUGAAACUGUUGGCAUCCAAAGAAAAGUUACCAAACCUCAAUCAUGUUGAAUUAGGUUUGUGCGAAGAUUGUUUUUACGAAAAACAAAUUAGCGUUAGUUUCUCAAAAGCGGGAAGGACACCAAAGAAAGAGAAACUGGAACUAGUGCAUACAGAUGUGUGGGGACCAGCUCCUGUAACUUACCUGGGAGGCUCACGAUAUUAUGUCACCUUCAUUGAUGAUUCCACGAGAAGGGUAUGGGUUUAGUUUUUAAAAAAUAAAUCUGUUGUGUUUGUUACUUUUUAAAGAUGUAAAGUUGAAGUUGAAAAUCAGACAAGCCUAAAGCUAAAAUGUCUGAAGUCUUAUAAUGGAGGAGAGUAUUAUAGUCAAGAGUUUAAAGCAUUCUGCUUUGAGAACACCAGAACAAAAUAGUGUUGCUGCAAGGAUGAACAAAACCUUAAAUGAACAAGCCAGAAGUAUGAGAAUACAUUCUGGGUUGCGAAGUAUUUUUGGGCUGAGGCUAUUCACAUGGAAGCUUACCUCAUAAUAGGGGGAUUCUCUGUACCGCUGAAUUUUGAAAUUCCUGAGGAUGUAUGGAUGAUAAAUGGGGAUGUUGACUACUUAUUAACGCCUUUUAGCUUUCAUUUCAGUCCAAAAAUGUUUAAUUGUGUUUCCGAAAACUAAUAAAAUAUACUUAAUUACAGGAAUAUUAAAAGAUGAGCUCCCGAGAUGAAAUCCAACUCAAGAAGGAGUAAUCUGAACUCAAAGAUAAAAACAGGCACAAAAUCUCAAAAUGCGGACCGUAGAAUAUCAUCUGCGGCCGCAGGUCGUGAAGCAAUUCCAUUAGAGAAUGUUGCAAGAUACGGACCGCACACGAAUUAUGAGGCCGCAGAAGCUGAGUCAGAGCAAAAGUUCAGAGAACUUGCACCUCCAGUCCAACACAAGCGCGAACCGCAUAAUUAUUGUGCGGCUGCAGAAGAAGAGCUACCCGGCCGCACAAUUACAUGUGCGGAUCGCAGAAGAACAAAGUGCGGCCACAUACAUUCUUGUGCGAACCGCAGAAAGAGGGCAGCGCGGCCGCACUUCAUUAUUAUGGGGCCGCAGAUUUCCAACCUUUUCAAGCCGAAGCAAAGUGCGCACCGCACAUCGAAUUGUGUUGCCGCAGAACAUCCGAAAGGGCAUUUUUGUCAGAAAAUUUUAGCUUUGUAUAAAUAGAAGAGUUUCAUUUUUUUAGAUUAACUAUUGACAUCAACUGCUACAGUAGACAAUUUCUUUUACUCUUUUUAGUAGUUUUUGCUAUUUUGAGCUUUUUGAAUAUUGAUUUCAUCAUUUUAAUUAUCAAUAUGGGUCUAAUUAUCAUUUCUUCUCCUAUUUCUUCUAGUUUAAGCAUGAGUAGCUAAAUUUUCACUAGGGUUGUGACUCAACCCUAAUGUGUAAACUUAAUGUGUGUUUGAUUUAUUGCUUGUUUAUGGUUGGGUAUUUAUUAUCUAGCCUUGUUCUUAUUUUUAUUUAAAGAAUUAAUGGUUGCAAACAUUAAUUCAUGCCUAUUUGACUUAGUCUCUACUUGACAAAGAGAGACAUAGUCUAGAAAAAACUUGGCUAGCUAGAAAUUGGGUUAAUCGAGAGAUUGAUAAGCCCAAUUAAAGGGUUGAACCUAGAGAUAGUAAAACCCGACUUGAGCUUCUUAUCAACUAUUUUGUUCAAUAUCCAUUUGGACUUGAGAAAGCCAAAUUGGGCAAAAUUAUUUUAUGACCGAGAGGUAUUGAGUGGGUACUUGAGUGUUGAUACCUAUAAUACACCCCGACUAAUAAAACAAAUUUUAAAGUUUACAACCCAUUAGGCAAACACCUAGGUAAAGGUCAUAGCCCUAGGCCUUUUAUAUCAUUUGUAAAAUAAGAAAAACAAUUUCCUAGUUUCAUUCUUUGAAUCGCAAUCGUAGUUUAGUUUAGAUUUUUAUAUAAAACCAAAUAUUGCAGAAGUGCAAAUUUAGAUAUACAAACUCACGCGCUAAGAUAUAUACUACUAACACCCAUUCAUAUAGCUCCAUGCGGAAUUCGACCCCGACUCUUGUUGGGUAUUACUAUUGCAUCGACCGUUUUCAUAACCUCAAAGAAAGGAGUGAAAUGGGACGAGAUCAAAUUUUGGCGCCGUUGCCGGGGAGCUAAAAAAUGGUGUUAGCUAUAUAGUUAGGUGUGUGUUUGGGAUAUCUUCUUUUCCUUCCUUGUUACUAACGUCUGAGUGUUAUAGGUGCAAUCAUGGCAAACAACGAUCUCGGAAACAUAGCUGUGAGGGAUAUGGAUGUUGAGGAUGAUCAAAUGGAUGAGGUCCCUCUUGAACCUCAGGCCAAUAGACGAGGUCGACCGCCUCAAGACAAUGUACCCGCUCCACCCCCACCUCCACCACGAGCGGCUCUACACUGGGUAUUGCCAAAUGAAGGGUAUGCAAGUGCUAUAGUCCUCCCUCCCCGUAUUAGGGUGGGCAACUUCCAAAUAACCAAAGUGAUGCUCACUUUGCUCGAGCAACGAGGAUUCUUCACCGGUGCACCGAGUCAAAAUGCAUAUAAACAUUUGAAGGGGUUCGUAGUUACGUGUUGGGGGAGCACACAAACAAAUGUCUCCGAGGAUGCUUUGAGGCUAAGGAUUUUCCCUUCUCUCUACGGGAAAAAACUUUAGAUUGGUUGGAACGUUUGCCAAAUCAUUCCAUUCAUAAUUAGGAUGAACUAGCGGAGAAAUUUAUUUCAAAGUACUUCUCUCCCGGGCACAUGGCUAUUCUUCGGGAUGAAAUUCUAGCAUUCAAGCAAGAGCCUAAUGAACCACUGCACGAGAUAUGGGAAAGGUAUUUAACAAUGGUAAAAGAGUGCCCAAACAAUGAUAUGACGGAGAACAUGAUUCAACAAACUUUUUAUCGGGUGAUCAAUACCACCAACCAAUGUGUAGUGAACCAACUUGCCGGUGAGAACUUCAUGACUACGCCCUAUGCGAAGGCAUGUGAUAUUUUGGAUGAGAUAGCAGAUACUUCAUCGGCAUGGCAAUCUAGAGCCAAUGUUCUACAAGGUGAUCCAAAUGUGAUUCUUCUUUAUAAAGAGUUACAUGACCAUGGGCAAGCCAUAGACGAGUUGACAACCACUAUGAACCAAUUGGCAAAGGCUCAACUUCAAUAAGUACAAAACCUGAGGCAAGUCAAUGCUAUGGAGGGAGUCAAUAUGAUGGUAAACAAAAAAAUAAAAAGUCCACAAGUGCAAAAACGAGUGGACAAUCUUGUGCAAGAUGAUAGUGGAUUUGAUCAAGGUAAUUCUUACAAUGAUCAAGAGGAAGAGGUCCAAUAUGUGAACAACUUUCAAGGGCAAAGAAACAACUUCCAAGGCCCUAGUCAACAACAAUGUAGACCUUCAAAUAAACAAGGCAAUUGGAAUUCUAACAACCAAGGUAAUUGGAAUAGUGGAAACAAUCAAGGCAAUUGGAGUGGAAGUAAUAACCAAGGGAAUUGGCAAAACAAUAACAAUCAAGGCAAUUGGGGAGGCAACAACCAAGGCGGGUGGAACAACAACCAUGGAAAUCGGGGGUAAGAUUUUCAAAGUCCCCUGAUGAAUCAACAAUCGAGCAACCCACCUCCUUAUCCUUCUCAUGGUCCUAGUUGCUCCAGCAAUGAAAUGAGUCAUAUUGAGAACAUGUUCAAGCAAAUUAUGGAGAAGAAUGCCGAUUUCGAUGCCCACCUUGAUUCACACAACACAUCAAUCCGAAACUUAGAAGUGCAAAUGGGUCAAAUCUCUCAAGCUUUAAAUUCUCGUCCUAAGGGGGCACUACCAAGUGAUACGGUGGUGAACCCGAAGGGUGGGAACAAUACGGGGCAUGCCAUGGCCGUUACUACAAGAAGUAGAAGAGGUGGGAAUGCACCUACCUCAAGUCAAAGGAAACUUGUGGAUGAUGAGUAACUGGUAAAAGAAGAGGAGGUCUCAAACAAUGUUGUGCACGCAAAUGAGGAGGUGCAGAUUGAUAUUUAUGAUACGGUAGAAGAGACUCAAGAGGAUAUGAACCCAUCUAGGGAUCAUGUGAUUGACAUACCAGAAUCGAUAGUGCAAAAAGCUAAGGCACCAUUGCCUAAGCCACCUCCUCCCUAUCCUCAAAUGCUUGCCAAGAAAAUGAUGAGAAUCAAUUCAUAAAGUUCAUUGAUAUGAUGAAGAGUCUCUCAAUAAAUGUGCCAUUAGUUGCAGCCUUGGAGAAAAUACCCGGAUAUGCAAAAUUUAUGAAGGACUUGGUGACAAAGAAGCGGUCGAUGAAAUUGAAACUAUCAAAGUCACUCACCAAGUGAGUGCAAUUGUGCAUUCGAUGGCUCCUAAGUUGGAAGAUCCCGGUGCUUUCACAAUCCCUUGUACCAUUGGAAGUGCCGAGUUUGCAAAAGCUCUUUGUGAUUUUAGGGAAAGUAUCAAUUUUAUGCCCUAUUCGAUUUUCAAGACAUUGGGAAUUGGGCAACCAAGACCCACAUCUGUGAGAGUACAAAUAGUCGAUCGUACAAUGAAGAGACCGUUGGGGGUGAUUGAGGAUGUAUUGGCUCGAGUUGACAAGUUCAUUCUCCCGAAAGAUUUUGUUAUUCUUGAUUUUGAAGUGGACUAUAAGGUCCCAAUUAUUCUUGGUAGACCUUUCCUUGCUACGGGGAAGGCUCUUGUUGAUGUUAAAGCUGAUGACCUCACUUUCCGGGUGGGUGAUGAAAAGAUAGUAUUCCACGUGUGCAAAUUUAUGAGGCAACCGAAUAGCAAUGAAGUGUGUUCGUUCGUGGACUUGGUGACUAAUGUGAUUAUUGAUGAUACAAGUACCACGAUUAAUGUAGGUGACAUAUUGGAGGCUGUCUUGCUAAAUUUUGAUGAUGACGAGAUGGAUGGCUUCAUGGAAUGUGUUAAUUCUUUGCAAGGAAUAAGGUCGUACAUCCAUGCACCCCGGAAGCUUUCCUUGGAUAUUAAGAAUAGGAAAAAGCCUUCAAUUGAAGAGUCUCCUAUCUUGGAGUUGAAGACAUUGCCUCCACAUCUCAGGUAUGAAUUCCUUGGCCCUUGUUCUACAUUACCAGUUAUUAUUUCCUCUUGUUUGACUAACGUGCAAGUUGACUCUACAUUGGUGGUGCUCCACAAGAGGAAGAAAGCUAUUGGGUGUAAUUUGGCGGAUAUUCGGGGAAUAAGCCCCGCAUUUUGUAUGCACAAGAUUAACUUGGAGGAAAAUGCCAAACCCACCAUUGAACAUCAAAGGAGACUCAAUGAAGCCAUACAAGACGUGGUCAAAAAGGAGAUCAUAAAAUGGUUAGAUGCCUGGGUUGUCUACCCCAUUUCCGAUAAUUCAUGGACUUCUCCAAUGCAAUGUGUCCCGAAGAAGGGGGCAUAACUGUGGUCACCAAUGAGAAGAACGAGUUGAUUCCCACAAGAACGAUGACCGGGUGGAGAGUGUGUAUGGACUAUCGGAAGCUAAACAAAGUUACAAGGAAAGACCAUUUUCCGCUCCCCUUUCUAGACCAAAUGCUUGAUGGGUUGGCCGGUCGUGCUUACUAUUGCUUUCUAGAUGGAUAUUUGGGCUAGAACCAAAUCUUUAUUGCCCAGGAAGAUUAAGAGAAAACAACUUUCACUUGUCCCUAUGGCACUUUCGCUUUCAAGCAGAUGCCAUUUGGCUUGUGCAAUGCACCGACCACUUUUCAACGGUGUAUGAUGGCGAUCUUUAAGGAUAUGGUAGAGGACUACCUUGAAGUCUUCAUGGAUGACUUUUUGAUAGUCGGGGAUUCCUUUGAUGAUUUCUUGGCAAAUUUAGAUAAAGUAUUAGCAAGGUGUGAAGAAACGAACUUGGUGUUGAAUUUGGAAAAAUGCCAUUUCAUGGUCGAGGAGGGCAUUGUCCUUGGCCACAAAAUUUCAAAGAAGGGCAUUGAGGUCGACAAGGCGAAAAUAUAAGUGAUUUCUAAACUUUCACCUCCAACAUCCGUGAAAGGAGUGAGAAGUUUCUUGGGUCACGCGGGGUUCUACCGGCACUUCAUAAAAUAUUUUUCUAAAGUGGUGAACCCUUUGUGCACGCUUUUGGAGAAAGAUGCUAAAUUUUACUUCAAUGAUGAUUGCAUGAGAGCCUUUGAAUUUCUCAAGUUCAAGUUGACAACAACUCCUAUCAUCACCAUUCCUAAUUGGAGUAUUCCUUUUGAGCUCAUGUGCGAUGCUAGUGAUGUAGCGAUUGGAGCAGUUUUGGGGAAAUGUAUCAACAAAAAAUUUCAUCCGGUCUACUAUGCUAGUAAGACUAUAAAUUAUGCCCAAGUCAAUUACACCGUUACCGAAAAAGAGCUCAUUGCCAUUAUGUUUGCUAUUGAGAAGUUCCGCCCAUACUUGAUGGGUGCAAAGAUUAUUGUUCACACAGAUCAUGCGGCACUUUGCUAUCUUAUGAGCAAGAAGGAUUCAAAAGCUAGGUUUAUGAGAUGGGUGCUAUUGUUGCAAGAGUUUGAUAUUGACAUCCAAGAUCGAAAAGGGAGUGAAAAUCAAGUGGCAGUCCAUUUGUCUCGUUUGGAGGAGGAGGGGAGGCCGCAUGAUGGCCUUGAAAUCAAUGACUCCUUCCCCGAUGAACAAAUCUUUGCUAUUUCAAUGAAGGAGGUGCCAUGGUUUGCCGAUCUAGCAAACUUUCUUGUGUGUGGAAUCAUCCCGGAUGAGUUCUCUUCAAAUCAAAGGAAGAAGCUCAAACGGGAUUGUCAAGAUUAUUAUUGGGACAAGCCUUACCUCUUCCGGAUUUGCACGGAUGGGGUAAUUAGAAAAUAUGUACCGGAUGAAGAGCAAAAUAUUAUUCUUGAAGCUUGUCACUCUUUGCCUUAUGGUGGUCACCAUUGCGGAACUGGCCCACUCUCUAAAAAGAUGCAAGUGAUAUAGUGAAAAGAUGUGAUGAACGCCAACGGGCCGGUGGAAUCUCGAAGAAGAAUGAAAUGCCUCUCACUACCAUUUUGGAGAUUGAUAUCUUUGAUGUGUGGGGUAUUGACUUCAUGGGUCCUUUGUGAGUUCUUGUGGAAACACCUACAUCUUGGUCGCGAUUGAUUAUGUGUCUAAAUGGGUUGAAAUUAUGUUGGGUCAACUCCUAAUUUCUAUUGGGAGAAUGUGUAUCUGAUUAUCAUGUUUUAUUGUUAUUACCAUGUCGAAUUUGUGCAAAAAUUAAAACCCUUAGAAAGUUUGCCCAUUUUAAUUUUGAAAUCUGCGGCCGCACAAGAAAUUGUGCGGUCCGCAGAAUUAGAGAUUAGGGUAGUUGGUGAAGCAUGAUUCUGCGGACCACAUUUGAAAUUGUGCAGACCGCAGAAAUUCCACCGCGGCCAUAGAAAUGUGUGUGCGGUCGCAGAUCAGACCAAUCUCUGUCUUCAGAGAGUUGUUAUUUUGAGGUAUCCAAUGUGCGGCCGCAAUAAAAAUUGUGCGGAUGGCACUUUAGAUGUGCGGUCGCACUCAAAAUUGUGCGGACCACAGUUUCAUCACGGUGGUCGCACUUCCAAAUUGUGCAGUCCGCACAACCCAGUCUGCGGCCGCACUUGCAAUUGUGCGGACUGCAUUUCCCCAUCCUGCUCUCAUGUUCUGCAAUGUGAUAUAUUGUUUGUGUUCAACUGAAUUACAACAUACUUCUGUUAUUGCUUGUUACAAAAAAUAGUUAGAUCUCGAGGUCGUGGUGACACUUCAAAGGGGAGGGGUGAGAUUUCCAGAGGCAGAGGCAAAAUCAAUUUACCCCUCGCCCUCCAAAGGGUAAUCAACAAGAAAUCUACAAUAGGCCGAGGACGAUAGCCUGAGCCCUCUAAAUCUAGUUCAUAUGCCCCAUCUCGGGAAGCAUCGGAGGGCGACUCAGUGCAAGAGCAGCCUGCCAUUCAAUCAUAGCCACAACAGCCACGGGGAAGGUUCCAACUUAGAGAUGAACCUUCCUCCUCGCAUAGCACUUUUGAGGGUUCAGAGAGUGUAAGUCAGGCUUCAGAUCUCUCUUCUACACCGGUCCCCGAAGCACCAGCAACUGCUGUGGAUUAUAUUCUGGACGAUGGUAGAGGAGGUGAUAUCACAGUUGUCAGCCUUGAGAGGUCGAAGAAGAAAGAGGCCUGGGAGGACCGGUUUGUGAGUCUGGCUGCCUUCACUAGUUUCUGUGAGUAGUGGACGGUGAGAUCUCUCACUCUUGAGCAACAAUUCUAACUUAGAGAUCUUGACAAGUACAAUCUAGAAGUGUUGAGGCAGUUCCGAGAGAGAAAGGGGUGAAUGUGGUUCACCCAGUCAGUUGUGGAUGCAAAGGAAUACUUGGUACGGGUGUUCUAUGCCAAUGUGGCAUAUAUCAAGAAAGGGACCAAAGUUACAAAAGUGAGAAAUUUGAAGGUGCGGUUCGACCAGAUCACAAUAAAGUCCUACUUGGGGUUUGAGGAUGUGGAGCCAAUGCAGUACUUGGAGAAGCUGGCGAUGGGUGAUGCAGCUCGCCCUUGGCUAGCUGAGCUUCUUGCAGCCCCAGGGCCACCACCACCAUGGAUCACUGUAAGGGUUCCUAUUUAGCAGAACACCCUAAAUUUCGAGGCAAAGGGAUGGCAGACCUUUGUAUGCAGCAGACUAGACCGGUGCCAGAACGAGACAAACUUACCUAUUCCACGGGUAGUUCUAGUCGCCUCUAUUAUGGCUGGUACCCGAUCAAUGUGGGUGCCGUGAUGUCGGCCAACAUGUCAGUGGUCGCCAGGCAGGCUGAUACUUCCUACCCGUAUCCCAACACCAUCACGGAGUACCUUACGGAUGCACAGGUAGAGCCUAGAGACUAUGACACGAAGGUCCGGACAAAGAAGCCAUUCUCUUGGUAUUCUCUGAUAGAUGCACACAACCCCAAGAGAAAGGGUUAGGCCAGUCUGAUGAGCCAUCAGUGGUGGGUACAGAGACAACUGAUAUGACAUCCACUUCAGUAGAGCCUUCUACCAGUACAGCUGCCAUGCCUCCACCUUCAGCCUCAGUACCUCUCACCUCGGCUUGGAAGUUGGUACCGAUGCCAUCUGCUCCACUCUCUGCGCAGCGGGUCUCCCAAAAAAUGAUGAGCUUCAACAACUGGAUGCAGACAACUACUGCAAAGCUGACUGACAUAUCCAGUCAGGUUGCAGCACAAUCAUUAUCUCCGGCACCCCAGAUUCCUCCCACAGUUGAAGAGACUUUGAAAAAGCUCCUGGAGUACCAAACCACAAUAAUGAACACCUUGGAACAUCAUGGAUUAGCGAUUGAGGAGCUGGGCAAGAAAGUAAAGAAAAUGAGGAAGUCCCAAGCGUCCAAGAAAUCAAUUGAAAGGAUGCAGAAAGAGGUGACUAAGAUUGCAGCAGUUGGAGAUCUUCCAUUUGACAUGCUGAUAGAUCCAGCAAUGUCAGCACCAGUAACACCAGCACCAUCAUCAGCACCAUCAGUUUCAGUGGCACCAGCUGGCCAGUUCGAGGAGCCAGACCAUGUUGCUCACACUGCUGAGGCAGUCCGCCAGAUGUUCACUAACCCAGCUACUCCCGGACUUGAGGAUGAUGAGAUCCAAUUGGAGGCUCAGGUCGGUGCCACUACUGGGGACACAGAGAUGGUCACUGAGCCAUAGGGACUUUUCUUCACUCUCACCCUUCUUAUACUCUUAUUUUGUUAAGCAUUGGGGAUAGGGUGGAGUUUCUUUGGGAUUUUGAUGAUUCUAAUGAUGUAUUUUGAUAACUAUGAGACAAAUUGGCAUGUAAUUAACUUAGUACUAUUUUCUCCUUACUUCUCGUUAUGUAUAUAUUCUCACUUAUCCCUCUUUAUGUAUAUUCGUUUAGCUUUCAAUAGCUUUUUGCUUUAUUAGAUUCUUUAUCUUUAUGUUUGUCUUCUUUUUGACUUGGUAGCAUCUUUUUGAUUUGCUUUUUAAAGUAGUUGCUUCUUUUUGCUUUAAUAGCUUCUUUUUAUGUUUUAGUGGAUAAUAAGCCUUUAAUUUUCUUAAUGUCACGGUUCUUUCCAAAGGUGGUCUUUUGUGUGAACCGGAUGACUCUUCCCAAUGAUGGAUGGCGUAACAACCUUCUUAAGGGAUUGAGUCCGUUGUUGGUAGUUAAGUAAUAAUAGUAGUAAUAAUGAAUAAAAAGACCUAAUUGAUUCAUGCUCGAAGAGUCAAACAUGCUUCACUUGGUACCAACACACUUAACUAUGUGCUUAUGGUUAAAAAUAAGGUUUUUGGAAAGCAAUUGCUCUAGUUAGUGACCUUUUGAUUCUUGUGUUGACUUAGGCAAUCAUCAAGUGGUUUAGUUGAACCAUAGUGAUUCUCAAUCUUGAAUGUGGUCGUUGUGGGCCCUCGACUCUAUCCUCUUUAACAAUCCAGCUGCAUGAGAGGUGAGAUGUUGUUGUUGCUAGUUCAAGUACUCGUGCGAAUGGUCUAGAACAUGUCCUGAAUGUGUUUCUAGGCAAAAUUUUAUAUUUUGCUUGGCUUGAGAAGUUAUUGUAGGCUCUCCUUGGCCCGCUUUAAAUUUUCUAUUGCCCACCAAUGUUGUUAUCCCUAGUCAACCCAUUUAAGCCUAAAACCUUUCUCAUUUGACAACCAUGUUACAAGCCUUUAUCCGUUUUGUCGUGACCCUCUCUUGGCACCCGAGCUUUCCUUAACACUCUUAUGAAAUAAUUGUCUAAAAACGUAAGUUUGGGGGAGAGACGAGGAGUUUAUCAAGGCACAAAAGAGAAAAGAAAUGAGGAAAAUGAAAGGCAAGAAAAAGAAAGAACAAAAAGAAAAAACAUGCAAAAAGAAAGUGAAUAAUUUGAAAAGUUGAAGGGAUUCAAAGAAAAGUAAUAAUGCGAAGCAUGGAAAAAGCAAAGAAGGAGAAAAUGAAUCUCAUGACCAAGAAAGAGUGAUGUUAAGUCUCUCUAGUUCCCCUAAGGAAAAGAAAAUGCCUAAAAGAGUUGGCAAAAGCAUGACUCGAUAAAAGAAAGUGGAGUGCUUAAGGAAAGGUGAACCCGUUCUAUCAUAGCUUAUCCAACCUUAGUCCAAAAGCCUUCAUUGCAUCCCGAAAAAGCCCUACGUGAUUGCAAGCCGAGUAAGCUUACAUUAGUGGUGAUUUACAUGAGGGACAAGCCUAUGGUACUUAAAGCUGCACUUGCGACAUUCUUUUGAGAGAGAUAAAUGAACCUUUCACAAAUCUUAGAAUUGAGUGUUAUAUUCUUAAGUGAGAUAGGCAAACGGAGAGUGGAGGAGGAGGAGUUUGGGAUCCACAGUGACCUACAUGAAAGAGUGAGCUUUCUUGUUGAAUAAAGUCAACUCUUGAUGCUCAAGUGUCACAUUAGAACCAUUCGUGCUUAAAAGUUUAACUUAUUGCCUUGUUGAUAAUUCAUAAGUGUCAUAGGUAAUUGUUGGUUCCAAUUGAUGUGUGAUUGAUUCACCUUUGAUUAGCUGGAAUGGCUCUUAACUUGUGGAGGAGGUAACUACUUUAUUUGCUUGAGGACAAGCAAAAGCUUAAGUUUGGGAGAGUUGAUAAGUGGGGAUUUUGACUAUUUAUUAACGCCUUUUAGCUUUUGUUUUAGUCCAAAAUCGCUUAAUUGUAUUCCCGAAAACUGAUAAAAUGUACUUAAUUGCAGGAAUAUUGGAAGAUGAGCCCCCGAGAUGAAAUCCAACUCAAAAAGGAGUAAGCUGAACUCAAGGACAAAAACAUGCACAAAAGCUCAAAGUGCGGACCGCAGAAUAUCAUCUGCGGUCGCAGGUCGUGAAGCAAUUCCAUUAGAGAAUGUUGCAAGAUGCGAACUGCACACGAAUUAUGCGGCCGCAGAAGCUGGGUCAGAGCAAAAGUUCAGAGAACCUGCACCUCCAGUCCAACACAAGUGCGGACCGUACAAUUAUUGUGCGGCCGCACAAUUCCAUGUGCGGACUGCAGAAGAACAAAGUGCGUUUGCGGGCAUUAUUGUGCGGACCGCAGAAAGAGGGCAGUGCGGCCGCACUCCAUUAUUAUGCGGCCGCAGAUUUCCAACCUUUUCAAGAUGAAGCAAAGUGCGGACCGCACAUGGAAUUGUGCGGCCGCAGAACCUCCGAAAGGGCAUUUUUGUCCGAAAAUUCCAGUUUUGUAUAAAUAGAAUAGUUUUACUUUUUUACGUUAACUUUUGACAUCAGCUGCUAUAGUAGAUGGUUUCGUUUACUAUUUUUAGUAGUUUUUGCUAUUUUGAGCUUUUUGAAUAUUUCUUUCAUCAUUUUAAUUAUCAAUAUGAGUCUAAUUAUCAUUUCUUCUCCUGUUUAAAUUUUCACUAGGGUUGUGACACAACCCUAGUGUGUAAACUUAACGGGUGUUUGAUUUAUUGUUUGUUUAUGGUUGAGUGUUUAUUAUCUAGCCUUAUUCUUGUUUUUAUUUGAAGAAUUAAUGGUUGCAAAUAUUAAUUCGUGCCUAUUUGACUUAGUCUCUACUUGACAAAGAGAGACAUAUUCUAGGAAAACUUGACUAGCAAGAAAUUGGGUCAAUCGAGAGAUUGAUAAGACCAAUUAAAGGGUUAAACCUAGAGAUAGUAAAACCCGACUUGAGCUUCUUAUCAACUAUUUUGUUCAAUACCCAUUUGGACUUGAAAAAUCUAAAUUGGGCAAAAUCACUCUCUGGCCGAGAGGUAUUGAGUGGGUACUUGAGUAUUGAUAGCUAUAAUACACCCCGAUCAAUAAAACAAGCUUUAAAGUUUACAACUCAUUAGGCAAACACCUAGGUGAAGGUCGUAGCCCUAGGCCUUUUAUAUUAUUUGGAAAACAACAAAAAUAAUUUUCUAGUUUCAUUCUUUGAAUCGCAAUCGUAGUUUAGUUUAGAUUUUUAAACAAAACCAAAUAUUGCGGAAGUGCAAAUUUAGAUAUAAAAACUCACGCACUAAGAUAUAUAUUACUAACACCCAUUCAUAUAGCUCCCUGCGAAAUUCGACCCCGACUCUUGUUGGGUAUUACUAUUGCAUCGACCGUUUUCAUAACCUCAAAGAGAGGAGUGAAAAUGGACGAGAUCAAUGGACAGUAAAGGAUGUAUCUCUCUCACAUAUGAAAAUCUUUGGUUGUAUUGCUUAUGUGCAUGUAAACUCCAAUGAUAGAGAUAAGCUUGAUCCUAAAGCCAAAAAUUAUUUCUUUAAUGGCUAUGGUGAUGAUAAUUUUGGUUAUCGAUUUUGGGAUGAUCAGAAUAGAAAGAUCAUAAGAUACAAGAACGUCACAUUUAAUAAAAAUGUGAUGUACAAAGACAAGCUUGGAUUAGAACCAACCAGCACCAGCAGACAGACAUCCGAAAUAGUUAAGUUGGAAGAAAUCUCAGAAAAUAAAAUAGCAAAAGGGAUUACAACUGAUUCUGAUAUUGAAGAUGCAGAACCAGAAAUUGAAUCUGGAUCAGAACCAGAACCAGAGAUAGAAUCAGAUGAAGAACCAGAUCUGGAGCCAGGACUUGAAUCAAAUUCGAGAUCAGUUACUCCUGAACCUAUAUUAGGGAGAUCUAAAAGAGUAGAAAAUGCUCCAGAUAAGUUAACUCUCUCUCUCUCACUCUCCACAAUUUACUUCUGACUGAUGCUGGAGAACCAGAUCAUUUUGUUGAAGCGAUACAAGUGAUAAAACUCUAAUAAGUGGAAGCUAGCUAUGAAAGAAGAGAUGAAUUCUUUUCAAAAGAAUAAAACAUGGAUAAUGUAAGGACCUGGUCGGUCGUUUUGAGUAUUACAAUCCUAUUCCCCUAUUUACUGCUCAAUUUAUGAUUUACGGUUGUUAUUUGAGUUGCCGGGAUAAUUGGUUCGGGCCCGAUGAGGUUUUGGAGUGAUUUGGAACACUUAGUUCCAAGGUUUAGAACAUAAAUUAAAAAGGUUGACCGGAUUAUGACUUAUGUGUAACGACCCCGAAGAAAUUUUUGCUAAGAAAAUUGAGGUUUUGUGGUGCCGAGGUAGAUCAAUUAGUACAAAGGUCCCCGGCUCGGACUUUUCGGGUUGAACAAUGAAUUGGCGAGUAAAAGAAAAUUUCGGGCAGGAAAAUACCUUUUUACGGCCCACUAUGUGGCCACAUAAUCACUCUUCGGACCGCAUAAUGGCCGCAAAGUGAAGCAGAAAUGAGCCAAGUUUGAGGACCAUUGUGCAGUCAACUAUGCGACCGCAUAAUCAUUUUGCGGACCGUAAAAUCUAUCGCAGAAUAAACUUGAGAUUUUCCAAGGGAAGUUAUGCGGUGCAUUAUGCGACCGCAGAACAAGUCUGCGGUGCAUUUUGCGAUCGCAUUACGGGUCUGCGGGGCCGCAUAACUACCGCAGACCCAGGCAGGCGACCCCCAAUUUUGGGCACCAAUUUUUGCGGCCGAUAUGCAGACCGCAUAUGAAUUCUGCGAUCGCAUAUCAAUUCUGUGAUCGUAUAUGCGACCGCAGAGUGUGUUUCUGAGCUUUAUUUUUCUAGUUUUAUAAACCCGACCCUAUUCUUAUAAAAUAAUAUUGGGAGUCAUUUUAAAGGGUUUCAUCUGAUAUUUUAGAGAGUGGUGAGAGCAUCUUAGAGAGAGAAAGUGAAGACUUAGUCAAUUGUUCAUCAAUUCUUGUUCAAGACUUGAAAAUUUCACAAGGAUAUUGCUAGGGCUUCAAAGAGGUAAGAAUUUCUUCCCCCAAUUCUUCAAUUUAGAUUUUUAGGGUAAAACAUGGGAGGUUAAGAGUAUGAUUCUUAGGUGUAAGAGUAUCAAUUAUACAUACACAUACCAAUAAGGUUGUGAAAAAAUUGUUGAGUUCAAAUGGGUAAAGAUUGGGUUGAUAAUGGUAGAAAUCUUCAUAGAUUUUAAUUGAAGAUUUGAGGGUCGAGUUGAUGUCGGAAUUUGGUGAAAUUUAUAUGGUUGGACUCGUGGUUGGAUGGGCAUUCAUAUUUUGUAACUUUUGUCGGGUUCCGAGAUGUGGUCCCCACGGGCGAAUUUUAAGUACAAUUUCGGACUUUGUUGGAAAAUUUAUAUUUUCAUAUGGAAUUAAUUUACUAUAAUUCGCAUUGACUAAAUCGAAUUAAUUAUGGCUAGAUACGAGACUUUUGGACACCAAUUCGCGAGGCAAGGGUAUAACGGAGUAAGAAAUUAUGCGAUUUGAGGUAAGUAAUACUUCUAAACUUGGUUCUGAGGGUAUGAAUCCCUGAAUUACAUGUUAUAUGAAUUGUUUGGAGAUGACCCACAUGCUAGGUGAUGGGCGUGUGAGCGUGCAUCAUAGGAAUUGUGACCAAAUUGAUUCUGUGGAGUUGCAUAAUUAAAUAAAUAUCAUUAUUCGCACAUCCUCCAUGUAUUAGUGAAAUUGAGCUGAGACUCAUGUUAAAGAUCACGAUUUGGCUACGCGCCAAUAUAUUUUGGAACCCACAUGUGUCGUAUUGUUCUUGAACUAUUUGUUAAAUUUAUAAUUUUGUACUCACUUACAUAUCAUAUCUCAGUCUCUGUUGUCUUUCAUUGAUACUUCAUAUCAUCAUGUCGGGUUGAUUCUUAAUGUUAUUGAGAGCCCGAGAGACUGGAUAUUCCGAGUGAUAGUUAUGUUUAUUUAUUUAUGCUUAGAUCUGUUUAUUUAUGCUUAGAUCUGUUUAUUGAGAGCCUGAGAGACUGGAUAUUCCGAGUGAUAGUUAUGUUUAUUUAUUUAUGUCUUUCAUUGAUACUUCAUAUCAUCAUGUCGGGUUGAUUCUUAAUGUUAUUGAGAGCCCGAGAGACUGGAUAUUCCGAGUGAUAGUUAUGUUUAUUUAUUUAUGCUUAGAUCUGACUAUUAUAGCGCUUGGGUUGAAGGAGCCCCUCUGGAGUUUGCACCCCCACAGUGAGCGUUGUUGAUAUAUAUAUAUAUAUAUGGGAUCACUACAAAAAGUCGGACCUAUUGUGGCGACUAAAGUCGCUACAUAGGCACAUAAAGUCGCCACUAAAGACAUACAAUGGCGACCUGAAGGUUGCUGCAAGCAUUACCGUAACUGAAUAUUUUUUGUGAUGAAUCUACUCACCACAAAUAAUUAAAAAAAUAUGCCACAAAAAAGCUACACGAAACAAAUCUUAGGUAGGUCGCUACUGAAGAAUGACAUUUAGUAGCUUUUGUAGUCGCAACUCUAGUAGCUACAAUAGCAGAUAAUCAGUAGCGACCUUAGGGUUGCCAAAUAUACUAAUUGCUUCUGCGACAAGGUUCAGUCACCACUAAAACCUGUUUUUUCAACAACUACAAUAGCGAAAAUUUAAUACAUUUUCAUCAAUUGCUAUCAAUAUUAAAAUCUUCCAAAAUUAUUCAACAACCAAUAAAAUUAUUCAACAAGUCAAAUAUUAUAAAUGCUUUCAUUAUCACAAAGUGAGUUAAAUAUAUACCACACAAUACUACAUUGCUCAUUGUCAUUGUACACAUAUACAUACGACAAAAAGGAAAAAUAAAAUUUAAGUGUCUUCAAACUCUUCCUUGGUCAACGCCAUUUGUGGUUGUUUAAGAACCUUCUUCCUGUUAUUAAGAAAAAGAUAACACAUGACCACUUUGACAAUCUCAUAAUUUAAUGCUAACAUUAAAAGGGGUGACCACGAUAAAAUUGUAGUAAGAACUUAAACACAUUAAACUAUGUAUAUAAGCUGAUUGGGAAAAAAACCAUCGAUAUUAGAAGGACUAUACGAAAAUCUACCAAUAUCAAAUACAUUAACCACUAGAAGUAGAUCAAGAUGCACUAGAAAUGUACACCGGAGAAGCUAACUUAAUACAAGCUGAUUAGAAAAAUAAAUAACUUUGUUCACCUCUUCAAAAAAUGCCUGCAUGAAGCUCCCAAGUCCCAGUGUAUUUUUCAAAUUUUUCUUUAACUACCAAUACCUGCCAAGUGGAGUAACUUAAUUCCUCUUAGAAAUGUUAUGGCAAACUAGUCUCACCUAUCAUAUUAAUUACUCCUAACUUAAGUGGAACAAUAAUUAAACUUUAUAGACCUGUCCAUUGUUGUUCAGAAUGAGAGCAACAAUACAAACGUAAUGAGAAGCAUUAGGAGGUUGUGUGUGAGGAGUAUCUAGAAUUCAAUAGACUAGCAUCAAGUGUGUUGCUACAACAUGAUAAUACCAAAAUCCUUCCUCUAAUAACCACCACCUAAAUUUGUGGCCCAUAGCCUAAAAAAUGGUAUGUCUAGAACAUCAGUAUAGAACUAGAACCAGAAGCAUUCUUCGAGCAAAAAUUACAAAUAUUGUAAUGAUACAGUUAACUAAAGCAAUUGACUUUCAUCAACUCCCAAGGAAGAGUUUCCCGUAAAAGUUAAUAAGAAUUAUGAUUUGUCAAAAAUACAAGCUAACAAUAAUUAUCGAUUCAGCAAAUUAAGCUAAUGAAGAGACGAAUUCCACAAGGUAACAAUAUAUAAAUCUUCAAUGCAAAUAUGUUAUAUUCACUAUUAGUAUAUACCUGGUUUACAAAUAUUUUUUGUAAAGGAUUCUCAUUAGCAUUUAACUGUCAAAAAGAAAAGGUGAUCUGCAAAUACUAAUUGUAAAGACAUUAAAACAAAAGUAUUUAAAAUUAAAUUUAUCUCUGAACUGUCUUCAAGGUCAAACAUUGACAGAUGAUUUGGUCAAUGGACCUUAGGCAACAAAAUAUAUUUUAUUUACUUGUACUUCUAGAUUCUAAUUUCAAGUAGAUGUUGUUCAUUACCACAAAUGACACCAAUAAAUAUAUUCUCAGAGCUGGAAUCAAAAGAAAAUGCAGCAGCAACCAUCUUUAGUUUGUAACUUGAAAAUGAGAAAAUAAUAAUAAUAAUAAUAUGCAACAGGGGCCAACCGCCUCAUGGAUCAACUAUUUCUUUUUGCUGUAUAGAGAACAAGCAUACAUGAUAAUGAUUAGCAAAGUUAACAUAUGGGUGGUCUGUACUGAUAAUUAUAGGUCAAAUGGAACUCAAGCGCAUGAAAUUAAUGUUCAAACUAGAAUCUUCCAAACUAACAUGACGUAAUGUACAAUUAGCUAUCUUUGAAGGUGUCCUAGUUCACAUUGUCCAAAUUCAGCAAGAAAACAAGUCAAAGAUGCCCAGCAAGCUCCAUGGUUCCUUUUUACUAGUAAAAACAACCUCAUCACAGACAAGGAAAUAGCAAAACCCAUGAUAGAUAUUAGAUAUAAUCCCAAGAAACAAAUAAUUAUACAUCAAAUAAAUUUUACAAAAAAUGAGGGUUAUUUAACUUUAAAUGAUUAUGGACACAGAGAGAAAGUCUUCUAUAAUUUAAGAAGGACGCCAAAGUUCAGAGAAUAUAUAGAAAAUCUCAGAAACAUAAAUACACAUGUGCGCUUACCAUUAAUUGAAUCUAUUCUCUAGAUCUCUGAACCAAUCCAGCCGAGCAGCCUUUUGAUUCCGCCAUGCUCGCUUAAAGAGCUCUGCAUCAGUCGCCGAAACCUAAUAUUCCCAAUAAUCAUCCCUCGAAUCCAUUUGCUCAGAAUCUAACGAUUGAAGGCCUUAAGGUAGAGAGCAGAAAAUCUGUAUGCUUUUCUUACAAUUCUCUUCACAUUGAGUUGAUUCACUAGGGCUCGGGUAGAUUUAGGUUAGAUAAGAGCAAAAAAUAUGGAGGAGAAAGAUAAGAGAGAGAAAAAGAGACGCUUGAAGGGAGAAGGAAAAUCGCCCAUGGAACUUAAUAGAGAAGCGAUGUUGUGGAGGAAUUUUGGGGAGAGGAUAUCGGGUUUGCUGGGGAAAGGCCGAAUGGAAUUUUGGGGGAAAUAAGAUUUGGGAACUAAACCUAUAAACUUUAAUGUACAUUUACAUAUCAAAACAAAAGAAUUAGAGGCGACCUAAAGAUUGCCACUAGAAGGUCUACUUUUAGUAGCGACCUGAUCGCGUCAAAUGAUCUUUUGUGGCGACUACUUUAUCAGUUGCCGCUAAAUACCUGUUCGACUGUAUUUUAUUAGAAACUCUGGUACGCAAUAGUGGUGACUUCGCUAGAGUCGCCACUAAAAUGUUAUUUUUUGUAGUGACUAAAAGCUUCGCUCCUGAAACUAUCUUUUUUUGUGGCAACCUUUUCAGGUCGCCGUUAAACUAGUUUUUGUCACCACAAUAAGUCGCUACAAAAAAUC
rnacentral:lncRNA from 1 species